AUGCAAACCAUAAGACUAGAAAGGAUGAGGAUUUGAAAUAUAUUGUAUUACUCCCACAUGCUCCUGGAGAACAACAAAGAAGUUUACACAUGUUUAAAAGACAGAAUUUGACUGCCUUUGGGUGGGGGGAUGAUAUUUGGACCAAUGGUUCUAGGGAGUUCAUGAUAUCAUCACUUGUCUGCUUCAUAAAUUUAUAUGUUUCUGCUCAUGAAGCAGCUUCAGGAUUUGAGAAGGUUUGCUUUCACCACAAGAUGUGAGUUGAUUCCGUGGAUUAUCAGUGGUAGCCUCUUCUUCAUCCCAACUCAGUGAGUUCUGCAAUGAGGAUGCUUUGGAUAUGAUCAUAUCUAAAUUCUUUUAUCUUGGCUCGGUAAGCUGGGAAAUGAGGAUGGUUCGGAUGGCUUGGAUGACUGAUUCAUGUACACUCACACACUUAAGUGGGAAGUGAGAUAAAGGAAGGCGUUUUCACUGCAGGGGAUUGUGAUACCUCCCAUGGAAUGAUCAUAUCCGAAUUCUUCUUCAGCUUGACUCAACAAAUCCAGGAAUAAAGGCUCAUUCAAAUAUGAUAUUGGAAUCACAAAUCGCUUCUUCUGGCUCUCCCCAACAUAGACUGCAAAGUAGCCUUUUGGGAUAUCUAAGGUCUUUGAAUCUGCUGUCUGGCUUGAACUAGAUAGAGAUCGAAUGAGACUUCUCUUUGCAUUAACAAUUGCAGGCAACCGGAAACCCAUGGUCUUAUACAUGCUCAAAGUACAAAAGAAGAAGAAAGGAAUUCAAAGGACCUGAAUUUGGAAAGCAGAGAAAGCUAUGCUUGAGAAGGUGAAGACUUGAGUUGCUCAUGAUGAACUUGGUCAUGUGUAUAUAUAGAUCAAGAGUAUCCAGAAAAUCAACAGCUACAUGAAACAAUUGGUGAAGAGGCACUGAGAUGGGCUCCAAUGAGGGACACUUGAUUGUGAGAAAUCACAUGGGUUUGUCGUCCGUCUAACGCAAUUUGUCCCCAAAAGAUUUCUCCCGGAACUCUUCCUUACCUGCUCUAGGUAACAGACAACAAAAGGACCACCAGAGAUGAUUCAAUCCAAAAGAAUUAUGUCUGUUAGGUAAGUAGCAUUUAUGCUUGAGACAUGCACUUCUCUUUGUUCACACUAAUUCAACUGACCACAUAAUCGGACUAGUUUACUACAAAUUUUCUUGAUUAGGUCUGCUAAUGAAUUGCCCUCUCACUUCAUCAAAAGACCAACAACACUGCAUAUGUCGUGGUCCUACCCAACACUGAUACAAUUGUGUUGUGUGGGAGCAGCAAUGCACCCUAUCAUGUGGCUUUGUAGUUUCGUCUCUGAUCUUCAGUCUCAGCAAACAAAGGAGGUAUUUAUUUCAUUUUGUUAGGCCAAUCCGGACUUAACCAGAAAACAGUAUUCAUUUAAAUAGUUGACAGUAAUUGAUCAAGAAAACUGAAGUUAAUAAAUUGAACUUAAGGUACUCUUUCUAUACUCAAUUUUUAAAAAACCAUUUUCCAUUGCCAGUCUUGUUUAGGCAAGUUCGGCCAAGAGCCUACUAAAAAACCAUUUUCCAUUGCUAGGUUGAUAAUUAAUCUCUUCUUGCCUUUGCUUAUGGCAACAAUUGAAGAUAUCUUAGAGGAUUAAUAUUUAUCAUACAUCUAUUCUUUUUUAUGAAAGACACGAUCGAGCUAGUAUCAUACACCUAUUCUUUGUGACAUACAUAAAUAUGGAGUAAAUCAAGAAAAUAGUCGUGUAUUAUUUGUGAUCCGAUGUAAACUUGGCUUUCACUCACUAGUGCAGGGAAUUCUUGCACAUAUAUUGUGCAAUUUUUUAACCAAAGAACCUUAGUGGCUCGGCUCAGUGCCUCGUUCUAUUCCCUCGUGAUGACUCUCCUUCUCAUUAUUCUUUCAGGGUAAAGAUUCCCAAUAGAACUGAUAAUAUUUUAUUUUGGAAGGAAUGUUAAAAAGUGGUGUACUUCAAGUUCAUGGUUCCAUUUGGCAUGAGGCACCGUGGAUAUAGGAAGUACUAAGUAAACCAUUAUACUUUCUUUUUUAUAGUAAACCAUUGAUGAUUUUAUUUUAUGACAGAGCUACAAGUAUAAUGAAAAAUAAGACAAGAAAGUGGAUCGGGAUUUAAAUUUACAUACAAGAAAGUCAUAGCAUCCAACCCAAAUAUGGAGAGGACCAACAUCUUUUAUACUACAAUGCUCCGAAUGUACUCUCAAUGAUUUCAAAAUUUCGAUCAUGAUUUUGGACUAAAGUUUUUCAACGUCCAUAGUGUCUUCGUUUGUCGGAUUCAUGAACUUUUUAACUUUAUGCUCAGAUCACAAGCAGCCUCAGGCUUACAGAUUGCUUCCUCUCAGCACAAGAUGUAAGUCGACUCAGUGGACGAUCAAGAAUAGCCCCGUUCUCAUCAUUACUUAGUGAGUUCUGAAAUGAGGAUGCUUAUACAUGAAUGAAUUUGGAUCAUAGUUUCUUUUCUUUAGUGUUCACUCAUACACUUAAGCGGGAAGUGAGAUGAAGGAAGGUGUCUUCACUGCAGGGGAUUGUGAUACCACCCAUGGGAUGAUCAUAUCCAAAUUCUUCUUCAGCUUGACUCAGCAAAUCCAGGAACAAAGGCUCAUUCAAGUAAGAUAUUGGAAUCAAAAACUGCGUCUUUUGGCUCCCCCCAACAUAGACUGCAAAAUAGCCUUUUGGGAUAUCUAAGGUCUUUGAAUCAGCUGUCUGACUUGAACUAGAUAGAGAUCGAAUGAGACUUCUCUUGGCGUUAACAAUUCCGGGCAACCGGAAACCCAUGAUUUAGUAUUCUCAAAAGGACAACCGGAUUAUAUUGAAGCUUGGUAUACUAUCUUUCUUCACCAAUCUGAAGAUUUUAGUCAUUCCUGGUUUAUUAAUUUUGAUAAUAAGUUCAAAAGCCCAUUCCCCUACUGGUUUCUUCACUGGUGGGAAAAAUAUGGUCCAGUUGAUGAAAUUCUUCCAGUAUCAGUUCUUGAGUUGAUCCGCCAUUUUACUAAAAGAGCCAAGUUUUCCCUAGUUGAUUUAUUCUUUCCCAAACAGUUGCUGUUUAUUGCCAGAUACAAGGUACCUUGGAUCCUUAAAUGGUCCUAUGCCAUCACCAAGGACACCCGUGUAUUUGCCCGCCAAUUCUCAAUCAAAUGAGUCAAGAAAUGAUGGAGUUCUGUAAGAAAGAAAUUGAAGAGUUGCUUAAUCUUGAGUCAAUCAAAAAGCACAAGACUGAUGGAAACAAUUUCCUGCAUAUUGGUCUUGUUCAAGUCGCCGUUAAGCCCCUAACCAGGUUAGGUUUGAAAGCCUCCAUACUGCUCUGUUUACGCGAUGCCCGGUUCACCGCGUUCAGUGACAGUACGCUAGGAGUUAUUGAGUCCAGUUUGUGUAACGGUCCAGUUCAUUUUGAUUGUUACCCAGACUUCACUGUAAGCCUUAGUGAUCCACAUAUAUUGAGAACCCUAACUCUCAAUAUUAAGACUGAAGGUUAUAAUGUCCUCCCAGGAACCCAACCUUUAGCAUUAGUUUACAGAAUUUACUAUAAGGUCACAGGAACCAAUAUGAACUUCCAGGCCUUAAACAAAAGCCCAAAGGAUCAGACAGUCCUGAUCCAGAGUCACACCUCAGACGCCCAUAUUCAAGUUCCCCAGACCAUUAAAUGGUCAGAAGUUGCCCUUCCAACAGAUUGGACCUUAGUUACCGAGAGCCAACCAGCUCCGAUUCAACGUAGUCUAAACAAUUUAGACUACAUCCAGCAGUACUUAGAUGGCACGGUUAAGAUUAGAUUCGAUAGCCAGCCUCUACAUAAGUCUAAAGUCCAGUUACACCAGUUACCAACCCCAGGUCAGUCACAAAGGCAUGCCCCAGCUAGGCACUCCUUUACUGCCUCAUCCUCAACUCUAGAACGAGACCUAGAGUUAGAAAAAACCAUGAUAGAUUUAAAGCUUGAGUCCCUGAGAAGAUCCUCUCAGGUAACCCAACCCUGCUACGGCACGGUUCCAGUAGAAGAAAAGUCAGAAUCCCCUGAGUCACCUACCCAGUCUGACUUCAUAGUUGAAAACCAGUUAAGAACCCUUAAUAGAAAAUUUAAAAUUGAUUGGUCACGUCUAAACAAACAUCUCAAAGCCCCUGAGAACCUGUCUAGACGAGAUAGUUAUCACCAAGCCUUUCCUGAUAGUAGCCGCCGCUUAGAAAUCUUUAGUGAAUGGAAAGAUUACAUGCGGUCAGCCCAAGUUGAAAUUUUCUACCUUGAUUUUGUUGAAAGCCGUUAUAUGUCAAAUGAUGAGUUAAAAACCUUAACUCAGCAAAAAUGGAAAAUGGCAGAUAAGUCUGUCGUUGAGUCUAGCCAUCCUCCAGUAGAAACCAUAAUUAUUGAGCAUAAAGAUACUCUUAUUCCUGCUACUCCUUUCAAAACAUUUGAAAGCAGUGACAGUAAUAGAAGAAUUCUUGAGCAAAAUAAUUAUACCAACCAGAGUCUAAUUGUUAUAGGAAAACAGUUGGAUACAAUUGAAACUAAAAUUGAUAAGAUAGGUUCUACAGACGUAGAGUCUAAAAAGAAAAUUGAAAAACCAAUUGUCCAGUUCCAGGAUCUUAGGUCUAGCCCGACCCUUAAGAUCACACCUACAAUAAAGAAAAUAGAAGACAUGUUAGCCCAGUUGACCCCUGCCAAAGUUGAAAAAACUGAGAAAUCUGGUCUUAAAACACUGGAUGCCUUUGCAGUAGAAAAUACCUCUGAGUCUGAGUCUUCAGAAGUAAGCAAUAUUUCUAAAAUUGAAAAAGCCUUUCAAACUUUAGAAAUCCAAGUUGAACCCAAAGUUAAGAAAUUAGAAAAGUUUGUCAGCCCCAGUAGUCUGACCAAAAAUUGGUAUCCCAGACCAACACCUCCUGACAUUCAAUUUGAAGAAAGAAACCUGCAGACCCAGUUCUCUGUUUCUUCCGACAAAUUGUAUGAAUGGAAUAUUGAUGGUCUCUCUGAGCAAGAGAUCCUCAAUAAGUUACAACAUAUGUCCAUGGUUGCCAAUAGUUAUAUCACCAAUCACAGUUUCAGACAGUCUGAAAUUGUCCCUCUGUUAGUCACAGGUUUCACCGGUACUCUCAGAAGUUGGUGGGAUAAACACCUGAGUCCUGAGUCUAAAAGCCGUAUAACCUUUGCUGUAAAACUGAAUGAUGACGGUCACCCUAUCUUUGACGAACGAAUAGGUCAAGGUAUAGAAGACGGUGUCAACACCCUGUUUUACACCAUAAUCGAUCACUUCAUAGGAACCCCUAGUAAUCAAACUGCUAGGAUCCAUGACCAGUUAAGUAAUCUUAGAUGCCCAAAGUUGUCCGAUUUCAGAUGGUAUAAGGAUGUCUUCAUCUCUAGAGUCAUGCUUAGAGACGAUAGUAACCAACCAUUCUGGAAAGAGAAAUUUGUUAAUGGUUUGCCAAACCUAUUUGCCCAUAAGAUCAGAACUACCCUCAGUAAUGAAUUAGGUCAUAUUGAUUGGGAUAGUUUAACUUAUGGUAACAUUGUAAGCACAAUUAAUCAAGUUGGCAUGAAAAUGUGUGUUGAUUACAAAAUCGGAAAACAAAUACAGUCCGAUAGGAAAUCAGCCAAAUAUGAGUUAGGAAACUUCUGUGAACAAUACGGUCUCAGUAGCAUUCCGCCCUCUAGAAGAAAUAAGUCUAAGCCAAGUCACCUUAGGAAACGUCGGUUUUCCUCUAAAAGAAAACAUUUUGCAGUUAAAAGUGAUAAUGAGUUUUAUAAGAAAAGAAAAAGUUUUAAAAGAAAAAAUUGGUCUAAAGCCCCCAGAAAAGCCCAGAAGAGUCGACCCAAAACCGAUAAGUCCAAAGUUAAAUGUUUUAAAUGUCAAAAAUUUGGUCAUUAUGCCUCUGAGUGUAAAGUUAAAGAUGCCAUUAAGCAGUUGCAGAUCUCAGAAGCUGAAAGAGAAAAGUUGAUCCAAGUUUUAGAGUUGCGAGACUCUGAAACUAGCAGUCCCGAAACCUUAGUUGCCAGCUCUGGAUAUGAUUCUGAACAAGCUUCAGAUUCCCAGCCUAGUUCCCCUGAUGUCCAAUUUGGUUGCACCGAUAAGUGUUGUAAUAGAUUAAAAUCUAUUUUUGUUCUUACCAAACAGGAAGAACAAGAAGAGUUGUUAAUCGACUUAAUCAGCCGAGUAGAAAACCCUGAGUUAAAGUCCGAUUAUUUGAAAAAAUUGCGAAAAGUCAUUAGUCAAGAAAGCUCUAGUAGUCCUAAACCGCAGCCAGUCAGUUUAGCCACUACUAUAGAAAAGUUCGCUCAGAAAAAGAAAGAAGUUACCUUACAAGACCUCCAGUUAGAAGUCAAAUUAGUCAAACAAGAAUUAGCCGAGUUAAGACAGAUUAGUAACCAGUUGCAGGUUGAAAACCAUACAAUCAGGCAAGACUUAACAAGUCUUCAAAAAGGCAAAAUGCCUUUAGAGCCCAGUAACCAGUCAGACAGCCCUGCUGGUUCUGACGAAGAAACCCCAGUUGUCAACCUAAUCAAACAAGUCAAUUUCCGAAAAUGGUAUUCGAAAGUUACAAUAGUUGUCAAAGAUUUUGAGUUUACCACAGUUGCCUUAUUUGAUUCAGGAGCCGACCUUAACUGUAUUCAGGAAGGUCUAAUUCCUACUAAGUACUACCAGAAGUCUAGAGAAACCCUAAGCACUGCUUCAGGAAAAUCUCUUCAGCUGAAUUAUGAGUUGCCUAAAGCCCAUAUUUGCCAAAACAGAGUUUGUUUUAAAACUUCGUUUGUUUUAGUUAAAAAUAUUACUGAUGAGGUUAUCUUAGGAUUACCCUUCAUAAGUCUGCUUUAUCCCUUCCAGGUAGAAUACGACGGUGUCAUUUCUACCCAAUUAGGUGAGAAAGUUAAGUUUAGUUUCCUUUCUAAACCUGAGUUGCAUAAUCUGAAAGCCUUACAGAAACAGUCUGUCUCUAGGUCCCUUCAGGUUGUCCAAAAAACUAACCAGUUGAAAUUUCUUAAGGAAGAAAUUAAGUUUAAGAGAGUUGAACAACAACUUGCCAGUCAGUCCUUACAGUUGCAAAUUCAAAAAUUUGAACAAAGAUUAAAAGAAGAAAUUUGUUCUGAGUUGCCCACAGCCUUUUGGUAUAGGAAGCAGCAUGUCGUCCGUCUUCCCUACAUCAAAACCUUUAGUGAGAAAAAUAUCCCCACUAAAGCCAGGCCAAUCCAAAUGAGUCAAGAAAUGAUGGAGUUCUGUAAGAAAGAAAUUGAAGAGUUGCUUCAAAAGAAAAUAAUUCGCAAGAGUAAGUCCCCCUGGUCAUGUCCUGCUUUUUAUGUCCAGAAAAAUGCUGAACUAGAAAGAGGUGUUCCCAGAUUAGUUAUCAAUUAUAAGCCCCUUAAUGCGGUCCUAGAAUGGAUUAGGUAUCCCAUACCUAAUAAAAGAGAUCUCAUUAAUCGGUUAGAAAAAGCAGUUGUCUAUUCUAAGUUUGAUUUGAAAAGUGGUUUCUGGCAAAUCCAAAUAGAUGAGUCAGACAGAUAUAAGACUGCAUUUGUCACUCCCUUUGGUCAUUACGAGUGGAAUGUAAUGCCCUUUGGUUUGAAAAAUGCUCCUAGUGAAUUCCAGAAUAUCAUGAAUGAUAUAUUCAAUCCUUACAGUCAGUUUUCGAUUGUUUAUAUUGAUGAUGUUCUAAUCUUUUCUGAGUCAAUAGAACAACAUUGGAAACAUUUGCAUAAGUUCCUUCAAGUUGUCAAACAAAAUGGUUUAGUUGUUUCUGCCAAAAAGAUCAAGUUGUUUCAAACCAAUAUUCGUUUUCUUGGUUUCAAUAUUUGUCAGUCGCAAAUCUCCCCAAUUGAUCGAGUUAUCCAGUUUGCUGAUAAGUUCCCUGAUCAAAUUCUUGAUAAGAGUCAACUUCAGAGGUUUUUAGGAUCCCUAAAUUAUAUCUCUGACUUCUAUCAGAAUCUGAGAAAACAGUGUAAGCCCCUAUUUGAUAGGUUGCAGAGUAAUCCUCCUCCUUGGUCGUCUACUCACACUGAAGUUGUUAAACAGAUUAAAUCCCAUGUCAAGACACUUCCCUGUCUUGGUAUUCCUUCAGUUGAUUCAUUCAAAAUAGUUGAAACCGAUGCCUCUGACAUAGGUUAUGGUGGCAUUCUUAAGCAAAAAGUCAGUCCUAGUUCUCCAGAACAAAUUGUUCGAUUCCAUUCUGGAACCUGGACUCAGUCGCAGCAUAAUUACAGUACUAUUAAAAAAGAAAUUUUAGCUAUUGUAUUAUGCAUUAGUAAAUUUCAAGAUGAUUUGCUUAAUCAAAAGUUUUUAAUCCGAGUUGAUUGUAUGUCUGCAAAACAUGUUUUAGAAAAAGAUGUUCAAAACAUUGCAUCUAAACAGAUUUUUGCACGAUGGCAAAGUAUAUUAAGUAUAUUUGAUUUUGAAAUUGAAUAUUUGAAAGGCAGUGAGAAUUCUGUUCCUGAUUUUCUCACUCGAGAAUUCUUGCAGGAUGCACAAUGGCUCCCAAGAAAGACAAACAAAAAGCAGUAGCCAGUCAACCCAAGUUGCCCAAGUCGCCCAAAUCAACCCAGUCAUCCCAGUCGCUCAGAGUCCUUCCUUCCUCCAUGAGUCAACCUAAGCCAGAGUUGCCCAGGCAAAUAGUUCCAUAUCCGGGUCACCCCCCAUUAUCAGUUGCCACUCCAAUUUCAGUUGCAAACAGAUUUUCCUCUUUAGGAUCCACAGUUGGCCAAAUUCGCCCCAGUUAUCAAUCCACCUUAAUUUCCAGUUAUGACCCCUUUGCAGUUGAGAUCCCUGCAGAGCCAUCAGUUGUGCCAUCAGUUGUCCACAAAAAAUCGUCUCCUUAUUUGCCUAAAAGUAAUUCUCAUUUAUUUGUCAUUGAGUCCACAUAUGAUAUUCAUGCAAAUCCAGUAGAAAUUGCCAAACACUAUUUCCCUCCUGGAUUUCAUUAUAUGCCCCAGAGUCCAUAUAAGUCCCUCAAGUACUAUAGAGAUAUAUUACUUGAGACACAAUCAGUUGAAAUUAAGCCGAUAAAGGAUCGGGAUCAUCCUGAAACCAUUCUUUAUCAUUCUUUGUAUAUUCAUAAAAUUGUAAGCCAAGAAUCUUUUAGUAGCCAUCCUUAUGAGUUGAAAACACUUAAGUCAAAAUUACAAUAUAAUUAUUCUGAUUAUAUUGAAGCCUGGUAUACUAUUUUCCUUCAUCAAUCUGAAGACUUUAGUCAUUCCUGGUUUAUUAAUUUUGAUAAUAAGUUCAAAAGUCCUUUCCCCUACUGGUUUCUUCACUGGUGGGAAAAAUAUGGUCCUGCUGAGGAAAUCUUGCCAGCCUCAGUUCUUGAGUUAAUUCAACAUUAUGCCAAAAAAGCCAAGUUUUCUCAAGUUGACAGAUUCUUCCAGUUGCAAAUGCUUUUUAUUGCCAGGUAUAAGGUGCCUUGGAUCCUCAAAUGGGGUUACAGAGUCACCAAGGAUACCCGAGUACUUGCCCGCCAGUUUUCAGUUAAGUGGUGGGACAAAUUUGAAGUUGAACGAAUUGCUAAAAAUGUCUAUAAUGACCUCCCCCGGGAGCCAGUUCCUCGCCAUGUAUCCCCUACAGGUUCAGUCCGAUCUUCCUUAUCAGUUGAAGGAAAAUCCAAGUCAGAACUUCAGGAGAUUGCACGCCAGCUGAUCAUCCAGGCCUCUCAAAUGGAUGAUGAUGAGGACAAUGAUUCUCCCCCAUCGUCUAGUUGCCAGCCCGUGCAGAGUCCUGCCAAGACAAAGUCAUGGUUUGAUGACAGCCAGGACCCCUACGAUGCCUACGAUCUAGGGGAAUCCUCUCCAUAAUUGCCUCAGUUGCCGACAAACAAGCCUCGUCAAAGAAGUUGCCAAUUUGUCAAAAGAAGUUGCCGACAGACCACUCUGUCAAAAGAAGACGCCAGAUCACGUGAAAGCAGCGGACAAAGCAUCUCUGCUUUUACUUUAGUCAGAUCACCGAAAAGUAGCAGACAAAGCACUGUUUGCUUUUUGACAAUCCACCGAAAAUAGCCGAAAGCAUCUGCAGGAGUCAAAGUUACCUCUACAGUUGCUAAAGUUGAAUCAGGUUGAACACCCGUGCCUCUAAGGCCGAAGCCUGCUUAUAAAGAGAAAAGCAACUAUGGUUUACAUAACUUAGGAUAACAAAUAACUCGGGUAAGCAACUGUAGGAGCACGGGUAUGCAACCCGAUUCAACUUUCAAUUUUGUCUUCUUGUGGUGAAUUCAGAAAUCAACCUUGUCGGCUGGGCUUUGUCAGCUGGCAGGGAAUCUUCUGCUUUCGGCUACUUUCGAUGAAGUGACCAAAGCGAAACAGUGCUUUGUCUGCUGCUUUAGAAAAUGCUUCAUGUGAUGGCUGCUUUCGGCAAAAGCAAACAGGGCUUUGUCUGCUGCUUUCACGUGGGGCAAUUAUGGAGGGAAUCCCUAAUCAGACCCGAGGUCAUAGCCGUCAUAGGGAUCCUGGCUGUCAUCAUACCAAGUCUUUGGCUUGGCAGGGCUCUGCAUGGGCUGGCAACUAGAUGACGAGGGAGAAUCAUUGUCCUCAUCAUCAUCCAUUUGAGAGGCCUGGAUGAUCAGCUGGCGUGCAAUCUCCUGAAGUUCUGACUUGGAUUUUCCUUCAACUGAUAAGGAAGAUCGGACUGAACCUGUAGGGGAUACAUGGCGAGGAACUGGCUCCCGGGGGAGGUCAUUAUAGACAUUUUUAGCAAUUCGUUCAACUUCAAAUUUGUCCCACCACUUAACUGAAAACUGGCGGGCAAGUACUCGGGUAUCCUUGGUGACUCUGUAACCCCAUUUGAGGAUCCAAGGCACCUUAUACCUGGCAAUAAAAAGCAUUUGCAACUGGAAGAAUCUGUCAACUUGAGAAAACUUGGCUUUUUUGGCAUAAUGUUGAAUUAACUCAAGAACUGAGGCUGGCAAGAUUUCCUCAGCAGGACCAUAUUUUUCCCACCAGUGAAGAAACCAGUAGGGGAAAGGACUUUUGAACUUAUUAUCAAAAUUAAUAAACCAGGAAUGACUAAAGUCUUCAGAUUGAUGAAGGAAAAUAGUAUACCAGGCUUCAAUAUAAUCAGAAUAAUUAUAUUGUAAUUUUGACUUAAGUGUUUUCAACUCAUAAGGAUGGCUACUAAAAGAUUCUUGGCUUACAAUUUUAUGAAUAUACAAAGAAUGAUAAAGAAUGGUUUCAGGAUGAUCCCGAUCCUUUAUCGGCUUAAUUUCAACUGAUUGUGUCUCAAGUAAUAUAUCUCUAUAGUACUUGAGGGACUUAUAUGGACUCUGGGGCAUAUAAUGAAAUCCAGGAGGGAAAUAGUGUUUGGCAAUUUCUACUGGAUUUGCAUGAAUAUCAUAUAUGGAUUCAAUGAUAAAUAAAUGAGAAUUACUUUUAGGCAAAUAAGGAGACGAUUUUUUGUGGACAACUGAUGGCACAACUGAUGGCCCUGCAGGGAUCUCAACUGCAAAGGGGUCAUAACUGGAAAUUAAGGUGGAUUGAUAACUGGGGCGAAUUUGGCCAACUGUGGAUCCUAAAGAGGAAAAUCUGUUUGCAACUGAAAUUGGAGUGGCAACUGAUAAUGGGGGGUGACCCGGAUAUGGAACUAUUUGCUUGGGCAACUCUGGCUUAGGUUGACUCAUGGAGGAAGGAAGGAUUCUGAGCGACUGGGAUGACUGGGUUGAUUUGGGCGACUUGGGCAACUUGGGUUGACUGGCUACUGCUUUUUGUUUGUCUUUCUUGGGAGCCAUUGUGCAUCCUGCAAGAAUUCUCGAGUGAGAAAAUCAGGAACAGAAUUCUCACUGCCUUUCAAAUAUUCAAUUUCAAAAUCAAAUAUACUUAAUAUACUUUGCCAUCGUGCAAAAAUCUGUUUAGAUGCAAUGUUUUGAACAUCUUUUUCUAAAACAUGUUUUGCAGACAUACAAUCAACUCGGAUUAAAAACUUUUGAUUAAGCAAAUCAUCUUGAAAUUUACUAAUGCAUAAUACAAUAGCUAAAAUUUCUUUUUUAAUAGUACUGUAAUUAUGCUGCGACUGAGUCCAGGUUCCAGAAUGGAAUCGAACAAUUUGUUCUGGAGAACUAGGACUGACUUUUUGCUUAAGAAUGCCACCAUAACCUAUGUCAGAGGCAUCGGUUUCAACUAUUUUGAAUGAAUCAACUGAAGGAAUACCAAGACAGGGAAGUGUCUUGACAUGGGAUUUAAUCUGUUUAACAACUUCAGUGUGAGUAGACGACCAAGGAGGAGGAUUACUCUGCAACCUAUCAAAUAGGGGCUUACACUGUUUUCUCAGAUUCUGAUAGAAGUCAGAGAUAUAAUUUAGGGAUCCUAAAAACCUCUGAAGUUGACUCUUAUCAAGAAUUUGAUCAGGGAACUUAUCAGCAAACUGGAUAACUCGAUCAAUUGGGGAGAUUUGCNNNNNNNNNNNNNNNNNNNNNNNNNNNNNNNNNNNNNNNNNNNNNNNNNNNNNNNNNNNNNNNNNNNNNNNNNNNNNNNNNNNNNNNNNNNNNNNNNNNNNNNNNNNNNNNNNNNNNNNNNNNNNNNNNNNNNNNNNNNNNNNNNNNNNNNNNNNNNNNNNNNNNNNNNNNNNNNNNNNNNNNNNNNNNNNNNNNNNNNNNNNNNNNNNNNNNNNNNNNNNNNNNNNNNNNNNNNNNNNNNNNNNNNNNNNNNNNNNNNNNNNNNNNNNNNNNNNNNNNNNNNNNNNNNNNNNNNNNNNNNNNNNNNNNNNNNNNNNNNNNNNNNNNNNNNNNNNNNNNNNNNNNNNNNNNNNNNNNNNNNNNNNNNNNNNNNNNNNNNNNNNNNNNNNNNNNNNNNNNNNNNNNNNNNNNNNNNNNNNNNNNNNNNNNNNNNNNNNNNNNNNNNNNNNNNNNNNNNNNNNNNNNNNNNNNNNNNNNNNNNNNNNNNNNNNNNNNNNNNNNNNNNNNNNNNNNNNNNNNNNNNNNNNNNNNNNNNNNNNNNNNNNNNNNNNNNNNNNNNNNNNNNNNNNNNNNNNNNNNNNNNNNNNNNNNNNNNNNNNACUCAUUUGGAUUGCCCGGGCUAGGCGUAGUAGUCGCGUCUCACUAAAGCGCUUUGAUGUAGGGAAGACGGACGACAUGCUGCUUCCUAUACCAAAAGGCUGUGGGCAACUCAGAACAAAUUUCUUCUUUUAAUCUUUGUUCAAAUUUUUGAAUUUGCAACUGUAAGGACUGACUGGCAAGUUGUUGUUCAACUCUCUUAAACUUAAUUUCUUCCUUAAGAAAUUUCAACUGGUUAGUUUUUUGGACAACCUGAAGGGACCUAGAGACAGAAUGUUUCUGUAAGGCUUUCAGAUUAUGCAACUCAGGUUUAGAAAGGAAACUAAACUUAACUUUCUCACCUAAUUGGGUAGAAAUGACACCGUCGUAUUCUACCUGGAAGGGAUAAAGCAGACUUAUGAAGGGUAAUCCUAAGAUAACCUCAUCAGUAAUAUUUUUAACUAAAACAAACGAAGUUUUAAAACAAACUCUGUUUUGGCAAAUAUGGGCUUUAGGCAACUCAUAAUUCAGCUGAAGAGAUUUUCCUGAAGCAGUGCUUAGGGUUUCUCUAGACUUCUGGUAGUACUUAGUAGGAAUUAGACCUUCCUGAAUACAGUUAAGGUCGGCUCCUGAAUCAAAUAAGGCAAUUGUGGUAAACUCAAAAUCUUUGACAACUAUUGUAACUUUCGAAUACCAUUUUCGGAAAUUGACUUGUUUGAUUAGGUUGACAACUGGAGUUUCUUCGUCAGAACCAGCAGGGCUGUCUGACUGGUUACUGGGCACUAAAGGCAUUUUGCCUUUUUGAAGACUUGUUAAGUCUUGCCUGAUUGUGUGGUUUUCAACCUGCAACUGGUUACUAAUCUGCCUUAACUCGGCUAAUUCUUGUUUGACUAAUUUGACUUCUAACUGGAGGUCUUGUAAGGUAACUUCUUUCUUUUUCUGAGCGAACUUUUCUAUAGUAGUGGCUAAACUGACUGGCUGCGGUUUAGGACUACUAGAGCUUUCUUGACUAAUGACUUUUCGCAAUUUUUUCAAAUAAUCGGACUUUAACUCAGGGUUUUCUACUCGGCUGAUUAAGUCGAUUAACAACUCUUCUUGUUCUUCCUGUUUGGUAAGAACAAAAAUAGAUUUUAAUCUAUUACAACACUUAUCGGUGCAACCAAAUUGGACAUCAGGGGAACUAGGCUGGGAAUCUGAAGCUUGUUCAGAAUCAUAUCCAGAGCUGGCAACUAAGGUUUCGGGACUGCUAGUUUCAGAGUCUCGCAACUCUAAAACUUGGAUCAACUUUUCUCUUUCAGCUUCUGAGAUCUGCAACUGCUUAAUGGCAUCUUUAACUUUACACUCAGAGGCAUAAUGACCAAAUUUUUGACAUUUAAAACAUUUAACUUUGGACUUAUCGGUUUUGGGUCGACUCUUCUGGGCUUUUCUGGGGGCUUUAGACCAAUUUUUUCUUUUAAAACUUUUUCUUUUCUUAUAAAACUCAUUAUCACUUUUAACUGCAAAAUGUUUUCUUUUAGAGGAAAACCGACGUUUCCUAAGGUGACUUGGCUUAGACUUAUUUCUGCAUAUGCAUUAGUCUGAAUACUGAGUUAAGUUGCUGCAUAAUCAUAUUCAUCUUCUUUCUCGCUAUCUCUCUGUGUCCCCUCUCUGUUGGUAUCAGAGCCGUAAGAGUUACGGUCUUUGUCUAAGUCUGCUACUCAUUCCCGCCCAAGUGGCUGGUUUAAGCUUCUGAGUAGAAGGUUUUCAUCUUCUUCUUUUCCUUCCUUUUUAUUCUUUGAGUUGUCUGUUGAUUUCACUCUAAGGUCUGACCCGUGAGUCCUUUUUGCUAGAUCUGUAAGUCCCGAGGGUAGGGCGUUUGUGCUGGGCAGGAGACAGAAAAUUGAGUGGAGUUAGUAGAUUUCUUAGAGUCUAAGGAGUGAGUCCGAGAAGUUCCUGUUUAUCUUCUUCCUCAGUCCGUUUGAGUCAAACACUUGAGUAGCCAUGAGUCGUUUUCUUAGGUCGAGUUCCUGUAAGUCAAGCAGUUCUAAGACCAAUAUAAGUCGACUCCCUGAGAUAGUUAAUGAAGAACAAUUUGAAUAUGAUUCUAGUUGCAAAGAACAAUUAGAUUUUAGAGAUUGGAAUAUCCCUAAAGUCCCUAGUCAAAAAAUCUAUAAGAAACAUUGGUUGCCUUCCAGUUUUAAUUGCACCACACAUGUCAAAACAGUUGAACAAGUUUACGCUCUUAGUAAAGAACACGAAACUUGCCAGUUGCUUAAUCUUGAGUCAAUCAAAAAGCACAAGACUGAUGGAAACAAUUUCCUGCAUAUUGGUCUUGUUCAAGUUGCCGUUAAGCCCCUAACCAGGUUAGGUUUGAAAGCCUCCAUACUGCUCUGUUUACGCGAUGCCCGGUUCACCGCGUUCAGUGACAGUACGCUAGGAGUUAUUGAGUCCAGUUUGUGUAACGGUCCAGUUCAUUUUGAUUGUUACCCAGACUUCACUGUAAGCCUUAGUGAUCCACAUAUAUUGAGAACCCUAACUCUCAAUAUUAAGACUGAAGGUUAUAAUGUCCUCCCAGGAACCCAACCUUUAGCAUUAGUUUACAGAAUUUACUAUAAGGUCACAGGAACCAAUAUGAACUUCCAGGCCUUAAACAAAAGCCCAAAGGAUCAGACAGUCCUGAUCCAGAGUCACACCUCAGACGCCCAUAUUCAAGUUCCCCAGACCAUUAAAUGGUCAGAAGUUGCCCUUCCAACAGAUUGGACCUUAGUUACCGAGAGCCAACCAGCUCCGAUUCAACGUAGUCUAAACAAUUUAGACUACAUCCAGCAGUACUUAGAUGGCACGGUUAAGAUUAGAUUCGAUAGCCAGCCUCUACAUAAGUCUAAAGUCCAGUUACACCAGUUACCAACCCCAGGUCAGUCACAAAGGCAUGCCCCAGCUAGGCACUCCUUUACUGCCUCAUCCUCAACUCUAGAACGAGACCUAGAGUUAGAAAAAACCAUGAUAGAUUUAAAGCUUGAGUCCCUGAGAAGAUCCUCUCAUGUAACCCAACCCUGCUACGGCACGGUUCCAGUAGAAGAAAAGUCAGAAUCCCCUGAGUCACCUACCCAGUCUGACUUCAUAGUUGAAAACCAGUUAAGAACCCUUAAUAGAAAAUUUAAAAUUGAUUGGUCACGUCUAAACAAACAUCUCAAAGCCCCUGAGAACCUGUCUAGACGAGAUAGUUAUCACCAAGCCUUUCCUGAUAGUAGCCGCCGCUUAGAAAUCUUUAGUGAAUGGAAAGAUUACAUGCGGUCAGCCCAAGUUGAAAUUUUCUACCUUGAUUUUGUUGAAAGCCGUUAUAUGUCAAAUGAUGAGUUAAAAACCUUAACUCAGCAAAAAUGGAAAAUGGCAGAUAAGUCUGUCGUUGAGUCUAGCCAUCCUCCAGUAGAAACCAUAAUUAUUGAGCAUAAAGAUACUCUUAUUCCUGCUACUCCUUUCAAAACAUUUGAAAGCAGUGACAGUAAUAGAAGAAUUCUUGAGCAAAAUAAUUAUACCAACCAGAGUCUAAUUGUUAUAGGAAAACAGUUGGAUACAAUUGAAACUAAAAUUGAUAAGAUAGGUUCUACAGACGUAGAGUCUAAAAAGAAAAUUGAAAAACCAAUUGUCCAGUUCCAGGAUCUUAGGUCUAGCCCGACCCUUAAGAUCACACCUACAAUAAAGAAAAUAGAAGACAUGUUAGCCCAGUUGACCCCUGCCAAAGUUGAAAAAACUGAGAAAUCUGGUCUUAAAACACUAGAUGCCUUUGCAGUAGAAAAUACCUCUGAGUCUGAGUCUUCAGAAGUAAGCAAUAUUUCUAAAAUUGAAAAAGCCUUUCAAACUUUAGAAAUCCAAGUUGAACCCAAAGUUAAGAAAUUAGAAAAGUUUGUCAGCCCCAGUAGUCUGACCAAAAAUUGGUAUCCCAGACCAACACCUCCUGACAUUCAAUUUGAAGAAAGAAACCUGCAGACCCAGUUCUCUGUUUCUUCCGACAAAUUGUAUGAAUGGAAUAUUGAUGGUCUCUCUGAGCAAGAGAUCCUCAAUAAGUUACAACAUAUGUCCAUGGUUGCCAAUAGUUAUAUCACCAAUCACAGUUUCAGACAGUCUGAAAUUGUCCCUCUGUUAGUCACUGGUUUCACCGGUACUCUCAGAAGUUGGUGGGAUAAACACCUGAGUCCUGAGUCUAAAAGCCGUAUAACCUUUGCUGUAAAACUGAAUGAUGACGGUCACCCUAUCUUUGACGAACGAAUAGGUCAAGGUAUAGAAGACGGUGUCAACACCCUGUUUUACACCAUAAUCGAUCACUUCAUAGGAACCCCUAGUAAUCAAACUGCUAGGAUCCAUGACCAGUUAAGUAAUCUUAGAUGCCCAAAGUUGUCCGAUUUCAGAUGGUAUAAGGAUGUCUUCAUCUCUAGAGUCAUGCUUAGAGACGAUAGUAACCAACCAUUCUGGAAAGAGAAAUUUGUUAAUGGUUUGCCAAACCUAUUUGCCCAUAAGAUCAGAACUACCCUCAGUAAUGAAUUAGGUCAUAUUGAUUGGGAUAGUUUAACUUAUGGUAACAUUGUAAGCACAAUUAAUCAAGUUGGCAUGAAAAUGUGUGUUGAUUACAAAAUCGGAAAACAAAUACAGUCCGAUAGGAAAUCAGCCAAAUAUGAGUUAGGAAACUUCUGUGAACAAUACGGUCUCAGUAGCAUUCCGCCCUCUAGAAGAAAUAAGUCUAAGCCAAGUCACCUUAGGAAACGUCGGUUUUCCUCUAAAAGAAAACAUUUUGCAGUUAAAAGUGAUAAUGAGUUUUAUAAGAAAAGAAAAAGUUUUAAAAGAAAAAAUUGGUCUAAAGCCCCCAGAAAAGCCCAGAAGAGUCGACCCAAAACCGAUAAGUCCAAAGUUAAAUGUUUUAAAUGUCAAAAAUUUGGUCAUUAUGCCUCUGAGUGUAAAGUUAAAGAUGCCAUUAAGCAGUUGCAGAUCUCAGAAGCUGAAAGAGAAAAGUUGAUCCAAGUUUUAGAGUUGCGAGACUCUGAAACUAGCAGUCCCGAAACCUUAGUUGCCAGCUCUGGAUAUGAUUCUGAACAAGCUUCAGAUUCCCAGCCUAGUUCCCCUGAUGUCCAAUUUGGUUGCACCGAUAAGUGUUGUAAUAGAUUAAAAUCUAUUUUUGUUCUUACCAAACAGGAAGAACAAGAAGAGUUGUUAAUCGACUUAAUCAGCCGAGUAGAAAACCCUGAGUUAAAGUCCGAUUAUUUGAAAAAAUUGCGAAAAGUCAUUAGUCAAGAAAGCUCUAGUAGUCCUAAACCGCAGCCAGUCAGUUUAGCCACUACUAUAGAAAAGUUCGCUCAGAAAAAGAAAGAAGUUACCUUACAAGACCUCCAGUUAGAAGUCAAAUUAGUCAAACAAGAAUUAGCCGAGUUAAGGCAGAUUAGUAACCAGUUGCAGGUUGAAAACCACACAAUCAGGCAAGACUUAACAAGUCUUCAAAAAGGCAAAAUGCCUUUAGUGCCCAGUAACCAGUCAGACAGCCCUGCUGGUUCUGACGAAGAAACUCCAGUUGUCAACCUAAUCAAACAAGUCAAUUUCCGAAAAUGGUAUUCGAAAGUUACAAUAAUUGUCAAAGAUUUUGAAUUUACCACAGUUGCCUUAUUUGAUUCAGGAGCUGACCUUAACUGCAUUCAGGAAGGUCUAAUUCCUACUAAGUAUUACCAGAAGUCUAGAGAAACCCUAAGCACUGCCUCAGGAAAAUCUCUCCAGUUGAAUUAUGAGUUGCCUAAAGCCCAUAUUUGCCAAAACAAAGUUUGUUUUAAAACUUCGUUUGUUUUAGUUAAAAAUAUUACUGAUGAGGUUAUCUUAGGAUUACCCUUCAUAAGUCUGCUUUAUCCCUUCCAGGUAGAAUACGACGGUGUCAUUUCUACCCAAUUAGGUGAGAAAGUUAAGUUUAGUUUCCUUUCUAAACCUGAGUUGCAUAAUCUGAAAGCCUUACAGAAACAUUCUGUCUCUAGGUCCCUUCAGGUUGUCCAAAAAACUAACCAGUUGAAAUUUCUUAAGGAAGAAAUUAAGUUUAAGAGAGUUGAACAACAACUUGCCAGUCAGUCCUUACAGUUGCAAAUUCAAAAAUUUGAACAAAGAUUAAAAGAAGAAAUUUGUUCUGAGUUGCCCACAGCCUUUUGGUAUAGGAAGCAGCAUGUCGUCCGUCUUCCCUACAUCAAAACCUUUAGUGAGAAAAAUAUCCCCACUAAAGCCAGGCCAAUCCAAAUGAGUCAAGAAAUGAUGGAGUUCUGUAAGAAAGAAAUUGAAGAGUUGCUUCAAAAGAAAAUAAUUCGCAAGAGUAAGUCCCCCUGGUCAUGUCCUGCUUUUUAUGUCCAGAAAAAUGCUGAACUAGAAAGAGGUGUUCCCAGAUUAGUUAUCAAUUAUAAGCCCCUUAAUGCGGUCCUAGAAUGGAUUAGGUAUCCCAUACCUAAUAAAAGAGAUCUCAUUAAUCGGUUAGAAAAAGCAGUUGUCUAUUCUAAGUUUGAUUUGAAAAGUGGUUUCUGGCAAAUCCAAAUAGAUGAGUCAGACAGAUAUAAGACUGCAUUUGUCACUCCCUUUGGUCAUUACGAGUGGAAUGUAAUGCCCUUUGGUUUGAAAAAUGCUCCUAGUGAAUUCCAGAAUAUCAUGAAUGAUAUAUUCAAUCCUUACAGUCAGUUUUCGAUUGUUUAUAUUGAUGAUGUUCUAAUCUUUUCUGAGUCAAUAGAACAACAUUGGAAACAUUUGCAUAAGUUCCUUCAAGUUGUCAAACAAAAUGGUUUAGUUGUUUCUGCCAAAAAGAUCAAGUUGUUUCAAACCAAUAUUCGUUUUCUUGGUUUCAAUAUUUGUCAGUCGCAAAUCUCCCCAAUUGAUCGAGUUAUCCAGUUUGCUGAUAAGUUCCCUGAUCAAAUUCUUGAUAAGAGUCAACUUCAGAGGUUUUUAGGAUCCCUAAAUUAUAUCUCUGACUUCUAUCAGAAUCUGAGAAAACAGUGUAAGCCCCUAUUUGAUAGGUUGCAGAGUAAUCCUCCUCCUUGGUCGUCUACUCACACUGAAGUUGUUAAACAGAUUAAAUCCCAUGUCAAGACACUUCCCUGUCUUGGUAUUCCUUCAGUUGAUUCAUUCAAAAUAAUUGAAACCGAUGCCUCUGACAUAGGUUAUGGUGGCAUUCUUAAGCAAAAAGUCAGUCCUAGUUCUCCAGAACAAAUUGUUCGAUUCCAUUCUGGAACCUGGACUCAGUCGCAGCAUAAUUACAGUACUAUUAAAAAAGAAAUUUUAGCUAUUGUAUUAUGCAUUAGUAAAUUUCAAGAUGAUUUGCUUAAUCAAAAGUUUUUAAUCCGAGUUGAUUGUAUGUCUGCAAAACAUGUUUUAGAAAAAGAUGUUCAAAACAUUGCAUCUAAACAGAUUUUUGCACGAUGGCAAAGUAUAUUAAGUAUAUUUGAUUUUGAAAUUGAAUAUUUGAAAGGCAGUGAGAAUUCUGUUCCUGAUUUUCUCACUCGAGAAUUCUUGCAGGAUGCACAAUGGCUCCCAAGAAAGACAAACAAAAAGCAGUAGCCAGUCAACCCAAGUUGCCCAAGUCGCCCAAAUCAACCCAGUCAUCCCAGUCGCUCAGAGUCCUUCCUUCCUCCAUGAGUCAACCUAAGCCAGAGUUGCCCAGGCAAAUAGUUCCAUAUCCGGGUCACCCCCCAUUAUCAGUUGCCACUCCAAUUUCAGUUGCAAACAGAUUUUCCUCUUUAGGAUCCACAGUUGGCCAAAUUCGCCCCAGUUAUCAAUCCACCUUAAUUUCCAGUUAUGACCCCUUUGCAGUUGAGAUCCCUGCAGAGCCAUCAGUUGUGCCAUCAGUUGUCCACAAAAAAUCGUCUCCUUAUUUGCCUAAAAGUAAUUCUCAUUUAUUUGUCAUUGAGUCCACAUAUGAUAUUCAUGCAAAUCCAGUAGAAAUUGCCAAACACUAUUUCCCUCCUGGAUUUCAUUAUAUGCCCCAGAGUCCAUAUAAGUCCCUCAAGUACUAUAGAGAUAUAUUACUUGAGACACAAUCAGUUGAAAUUAAGCCGAUAAAGGAUCGGGAUCAUCCUGAAACCAUUCUUUAUCAUUCUCUUUAUAUUCAUCAAAUUAUCAGUCAACAAUCUUUCAGUAGCCAUCCUUAUGAGUUGAAAUUUCUUAUGUCAAAAUUACAAUAUAAUUAUUCGGAUUAUAUUGAAGCUUGGUAUACUAUCUUUCUUCACCAAUCUGAAGAUUUUAGUCAUUCCUGGUUUAUUAAUUUUGAUAAUAAGUUCAAAAGCCCAUUCCCCUACUGGUUUCUUCACUGGUGGGAAAAAUAUGGUCCAGUUGAUGAAAUUCUUCCAGUAUCAGUUCUUGAGUUGAUCCGCCAUUUUACUAAAAGAGCCAAGUUUUCCCUAGUUGAUUUAUUCUUUCCCAAACAGUUGCUGUUUAUUGCCAGAUACAAGGUACCUUGGAUCCUUAAAUGGUCCUAUGCCAUCACCAAGGACACCCGUGUAUUUGCCCGCCAAUUCUCAAUCAAAUGGUGGGACAAGUUUGAAGUUGACAGAAUUGCCAAAUACGUCUACAGUGACCUCCCCCGGGAGCCAGUUGCUCACCCUGUAUCUCCUACAGGCUCAGUCAGAUCAUCCUUAUCAAUCGAAGGAAAAUCUAAAGCUGAGCUCCAGGAAAUUGCACGCCAGCUGAUCAUCCAGGCUUCUCAGAUGGAUGAUGAUGAGGACAAUGAUUCUCCUCCAUCGUCUAGUUGCCAACCCAUGCUGAGUCCUGCCAAGACAAAGUCAUGGUUCGAUGACAGCCAGGACCCCUAUGAUGCCUACGACCUAGGGGAAUCUUCUCCAUAAUUGCCUCAGUUGCCGACAAGCAAGCCUCGUUGCCAAUUUGUCAAAAGUAGUUGCCGACAGACCACUCUGUCAAAAGAAGUUGCUAGAUCACGUGAAAGCAGCGGACAAAGCAUCUCUGCUUUUACUUUUGUCAGAUCACCAAGAAGCAGCAGACAAAGCACUGUUUGCUUUUUGACAAUCCACCGAAAGUAGCCGAAAGCAUCUGCAGGAGUCAAAGUUACCUCUACAGUUGCUAAAGUUGAAUCAGGUUGAACAUCCGUGCCUCUACAGCUGUCCAACCAUAGUUGCUUUUGUAAACCAUAGUUGAAAGUUGUCUUUAAAUUCAGGCUUCGGCCUCAGUUGUAGGCAGAACUGGUUUUACCAGCUGCAUUUUAUUUUCCUAGUUUUAAAGAUUCUCUCUGAAACACCUUUAGAGAAAUCACGCUUGUACAUAGUCUAAGUGUGUUAAGUUUGCAGUUGCAACCUCUGUGAGUAUAAUAAAAGUUGCUAUUUUUAAAUUAUUCUAUUAUAUAUAUAUAUAUAUAGAUGAAAGGUAUGCAAAAAAUCAUCAGGCACAUGAAAUGAUUGGUACUGAAGGGGCACUGAGAGGAGAAGCAAUGAGGGCCACUAGCUUGUACCAAAUCACAUGGGUUUGUUUUCGUGCUCAUGUAACCCUUCCGCAAGAGAUUUCUCAUGAAAAUGAUCAAACUCUAUCCUUGUGUAGAAAUAGGAUUCCCUACCUAGCUAGCUCCUCUGGUUAACAGACAACAAAAGGGACCACCAUGUUCUUGAAAAAUGAAUUCAUUGCGCCUCUGGUUAAUUAACAGUACUGCAUAUGGUAUGCCCUACAACAAAAACUUGUUAGCUUGUGUGAUAAACUAGUAGUCUCUUUCUUUUUCAUCUUUUUAUAAAUGCUGCUUCAAAAGACAAGAAUUUGUGGUGCUAUGAGAAUAUACAUGGACCCUCGGAUGCUCUAUGAUUUGGUUGGUUGGGAGCACCAAACCACCCCUUGCAUGUGGCUUUGUCUUUCAUCUAUGAUAUUCAGGCCCAACAAGCAAGGGAAGUCUUUCAUUUGUUUGAAGAAUUGAUACUUACUGAGAAUGCAGUAGGUAAUGAGUACAUAUCUAAAAAGCAUAUGAUAUCAAGAGAGUGCUAAUCUGUAGCAAUUAUAAAUGUUGGAUACAUACUUUUUACUUAAAAGUAAAACAUACUCAUAGACUUGCUGUAUAUAUUCCUUGUCUCUCAAGGACUUGAUUCUUGCCUAGAAUAGGAAAUCCUUUGUGUAGACACCAAGCAAAGCAUUGUAUAUAAUUAUCACAUGAUUGUUCAAUGAAAAUCAUCGAGAAUAUUCAAAACCUUUCAUGGUAUCAAGAGCCUGAGACUCACAGUCCUCGAUCCUCAAUUUUCUUGUUCCCUGUCUUUUUUUUUUCUUUUUUUUUUUUUGGCACCAUGGCUUCUUCCUCCUCUAUUGAUUUUCCUGGCAUUCAUCAUGUUAUCUCCAUUCGUAUCAAGCGUGAUAAUUAUUUGACAUGGCUUGCUCAAAUUGUUCCUAUCCUUCGCAUCCGCCGCUUACUCAGCUUCGUUGACGACACUUCUCUAUGUCCUCCGACCAUUCCUGACCCAAAUGCUAAGGCCGAUGAAUUUUCUUUUCUGUCUCUCCUCCCCAACCCAAAGUAUGAUGAUUGGUGUUUACACCAUAAUGAACCGAGCAGACCCAGCACCAAAGUGACUAGUACCAAGGCAGCCACGCCUUCUCCUGUGCCGAAGGAAGACACACUUCCGAGGUGCCAGACACCAUAAUGAACCGAGCAGACCCAGCACCAAAGUGACUAGCACCAAGGCAGCCACGCCUUCUCCUGUGCCGAAGGAAGACACACUUCCGAGGUGCCAGACACCUACCGAAGCUCCCAGCUGCCAAACCUAAUCUCCAGGACACGUGUCGCCACCACGACGACUUGCACAAAGUCCCACAUCGGAACUUUGUGCAAACCUCCUACUUUCACCUCCCUAUAAAUAGGGAACAGUACCCAGGUAAAAAGGGUAACUAUUCUCCCACUUUUACUGUUACUCUGCCAGAAUUACUACUUGUAACUGACUUAGGCAUCGGAGAGCCUUCGGCCGGCACCACACCGAUGUCCGAAGCUUAACGAUUGCUUCUCCCACUUUGUCUUCUGCAGGUUUCCCAUCAACCUAUAUUUCACCAAGGGCCUCAGCUCUCUUCCCUACCGAAGACCCCGCAUACCUAAUCACUAAGUUGGACUCACUAUUGGCCGGGCCAUUUUGAGCAUCAACAAUUGGGUCCAGAAAGAUCAGCUUGUUUUCUCUCUCUCAUCAACGGUUCCUUUCACCAUAAAGUUCUCACCACCAUAGCUUCCAAGACCACCGCGUGUGACACUUGGGUAGCCCUUGAAACUCGUUUUGCUUCUCCAAAUCAGAAUCGUCUUCUUCAACUUCACAGUAACUUGCUUCGCACAACCCGUGGUGAAUCUUCCAUCACUGAUUUCCUUAAUCGUAUUAACUCGAUUGACGAUAACUUGGCUCUAGCAGGUGCUUCAGUUGCUAACUCUGAUCUCCUUGUUGUGGUUACGAACAACGUUUGUCCUCUUUAUGAAAAUACCAUUGCCGAUACUCAAGCUCGUGAGAAACCCAUCAAUAUGCCUGAUCUUGAUGCUUUCCUCUUGUCUGUGGAACGUCGCCUGUAAUUAUCUUCUUCUCUGGUCAUCUAUUCUGGUGCGACAGCUAUGGAAGCUUCCCACGGUGGUCUCGGUGGACGCGGUUUUGGCGAUCGCGCUGGGUUUGCUGGUCGUGGUCCUGAUCUUCGCAACUCAUUUUCUCCCUCACGACCUGGUUUUACUUCUGGUCGCGGUUUCCCUGGCGCUUCUUAUGACGCCUCUAGUCCUGCCUCACAUCAACAACGUUUUGUAGCAAUUUUGAGCCGAGUGUUCUUGGCCCACCUCCUUCUGGUUCUACUGCUUCCUCUUUUGGGCCUCAUUCUGCCUGUGGGCCUCUUCAAUGUUUCAAUUGUCAUGGUUUUGGCCACAUCGCAGCUGUCAGUCCUUCCAAGAUGUCUUCUGUGCCUUCUCCUCCGUCUCGUCUUCAAGACAUGACUGCUCAAUAUCCUUCACAUGGUGGCCAUCAACAGUGGGUUGCUGAUACCGAUGCAAACACUCAUUUUACUAAUGACCUGAGCUGCUUAUCCCUUGCUAGACAGUAUCAUGGUUCUGACAAUGUUGAAGGUGUGCUUGGUGGAAUAGGUUUGCCUAUUAAAAAUAUUGGUCACUCUCAUUUCUCUCACCUUAAUUCUUCUUUUCAUCUUAAUGAUAUUCUUCAUUGUCCCGAUGCAUCUCUUCCUCUUUUAUCUAUUCAUAAAUUUCCUACUAACAAAAAUUGUUUCUUCACUUUUUUUCCUGAUUGUUAUUUUAUCCAGGAUUUGGGGACGAGGAAGACACUUUUCUUGGGCAAGAGUAGUAAUGGCCUAUAUCCCUUUUCGUUUACUCCGAAUGAGUUUUUUCAAGUUUUGCGUGAUCGCGUUGCUUUACUAGGUGUCUGUGUUGACCACUCUAUGUGGCACUCUCACCUUGGUCAUCCUGCUUCGUCUACCAUUCGAGAUGACGUGCGAGUCAAGCUAUUGAAGUCUCGGAAGAACAACGAGCCUUUCGUGGAUGCGAAUGAUCUUGAUGCUAGGAUCAUCACCUUCCGUCCUUUUUACUUCUCCUUGGGCUUCAAAUUCCCGCUGUCAAAGCUUUUCAAGGAGGUGUUCUGCGCCAUGGGGUGUGCUCCGAGCCAGUGUACUCCAAACGCUUACCGAGCGAUCAUGUGCUUUGAGAAUUUGAGUCGUUUCUUCAUGUUGGAGCUGACGGUGCGAGAGUUCUUUUAUUUUUUCGAAGUGAGGCACUUCGAGCAGUAUGCCCAAGUUCGCGUCUACAAGGCCAAGCUGUUCAACAGUCUUAGUCAAGGGGAUCACGCUUGGCAUGACGACGUGUUGGAGGUCAGCGGACGGUGGGAAGGCGACGUCGGUGACAGCCCACUUGUUCCCAUCACCUAUUGCGAUGGUAUGUCUCUUUGCAAUUUUUGAUGCGCUCCUGUUAUUUGAAUUUCUUGAAGUGUGGCUGACUAACUUCUGUCUUCUGCUUGCAGUGAGUGACAUCAGCAAGCAAUUGGAGCUUGGGCCGGACAUGGCUAAGGUCCGUCGUGUUUUGAACAUCCCUCUAAGGUUUUGCGAGUGACGCUGGCUGUUGAGUGAGUACCGGGAGGAAGACGGUGGUUUGCCCCCUGCCGAGGAUGUCGAAAGGUGGAAGCAGAACGGUCCUGACCCUGAUGAUCUGCUUGGCGGACAAGAAGAAUGUUCUGCUGAAUCUCUCUCAAAGAGAAAAGCUGCUGCCAAAUCUUCAAGAGGUGAAGCUACUUCUUCGCACGCGAAGGAUGGGUCUCAUUCGAGGAAGAAACCAAGGCUUCCUUCUGCUGAGAAGACUCAAGUAGGGUAUGUUCCCUUAUCAUCUGCCAGGGUCAAGCAUCUCGUGGGUGCAGAUAGUACGAAGGUUGGUGGUAUGCGCGGUAUUCGGGGUGUUCUACACGAGCCUCCUGCUGACACGCUCGACAACCAUGAUAUGUUUCGUGAAACGGCUCGUGCUCGACCUAGUUCUGUCGAGCGUCAAAAAGAUGCAGGCAUUCCUCCUAGAAGUUCAAGUCGUCUGCAUCGGUCAAAAGAUGGAGAUCGAAACGGGAGGUCUGCUCAUGAUCCAGCAUUAUUGACUCCUUUGGAGAUGAAGUUAGCGGAAGCUAAGAAGAUGAGAGAGUCAUAUGCCCGAGUUAAGGGUUUUUCCUCCACGUCGGCAGUUGGUCCUAAGGUGAACUAGCCUAGCUCUGUAGGGGAUGCGAUCUGCUUAAGACGAACUUCCUAUCAAAUCCGUCGUCCUGUGCUGAGUUGGUUGAUCACAUCCAUCAGGCUGGCGAUCUUGGCACUUUCUCAUGUCUUUCCUUGGAAAAACAAAGGGAAGCGUCAUUCCAUCUGAUUCAAAAAGGACUGAUUUUUGCUGCUGAGACUAUUCGGAACUCAUCUGGUGUUGCCCCCUCUUCUGCCCAACUCAGCGAGUUGGAGAAGAAGAAUGCUGAAUUGGCCAGCCAGCUUUCCGCCGAGCAGGCCCGCUACGAGAAGAAGACGUCUGAUUUGAGGGCGAUGAUAUCUAGGCUGAAAAGCUCCCUUACCGAGAAGGAUUCCGAGCUCAACUCUUCCGCUGCUGAUUUGGUAGUCGAAAAGAUGCCUUCUUUCAUCUUGAGCGUAAGAAUGCGGACAUCUCCCUUAGCUAUGACAAACUCCUGGCUAGAUUUCAUGCCUAUCAUAAGUCUGCUAAAGAAUCCAAGUCUGAAGCCACCAUAGAUGCGUACAAAUUGCUACCUGCAUUGCGCAAAUGAGACUGAUUCCUUGUAUGCGAUUGAUGAUGUAGACAUCGAGAUGCUCUGCCCCGACUCACCCCCUAUGGAAGGGGGAAUUGAAGAGCAGGUAACCAGAGAGGAUGAAGCAGAGGUAGACGCAGUAGACAAGAUGAUGGCAGAUGUCAUGGUUCAGGCAGAUGGAGUUGCUGAAGACGUAGCUAGUCAGGUGGAUGCCGAAGAGGCUGCAGCUUAAAAGUCUUCUGCUGGCGUCUCCAAGUAGAUGAAGACUCUUUUUUGUUUCUUUUCAGCUUUUGUAGUUUGCUUUUUUGUUUAGAAUAACUGGUCUUAUUUGACCAUCUUCUUUUUGUUAAACUUGGCCGGUUGGUCUGUUUGUUAUGAAAAUUUCAGUUACAUUUUCCAACUUCAACUUGCAUAUUUGUCUUGUGAACUGCUUGAGUAACCAUCCUAUGUUUUAAUUGCACGUCCUCCUUUAGAGAUUUGUGAGUACCAGGGUCCCCCUUGAAGGACUCCGGGCAUGCACUGCAAAUCCCAUAGGAUGAUUCCCCUUAGGAAGUUGGCGAGCACCAGGAUCCCCCUUGAGAGACUCGUGUGUGUUCUGCACAUCUCUAGGAUGAUUUCCCUUAGGAAGUUGGCGAGCACCAGGAUCCCCCUUGAGAGACUCCGGGUGUGUUCUGCACAUCCCGUAGGAUGAUUCCCCUUAGGAAGUUGGCGAGCAUCAGGGUCCCCCUUGAGAGACUCCGGGUGUAUUCUGCACAUCCCGUAGGAUGCCUUGGUCGUCGCCCUGCGUCUCCCGUAGGACGCUACUUAUGGGCAACUACAUGAUUAUCUCGCCUCCCUUAGGAAACGGAUAGGAACCUAGAUAUUUCCCGCAGGAAGCAUGGAGACCUCCUUUUAAGAAAUUCCUGACGCACCCUGCGUCUCUCUUAGGACGCUUUUUUAGCGGGCUACGUCUCCAAACGGACGCGUUUUGUCAUCACCCUGCGUCUCCCUUAGGACGCUCCUUAUGGGCAACUGUGUGACUAUCCUGCCUCUCUUAGGAAACAGAUAGGAACCUGGAUAUUUCCCGCAGGAAGCAUGGCGACCCCCUUUUAAGAAACUCAUGGCGCACUCUGCGUCUCCCUUAGGACAUUUUUUUAGCGGGCUGCGUCUCCAAACGGACGCUUUUAGUCGUCGCCCUGCGUCUCCCUUAGGACGCUCCUUAUGGGCAACAGUGUGACUAUCCUGCCUCCCUUAGAAAACGGAUAGAAACCUGGAUAUCUCCCUUAGCAAAUUCCUGGCGUACCCUGCGUAUCCCGAAGGACGCUGCUUAUGGGCAAAUAUUGUGUUUCGUGGGCAGAUGAGACAUUUUGGAAUGAGAAACUGAACUUAUAUUGAUAUCAUAAGAUUACAGUCCUUUAUUCAAAAAUGGAAACAACUUGGUACAAAACUUAGAACUUCUAGCAGUCAGGAGGAGGUGCUACGGAUAAUACUUUCGAAGAUGGUGAGCAUUCCUUUGUCAUGGUAUUUCCUUCCCCUCCAUAGUGUCGAGUGUGUAGCUUCCUCUACCCCCAGACCGGCUGAUCAUGUAAGGACCCUCCCAGUUAGGAUUCAUCUUUUUUGACCCUUGCCUCGGUGUAGUAAUGAAAGUCUUUCUUAGCACGAGGUCGCCUGGUUGAAACUGUCUGACCUUAGCUCUUUUGUCGUGGUAAGACUUCAACUGUUGCUGAUAAGAGGCGACCCGGAUAAUGGUCUUCUCACGUUCGCCUUCAAGUAAGUCGAGGUUGAGCCUCAUCUGCUCGGAGUUCUGAUCAUCUGAUGUGGGGUGGUAUGAUCGCUUCUAUUCCAUAGGCGAGGGAGAAUGGGGUUUUACCAGUCGAUCUUCAUUUGGUGGUGCGAUAAGCCCAUAGUACUCCGGGGAGUUCAUCCACCCAUUUUCCUUCUGCGCCUUCCAGCCUUUUCUUCAAGCAGUCCAAUAUGACUUUGUUGGAUGCCUCGACUUGUCCAUUUCCUUGUGGAUACCUCGGGGUGGACAAGUGUUGCUUGAUCUUGUAUUUCGCAAAAAAGGUGGUGAUCUACUUGCCAAUGAACUGUGAGCCAUUAUCUGUAACCAGCGACUGUGGGCAGCCAAACCGGCAUAUGAUGUUUCUCCAGAUGAAUCGCUCCACAUCGGCCUCUUUAGUAGAGGAUAGAGCUUCGGCCUCUUUAGUAGAGGAUAGAGCUUCGGCCUCAAUCCAUUUAGUAAAGUAGUCGGUGGCGAGGAUCAUCAUUUCUUUCUUGGCGGGCGCUGGUGGCAAGGGACCCACUAGGUCGAUGGCCCAUUGCAUAAACGGCCAUGGACUGUUUUGCGGAUGAUAGACUUCGGCAGGCAGGUUAGGGAUCGGCUUGUAUCACUGACAGCGAUCACACUUCUUGACAUAUUCAGCGCAGUCGUGACGCAUGGUAGGCCAGAAGUAUCCUAUGUUUAGAGCUUUCUGGGCGAGUGACCUGCCCCCAGAGUGGUUGCCACACUCGCCGUCGUGAAUUUUACAGAGAACCUCAAGUGUUUGAGGGUACUUUAUGCAGGUGAGAUGAGGGCCGGAGUAUGAUCUGUGGAUGAGCUUGGUACCGUGCAUGUAGUAUCUCGCGGCCUUCUGCUGGACCUUUCUAGCUUCGGACUUGUCCGGUGGCAGGUUUCCAUUCGUCAAAUAGUCGAUGAUGGGGUCUUGCCAACUAGGGUCCUCGUCAAUCUGCAUGGUAUCGAUUAGCUCUAUUUCUUCAAUGCUUGGUCAGUCAAGGUGUUCGACCGGGAUGGAGAGUCUGAACUAGGUAUCUAGCGCUGAUCCUAGGCUUGCCAAUGUGUCUGCAUGAGCGUUCUCUGCCCGGGGCACUUGUUGGAUGGUGAAGGUGGGAAAUGCCUUCAACAGCUCUUGGACUUUGUCAAGGUGCAAGAUCAUCUUUGGGUGCUUUGCCAUGUAUUCACCUGAGGCUUGAUUCGUGAUCAAUUGUGAGUCUGAGUAGAUAGCUAGCUUUUUGAUUGCGAGCUCUUUUGCCAAGCGUAGGCCGGCGAGCAAUGCCUCGUAUUCUGCCUCGUUGUUCGAGGCCGGGAAGCCAAGCAUAAUAGCUUGCUCCAACAGGGUUCCAUUCGGAGUGGUGAUGACGACCCCUGCUCCAGCUCCUCUUUGGUUCGACGUUCCGUCUACGCGCAACUGACACAUGUCUCUGGGUUGGCUAGGUUCUGCGGAGGUCCCGUCUGCUUUUGAACUUUCCCUCUUUUGGUUGACCAACUUCACUUUUUCGGCUUGAUGGGGUGAAUUCUACGAUGAAGUCUGCUAAAGCCUGGGCUUUUAUAGCAGUUUUUGGCCGGUAGAGGAGGUCAUAUUGGCUUAGCUCUAUAGCCCACUUCAUGAGUUGCUGAGAAGCAUCAGGGCUGUGGAGGAUUGAUCUCAAAGGAAAGUCGGUCAUGACGAUGACUCGAUGAGCUUGGUAGUAGGGUCGCAGCUUUCUCGCAGAAACUACAAGAGCCAAAAUAAGUUUCUCCAACUUCGGGUAGCGAGUUUCUGCAUCGAGGAGAGCUUUUGACGUGUAGAAUACCGGAUGUUGGGCCCCCAGCUCUUCUCGAAUGAGAGCUGAACUGAUAGCUGAGUUGGACACUGCCAGCUAUACAAACAAGUUCUCACCAGAGACUGGCUUUGAGAGCAGAGGAGGUGAGUUAAGGCAAGUCUUCAGACUCUGGAAAGCUACUUCGCACUCCUCGUCCCAUUUGUCUCUUUGUCCUUUCUUCAAAGCUUUGAAGAAUGGUCUGCACUUGUCAGUUGAUCUCGAGAGGAAUCGGUUGAGGGCCGCUGCUCUGCCCGUCAGACUUUGUAUUUCCUUCACCGUGGAAGGUGAUUUCAUCUCGAGAAUGGCUUUGAUUUGACGUGGGUGUGCCUCGAUACCUCGUUGCGUGACUAGGUAUCCCAAGAAUCGGCCAGAGGAUACCCCAAACGUGCAUUUACUUGGAUUCAACUUCAUGCAAUAUUGGCGGAGCAAGCUGAAUGACUCAUCAAGAUUUCCAAUGUGAUCUGCACGUUUUGGGGCUUUGACCAGCAUGUCAUCCACGUAGACCUCCAUAGUUUUGCCGAUCUGCUCCUUGAAGAUUUUAUUUACAAGCCUUUGAUAGGUUGCUCCGGCGUUCUUCAGCCCAAAGGGCAUGACCUUGUAGCAGUAGGUCCCUCUCUCGAUGAUGAAAGAAGUUUUCGCCUUGUCAUCCUCGUGCAUCAGGAUUUGGUUAUAGCCGGAGUAGGCGUCCAUGAAGCUGAGCAGCUGAUUGCCCGAAGUGGAAUCCACGAGUUGGUCGAUUCUCGGCAAUGGGAAGUUGUCUUUAAGGCAUGCCUUGUUGAGGUCUGUGUAAUCGACGCAAACUCUUCAUUUACCCUUUUCUUGUUUUGCCACCAAAACAACGUGGCAAGCCAUUCUGAGUAGGAGACCUCUUCGAUGAAGCCGGCAGCUAGGAGUUUGUCAAUCUCAGCUUCGAUGAUAGCGACUCGCUUGGGUGCGAAGUUGCAUCUCUUCUGCGCCAGUGGCUUGCAUGCGGGGUUGAUGUGGAGUCGGUGACAAAUGAUGUUCGGGUCAAUGCCAGGCAUGUCUGAUGGCGACCAUGCGAACAUGUCUUUGUUCCUCUGGAGGAAUGUGGUAAGCUCCACAUUUUCUUCUGGGCUUCAGCGCGAGCCGAUCUGCGCUUUCCUGUCUGGCUGGUCAAGAUCCAAGGGUAUUAACUCGACGUCCUCCUCGGGUUUCCAUCCUUCUUCCGGAAAGACCUCUGGACAGAUUUCCUCAGCUUGGCCCUGACGCUUUGAUUUCUAUAAGAUAGCAAGAUUCGGUUGCUCAACCUCCUCCAGAUCCGCCUGGCUCACAGGGAGAAACUACGCUUGUUUGCCUUUCUUCAGCCCUUGGGCGGAGCAUUUCCUCGCCAUUGCUUGAUCGCUGUUGAUUUGGCCGACACCUCCCGUAGGGAUUGGGUACCGAAUUUUCUGAUGUGUGGCGGAGGUGAUGGCAUUGAUCUUGCCAAUCCAUGGUCUGCCCAGGAUACCGUUGUAAGGUGAGACCUCAUUAAUGACCAUGAAUGUUUGCAAGCUGAUCACCAGUGGGGAGUAAACGUCGAGGUCUAUCGUGCCCACGGUAAUCGUUGUUGCACCAUUAAAACCAGUCAGCAAUCUGACUAACUUGUUGAUCUUUGUCUCCAAGCCCAUCUGUUGGAUGACCGCCAGUUGUAGGAUAUUGGCUGCGCUGCCCUCAUCUGCAUGGAUUCGGUCGACCAUGGCCUGAGCGAUUUGAAUGCUGAUGACAAGUGCGUCGUUAUGUGGCGUGUCGAGGCCGAUCAGAUCUUUCUUUUGGAAGCCGAUCACAGGAUCGUCUUCUGCUAGUGGAGGGUCGAUCGAGACUUGGGAGAUCACAGUGGCCUGUUUGAUCUUCCUCUUCUUUUCUUUGCUGGUCAGCCCAGACUCCUCGAAGUCGGCUAGGAUUGUGUUAAUCCUUAUGACCUUCUGAGGCGGCUCCUUGGCGGUGUCUCGAUCUUCAAUCCGUUGGAUGGCCUGCUUCGCAACGAAUUCAGUGCAGUGGCCUUCUCUCAUGAGUUCUUCAAGAUGCGCUUUCCAAGCGGAGCAGUUGUUCGUAGUGUGCUCGUGCGUUUCAUGGAUGGCAUAGUAUUUGCUAGUGUCCCUCUUGUCCGGAUCUCCCUUCAAAGGUGGUGGUCUUCUUACCCAAGGUUUGUUCUUCACUUGGGCCAAGAUUUGAUGUAUGGGGAUGGUGAACUUGGUGUAGUUCUCUCCUCCCGUAGCCUCCCCUUGUGGGUGCGACCUACGCUUGUCUUUGUUUCGGUUGUUAAAUCCGUCGCCUCUUUGACCUGCCCGCUUAGUUGGCUGAUCUUCCUGCUUUGUAGACUUCUUUGCGGCGAUUCGAUCGUCAUCCCAGAGCGCGUAGCGUUCCGCAGUCUCGUAGACCUCUGCCAGCGUCUGGCUGGGAGUGAUAGUUAGCUCGUGGUACAAGUCGUGCUCAGCUGGAAGGCCUUUCUUGAAAGUGGAGGACGCGAUUCGGUCGUCACAUCCUACAAUGUUUGCCUUUUCUGCCUUGAAUCUCUUGAUGUAACCUCGAAGGGAUUCGUCAGACUUCUUGCGCAGGUUGUACAGGUGGUCAAGGUUCUUCUUGAUUGUCCGGUAAGAGGUGUAUUCUUUGGUGAAGACGUAAGCUAGCUCCUUGAAGCUGCUGAUCGACCUGGAUGGUAGGGUGUGGAACCAGUCUUGGGCUGCUCCUCGCAAGGUUAUCGUAAAUACCUUGCACAUUAGCGCGCCGUCAGCCUGGUGGAGGAUUAUAACACUUUUGAAGUGUUUUAAGUGGCUCUCGGGAUCGGAAUCCCCUUUGAAGUGUAUGAACGAGGGUGUCGAGAAUUGCUUCGGGUGAGCGGCCUGCUCGAUAUCGAGGGUGAAAGGCGUAGAGCUCACCUGGUCCAUCUCCUUACGUAGUGAAUCCUCGAAGUUUCCUCCGGUCUUCAAGUCUCGAAGUCGGUCAUUCACGAGCUUCUCAACGUCUUCUGUGCACAUUGCUGGUCGGUUAUGUUGGCGACCUCCACGAUAUUGACUGACUUCCUCAUUGUCCUCCGAGGGUCGACCUUCUCGCCUGAGCUGCCUAGUUGAAGUGUUGGUGGACUGCGCCUGCGAAAGAUUCUCUAUAGCUUGUCGACGAGAAUUGGUUCUUCGAGAGUGAGUAACGGAGCGUCUUUCCUCAUGGUCCUCAUUGUGAGGGUUAUCCAACUGGCCUCCCUGGGGGCCUAGCCUUUUGAGAGCGCUUCUCUGUGAGUUGACAGCUGAGCGCCUUUCUUCGCGAUCCUCAUUGCGAUGGUUGUUUGGCUGACCUCCUUGGGGGCCUAGCCUUUGAUGUACAUUUCCCUAGGGGCCCAAGCGGGCGCGGACGUUGAGUCGUCUACCGGCGCGUUCGUCCAUCCUUCUCUCCUUGCCCGGUGGUCCAUGGCCAAGGUUCUGAGCAAAGCCUAUUUGGUUGAUGAGCUGCCUCAUUAGAUUGCUUUGGUCGUCCACUCUCUGAGCUAGCUGGUCAACUCUUAGAUUAAGGUCUGCUUGACUUCGUGGAUCGGGAGGAGAGAAGUGUGUGGAGCCCAACUGCACACGGGCUAGGUUUUCAUUGGAGGUGUAUGCAGGAGCGUGCGUUGCGCGUGGAGGCAAUGGAGGGAAUGCUUGGAGUUGCUCCAAGACCGGCCCUAGGUCGGCAGUGGUAACGAGUCCACCUUGAUGGGAAGUUCCGCCAGGUUCGACGGCGAUGGCCGGUGCUGUGGUGAGAGGUGGCGGUGCCACCAUGUCGAUCGCGGGAUCGUGGGUGGAGUGGCUUUGGGUCGUCGCGGAUCUAACCAUCGCGGCGGCUUUGCCUCUUGUGUUCAUGCUUCCAACCAUGGUUGUUUGGAAGGCUUCGGUGGAUUGAAAAAUAGGAGGAACGGAUUCCUUGAGCACGCAUUGAGUAUACCUCGUGCUCUCAAUGAAAGCACCAAUUUGAGGGAGCAAAUUUCCCCACGAGAAUAUUCGCCCAAGAUUCCUUCGUCUUCUCCGCCUCUCUUUCUCCCUGCAAAACAGAUCGGAGUAAAAGACCACACCCGGGGGGUGUUGGCCAAAGGCCCUCCGAUGCCUAAGUUAGGUAGGGUAAUUCAAGGAAAACCGGGUGGCCGGAGCCGUGUGUGGUGGCCGGAGCCUUGUGUAAGAGAGAGAAAGAGAGGAGGUGGCUAGGGUUUUUGAGAAAUAAUUUCUGCAGAGCUUUAGUAAGAAUUUAGGCGUACCUCAACCAUUGUGUGUGGCUAUGCUUUUAUAGUAGUCUCGAAGGCUAGGGUUUCAGAGGAAUAAUUCCGUAGAUGGAAGGGAAUUAUUCCUCCCCUUUUUGGAAUUGAUUUGAUUAAUUAGGGAUUUGAUUAAUUAGGGUAAAUCAAAUCCCUAAUUGUGGUAGGUAUCAAAUCAAAUCCUGAUUCAAUUAGGCAACUCCUCAUUUAAUUGGGGAUCGUGGUAAUUAACCAAAUCAAUUCUCAACCUAAUUAGGUAAUGUUCAAUUUAAUUGGGUAAUUCCCAAUUAAAUUGAGUAAUUCCCAAUUAAAUCGAGUAACUCCCAAUUAGGUUGAUUAAUUCCCAAUUGGGUCAAAUAAUCCCCAAAUGGUAGGAAUUAUUUGACCUAUGGUUUGAUUUAAUUAGGUUCCCACAGGAACCAUGUAAAAAGUUAUAUGGUAAGCAUUUUAAUCAAAUUCUUGUGCAAAUCUACUACCACUUGGGGAUUAAAUAUAUAACAAGAGCUACAAGAAGACAAUACUAUAAAGCAAACCAUAAGACAAGAAAGGAUAAUGAUUUCAAAUAGAUUGUACAUUGCUCCUGGAGAACAAUAAAGAAGUUUACAUAGGUUUAAAAGACAGAAUUUGACUGCCCUUGGGUGGGGGGAUGAUAUUUGGAACAAUGGUUCUAGGGAAUUCAUGAUAUUAUCACUUGUCUGCUUCAUAAAUUUCUAUGUUUCUGCUCAGCCUAGAAGCAGUUUCAGGAUUUGAGAAGGUUUGCUUUCACCACAAGAUGUGAGUUGAUUCCAUGGAUGAGCAGUGGUAGCCUCUUCUUCAUCCCAACUCAGUGAGUUCUGAAAUGAGGAUGCUUUGGAUAUAAUCAUAUCCAAAUUCUUUCAUCUUGGCUCAGUGAGCUCUGAAAUGAGGAUGGUUCGGAUAGAUUGGAUGACCGAUUCGUAUACACUCACACACUCAAGCGGGAAGUGAGAUCAAGGAAGGUGUUUUCACUGCAGGGGAUUGUGAUACCUCCCAUGGGAUGAUCAUAUCCGAAUUCUUCUUCAGCUUGACUCAGCAAAUCCAGGAAUAAAGGCUCAUUCAAAUAUGAUAUCGGAAUCACAAACCGCUUCUUCUGGCUCUCCCCAACAUAGACUGCAAGGUAGCCUUUUGGGAUAUCUAAAGUCUUUGAAUCUGCUGUCUGGCUUGAACUAGAUAGAGAUCGAAUGAGACUUCUCUUUGCAUUAACAAUUGCAGGCAACCGGAAACCCAUGAUCUUAUAUAUUCUCAAAGGACAAAAGAAGAGAGGGAAUUCAAAGGACUUGGAUUUGGAAAGCAGAGAAAGCUUUGGUGCUUGAGAAGGUGAAGACUUGAGUUGCUCAUGAUGAACUUGGUCAUGUGUAUAUAUAGAUCAAGGGUAUCCAGAAAAUCAACAGCUACAUGAAAUUAUUGGUCUGAGAUGGGCUCCAAUGAGGGACACUUGAUUGUGAGAAAUCACAUGGGCUUGUCGUCCUUCUCACGCAACACAUCCUCGAAAGAUUUCUCACGGAACUCUUCCCUACCUCCUCUAGGUAACAGACAACAAAAGGACCACUAGAGGUGAUUCAAUCCAAAAGACUUAUGUCUGUUAGGUAAGUAGCAUUUAUGCUUGAGACAUGCACUUCUCUUUGUUCACACUAAAUCAACUGACCACAUAAUUGGACUAUUAAACUACAAAGUUUCUUGAAUAGGUCUGCUAAUGAAUUGCCCUCUCACUUCAUCAAAAGACCAACAACACUGCAUAUGUUGUGGUCCUACCCAACACUAAUACAAUUGUGUUGUGUGGUGCUAAAUAGCUUGCUUGGGAGCAGCAAGGCACCCUACAUGUGGCUUUGUAGUUACGACUCUGAUCUUCAGUCUCAGCAAACAAAGGAGGUAUUUAUUUCAUUUUGUUAGGCCAAUCUGGACUUAACCAGAAAACACUAUUGAUUUAAAUAGUUGACAUUACUUGAUCAAGAAAACUGAAGUUAAUAAAUUGAACUUAAGCUACUCGGUCUAAACUCAAUUUUUAAAAAACCAUUUUCCAUUACAACUCUUGGUUUAACAAAACCAUUGCCAGUCUUGUUUUAGGCAAGUUCGGCGAAAAGCCUACUAGAGAAAUCUAGAAAAUUCUAGAGAGAAGGAGAAGCUAGGUUGAUAAUCUCUUCUUGCCUUUGCUUAUGGCAACAACUGAAGAAGCCAUGUAAACUUGGCUUGCACUCUCUAGCAUAGGGAAAGUCGUGCAUAUAUAUUGUGCCAUUUUUUUAUGAAAGAAACUUAGUUGUUCGGCUCAGUGUCUCUCUAUAUUAACUCAUGAUGACUCUCCUCCUUAUUAUUCUUUCAGUCCAUUGAGAGAUGUUAAGCAUACUGUGCUUAAUAUAUUAUUAAAUUAUCAGAUACAGUCAUUUUGGCCCCAUGGAUAAAGGAAGUACAAAGUAAACCAUUAUACUUUCAUUUUCUGAAAAAUAUGCUGUCAUUGAUGAUUUUAUUUUAUGACAGAGCUACAAGUACAAUGAAAAAUAAGACAAGAAAGUGGAUCAGGAUUUAAAUUUGCAUUCCAAUAUAUUUUCCUGGAGAGUAACAAAGGUUACACAUCAGAAGAUCAUAGCAUCCAACCCAAAUGUGGAGAGGCCCAAGAUCUUUUAUACUACAAUGCACGUCUUUAAGUUCCGUAUGUACUCUCAAGAACAAUAGUUCAAAAUUUCAAUCAUGAUUUUGGACUAAAGUUUUUCAACGUCCAUAGUAUCUUCGUUUGUCGGAUUCAUGAACUUUUUAACUUUAUGCUCAGAUCACAAGCAGCUUCAGGCUUACAGAUUGCUUCCUCUCAGCACAAGAUGUAAGUCGACUCAGUGGACGAUCAAGAAUAGCCUCUUUCUCAUCAUUACUCAGUGAGUUCUGGAAUGAGGAUGCUUAUACAUGAAUGAAUUUGGAUCAUAGUUUCUUUUCUUUGGUGUGCACUCAUACACUUAAGCGGGAAGUGAGAUGAAGGAAGGUGUCUUCACUGCAGGGGAUUGUGAUACCACCCAUGGGAUGAUCCUAUCCAAAUUCUUCUUCAGCUUGACUCAGCAAAUCCCGGAACAAAGGCUCAUUCAAAUAUGAUAUUGGAAUCAAAAACCGUUUCUUUUGGCUCUUCCCAACAUCGACUGCAAAAUAGCCUUUUGGGAUAUCUAAGGUCUUUGAAUCAUCUGUCUGACUUGAACUAGAUAGAGAUCGAAUGAGACUUCUCUUGGCGUUAACAAUUCCAGGCAACCGGAAACCCAUGAUUUAGUAUUCUCAAGAGGACAAGACAAGAGGAAAAAGAUUGGCAAGGAAUUGGAAAAAACAGAGAGAGCUUUGAUGCGUGGGAAGGAUAGGACUUGAGUAGCUCAUGAUGAACCGAUCAUAGUAUAUAUAUAGCUGAAAGGUAUGCAAAAAAAUCAUCAGGUACAUGGAAUGAUUUGUACCGAAAAGGAACUGAGAGGAGAAGCAAUGAGGACCACUAGCUGUACGAUAGUCAAAGUUUACACUAGCUGUUAUCAUUCUGAGUUUAUCUCUUUCUCAGAUUAGGAAGAGGUACUCUUCUAGAGCAUUUAGCUAGAGAGAAUGAAUAGGAGAAUAUGAAAAAUGCACUGUUCUAUUGAUUUCUGCAAAACUGCAGCUUACAAAGUGUGACUGCUAGGAGAGAAAUGUGAUUCUCUUCUAACAGAAUUACAGCUGUCAUCCUAUUAGAUUCUUACACCUGUCAUAGCAAAUCUAAGCUAGAGAAUCCACCUAGACUAUGAUCUAAUGGCUCUCCUUACAUCAUUUAAAUAAGCUGACCAAAAACAGAACAAAUAGAGAAUAGCUUCAGCUCUAAGAAAUCUGCUGCAGGAUUAUAUUUCAACACUCCCUUCUAAUCCUUUAGCUGAUUUCACACCAAGCAAGCUUCUCAGCCUCACAAACCGAUCCUUAGGUAGAGCUUUAGUCAAGAUGUCUGCUAUCUGAUCUUCUGUUUUGCAGUAUAUCAGUUCAAUUUCUUUUGCUUGAAUGGCUUCUCUGAUAAAAUGAAAUUUCCUGCUGAUGUGUCUUGUCUUUUGGUGAUGGACUGGAUUCCUUGCCAUUGCAAUUGCUGAGGUGUUAUCACAUAGAAUCUGAGUCCCUUCUAUCUGUUCUUCACCAAAAUCUUCAAGCACAAAUCUCAGCCACUUAGCUUGUGAAGUUGCUUCUGCAGCACUCACAUAUUCAGCUUCGGCUGUAGAUAGAGCAACUGUGUUUUGCUUGAUGGAAGCCCAAGAGAACAUGCCUGAGCCUAGUGUGAAGGCAUAUCCUGAGGUGCUCCUCAUAUCAUCUUACUCCCAGCCCAGUCACUGUCACAGUACCCAAUUAGAGUAGCUGUCUUCCCUUUUGCAAACUCAAUUCCAAAAUCCAAUGUGCCUUGAAUGUAUCUCAGCACCCUUUUAGCAGUUCCCAUGUGUUUCUUUGAGGGAUUGUGCAUAAAUCUAGCAAGCAAGCUAGAUGCAAACAUGACAUCUGGUCUUGUGGCAGUCAGAUAAAGGAGACUUCCUACAAUCUGUCUGAAUUCACUUUCAUCUGCUGCUUCACUCCCAUCUUCUCUACACAAUUUCUCAUUCACCACUAAUGGAAUUGCCACUGACUUGCAAUCUCUCAUUCCAAACUUCUCAAGAAUUUUCAUGGCAUAUUUCUUUUGAUGAAUGAAAAUAUGCUUGUCAGUUUGUUCCACUCCCAUGCCAAGAAAAUGAUGCAACAGACCCAAGUCUGUCAUCUCAUAGUGUUGCAUCAUAUCUUGUUUAAAUUCUUCAAGCAUUUUAGGACAGCUUCCAGUGUAUAUAAUGUCAUCUACAUAGAGGGAGACAAUGAUAAUACCUGAGGUGUCACUAGUUUUGAUAUAGAGAGUAGCUUCACUUAAGCUUUUCUUGAAACCUGCAGUGUUGAAAUAGGCAUCUAUUUCAUCAUACCAGGCCCUUGGGGCUUGCUUCAGUCCAUAUAGAGCCUUGUUCAACCUGAACACCUUGGUUUCCUUGCUCUCUUGAACAUAUCCUUGAGGUUGUUCAACAUAAACUUCCUCCUUUAGAAUGCCAUUGAGAAAAGCAGACUUCACAUCCAAUUGAAAUAAGUUCCAUUCCUUUUGUGCUGCAAGGGCUAUCAAAGUUCUGAUGGUGUCAAGUCUUGCCACGGGGGCAAAUGUCUCAUUAUAGUCGAUUCCAGGCUUCUGUGAGUAGCCUUUAGCCGCAAGCCUAGCUUUAUUCUUCUGCACAGUACCAUCUAGGUUCAGUUUGACCUUGUAGACCCACUUAACACCAAUUACUGGUUUGUUAGAUGGCCUGUCAACUAAUUUCCAAGUAUUGUUCUUCUCAAUCAUCUCCAAUUCAGCCUCCAUUGCACAUCUCCAUGAUUCAUCCAAAUCUGCUUCUUCAAAGCUGUCAGGUUCUACAAUGCACAUAUUGCAUUGUGCCAUGAUGUCAUUAAUACUCCUCCACUUGUGAGGUGUGUGAUCAAACCUUUGAGUCUCAUCAAGCAUUUCUUCCCCUUGAGGUGCAAUUUCUUCUUCCAUCUACAUUUGAGUAUCCAAGAACUGAGAGUGAUCAUCUAAUACCCUCUGUUCAGUUUCUGCAGUAUCUUGAUUUCCAUCUGGCAUAGGUAUUCCCACAUCUGCAUUGCUAGGAUUCUCCCAUUUCCAUGAGGCUUCUUCAUCAAAAUAGACAUCCCUAGACAAGAUAAUCUUUCUUGUCUUAGGAUCAUACAGUCUAUAGCCUUUUUCACACAAUCCAUAGCCCACAAAAAUGCAUUUGUGACUGUUUUCUUCCAACUUGUGUCUCAAAACAGAAGGAAUAAGCACAUAACAUAGGCAUCCAAACACUUUCAAGUGUGCAAUACCUGGCUUUCUUCCUGUGUAGGCCUCAAAUGGUGUCAUUUUCUCAAGAGAUUUAGAAGGACAUCUGUUGAGAAGGUAGACUGCUGUAUGAACAGCUUCUGCCCAAAACUCAUAAGGAAGAUUCUUUUCAUGUAGCAUAGACUUUGCCAUCUCAAUUACUGUCCUGUUCUUCCUCUCAGCAACUCCAUUUUGCUGAGGAGAAUAUGCCACUGUCAGCUGCCUUUGUAUUCCAGCCUCACUGCAGUAUGCAAGGAAUUCAUUUGACAUGAAUUCUCCACCUCUAUCACUUCUAAGUGACUUCACUUUGUGUCCACUCUGCAAUUCUGUCAUUGCUUUGAACUUCUUGAAACAUUCAAAAGCAUUAGAUUUAUUUCUGAGAAAAUAAACCCAAGCCAUUCUUGUAUGGUCAUCAAUGAAUAAUAGGAAAUAUCUGUUUUCUGACAUUGAUGCAGUCUGCAUUGGACCACAGAUGUCAGUGUGAACUAAUUCUAGUGGAGACUGAGCUCUCCAAGUAGAUUUUGCAGGAAAUGAGUCUCUAUGCUGCUUUCCCAACUUGCAGCCUUCACACACUGCUAAGUCCUUCUCCAGACUAGGCAGUCCAUGAACCAUGUCUUGAUUUGCUAGCAUCUUGAUGCUUUGAUCAUUAAGAUGACCCAGCCUUUUAUGCCAAGUCUGCAAACUGUGAGUCACACUUGCUCUCAGCACCAACUGAGUAGCAGGUACCAUUGUGAGAGAGAAACUGUCACACCCCGGACCGGCUCCGCCGUAGCACGAUAUUGUCCGCUUUGGGCCCCCCUCUCUGCCCUCACGGUUUUGUUUUUGGGAGCUCACGAAGCAACUUCCCAGGGUGGUCACCCAUCCUGGGAUUGCUCCAGCCUCCCACUCGCUUAACUUUGGAGUUCUUACAACUCUGAAGCCAGUGAGCUCCCAAAAGGCCUCGUGCUACGGCGGAGCCGGUCCGGGGUGUGACAAUUUGGUAUCAGAGCCACUCUGCCGUGUGGUGCGAGUGUGCCGACGAGGACGUCGGGCCCUUAAGGGGGGUGGAUUGUAAGAUCCCACAUCAAACCAACGGAGAGGGGGGUGAUGUGCCUUAUAUGGCACACCCGCAUCCAUCUAGCACGAGGCCUUUUGGGAGCUCACUGGCUUCGGAGUGGUAGGAACUCCGAAGUUAAGCGAGUUGGAGGCUAGAGCAAUCCUAGGAUGGGUGACCCACUGGGAAGUUGCUCGUGAGUUCCCAGAAACAAAACCGUGAGGGCCAGAGAGGGGGGGCCCAAAGCGGACAAUAUCGUGCUACGGCGGAGCCGAUCUCGGGAUGUGACAGAAACACCUAUUGCUAGUCAUUGGAACCUUAGCUAUAGGGUUUUGCAGUGACCAAUCAUCAAAAAUUGUCACCAUUCCCUUUCCAAAUACUAAACAAUACCCAUGUUCCAUCAUCUGACCAACACUUAGCAAGUUCUCUUCUAAACCAGGCACCAACAUCACUUCUUGAAUGUGUUUUCUGCCUGAUUUGGUUUCUAUCACAAGAGUACCUUUUCCUGCAACUUGAACUGUCUCUCCAGUCCCCAUUUUCACCUUGGAAGUUACAUUCCUUCGAAUGUCUAUCAGUAGCCUUUCAUCUCCAAUCAUAUGGUUGCUACAGCCACUGUCCACAUACCAAGAGUUGCUCAUUUUCACAUCUGUCACAGCAUUGCAUGCAUAAAACAAUGUUCCAGUUUCUUCAACCUGAUUGGCAUAGUUCACCUUUUGCACAGAUUGAUUGUCAUGACAAUUUCUAACCAUGUGACCAAACUUUCCACAUCCUCUGCAUUUUGGUUUUCCUUCAAACCAGCACUUGCCAUAGUGCAGUUUUUCACAGUGCUUGCAGGGUGUUUUAGUUCCAUCAUUUGAUGCAUUUGGUUUGGUAUUUGAAUUGGACUUGUUAUUCCAAUUCUUCCUAUUUUCCUUCCAGUUCUUCUGAGACUUGUUACAUCCAGAAGAACUUCCAUUCUUAGAGCUUUUACUCUCAAUGUUCAGACUAGUGAAAGCCUUUUCUGUUGAAUUUUCAUUGUGCCUGUCUAAUCUGAGCUCAAAGUUCUUGAGAGAUGCAACCACUUCUUGAAUUUCAAGAGUGUCAAGAUCCUUUGAAUGCUCAAUCACAGAACAUAUAGAAUCAUAAGAUCUAGGCAAACUAAUAAGCAAUUUCUGCACAACUCUUUCUCUAGGUAACUCUUCACCAUAAUUCUUCAUUUGAUUUAUCAGAUCAAACAGUUUAGCAGCAUAAACAGAAAAUGAUUCACUAUCCUUCAUACGAGUGUAUUCAAACUCUCUACGUAAGCCUUGUAGUUUCACACUUCUUACCUGUUUAUCACCUCUAAACUCCUGCUUCAGGAUAUCCCAUGCACCUUUUGAGGUUUCUUCAUUCACUAUUCUGGGAAAAAUUUGGUCUGAGACUGCACCUUGGAUCAGUCCAAGUGCACGAGCAUCUUUCAUCAAGGUCUCAGCUGAUACAGAUUUCUCUUCUUCAGCAGCUUUAGAUCCCUCUUCCUUUCCUUCUUCCUUCGUUGGAUCUGAAGCAUCAAAGCCAUUUUCAACUAAAUCCCACAGUCCAUGAGAUUUCAGAAUGGUCUUCAAUCGAAUGCUCCAAAACUUAUAGUUUUCUCCAUUGAAUACUGGUGUACGAAGCUCAGAAGAGCUUGAUCCUGCCAUAUUAGACAUCAGACGCAGCUAGACAAGCUUCGUGAAGUUUUGAGUGAGCUCAAUCGUCAGCUCAGCCAAGCACCAGCUCCUUCUUCACAGAUUCACGCCCAAUAAACAAUCAAAACCUGGCUCUGAGGCCAUGUUAUCAUUCUGAGUUUAUCUCUUUCUCAGAUUAGGAAGAGGUACUCUUCUAGAGCAUUUAGCUAGAGAGAAUGAAUAGGAGAAUAUGAAAAAUGCACUGUUCUAUUGAUUUCUGCAAAACUGCAGCUUACAAAGUGUGACUGCUAGCACUACUACAAAAAGUGAAAAAGACGACCAGAAAACAACGACGGUCUAAGUGAAAACCGUCGUGGUUUUUAAAAAGACGACGGUUCUAAAAACACCGUCGUGUAAUACAACCUUAGACAACUAAAAAAUGGAGAUUCAAAUGGCUGUUCAAAAACAACGACGUACAUAAUUAAACAACCGACGUCUAUUUGAAACAGAUUUCCGCAGUGUAAAAUCAAUGCCAACAAAGAACAGCAGAAGUUAUGAAUCGACCGACGUAGAAAGUAAAGACGACGAUUUCAAUAAAAACCGCCAUUUUUACUCAUAAAAUAACACGACGAGGUUUUCGUAUAAGACGCCGUAUAAUUACAAACAAAUCCAUGGCUUUAAAAUACAAAAUAUCGCCGUAUUAAAUUAAUGUACAACGACGGAAAAUAUAAAUAUAUGGACGUCAUUCUCGUAUAGUUCUACGACGUUAUCUUUAAAUCGUACAAUAAAAUUUAACAUCGUAUUUAUUCAUUUUAUACGUCGUACAUGUCGUCUUAAUAAGAAUUUUUGUUAACAAUUUUUUUCUUUGAUUUUCUUAUCCUACGUCGGUAGAUCUACUUAAUGACAAGAAUUGAAAUAACCACGACGGUUUAUAUAGAAAACCGCCAACAUAAUCAGAUUUGUCUGAGAUCCCAAGGGUUACGAAAUCUUACCAGAUGGAACUCUGUUCCACAUCAUAAUCUUAACAGAUGACACUGAUUUGCAUUCAGAGAGACAAUUUUUUGGAAGUUGAUGAUGUGUGUGCGUUUGUGUAUCUACAAAUAUUAUACCUAACGUCGUUGCAAAUUUGCAAUCAGAGAGACAAUUUUCAACGACGGUUAUAUUAUACCUAACGACGUUUAAAAAACAAAUCAACGUCGCUAAACAAAUAUAUUAUGUCGUCUUAGUCUUACUUAAGACGACGAAAAACGACGACAGUAAUAAAAAACAGUCGUUGUUUUUAUAUUCUUAUUUUAUUUAAAUCUGUCCUCCAAAAAAGAAACUUUACAUAUUCCAGAACAUUAAUUUCCUUCAUUUUAAAUUUCCCCCGGAAAAAAAAACUCUAUUUAUAACGCACUGUAAUUGAAAAAUAAACUGAAAGGUCACGGGAAAAAAAAUUCUAUUCAUAAUUUAAAAAUUCAAAUCCACGUCGGUUAUAUUAAACAUAACGACGUUAAAUGAAAAGAUUCCACGUCGCAAAACAAAUAUUGCGUCGUGUUAGUUAAAAACGACGGCAUAACAAAAAACCGUCGUUGUUUCAAACUGAAUUAAUUUAUUCGGGAAAGCAAAAUCUAUUUAUAAUUUCCUCGGGUUAGUAAUAUUGCGUCGUGUUAGUUUACAAAUUCAAGAACAUUAAUUUCCCUCAUUUUAAAUUUCCUCGGGAAAGAAAAAUCUAUUUAUCACGCUUUGUAAUUGAAAACUAAAACUGAAAGAAUUCGGGAAAAAAAACUCUAUUUAUAAUUUAAAAAUAAAAUCCACGUCGGUUGUAGUACACUUAACGACGUUUAACAAAAUAAUCUACGUCGGUAAUUAUAAAUCUACCGCCAUCUUACCUUAAUAUAGACGACGAGAAAAGACGACGGUAGAACAGAAAACCGCCGUUGUUUCAGUUUCUUUAACAGUUUGGUCCUUUAUCUUUCUGCAGGACUUGUAUAGUUCAAAGCAUUGACAAUGUCUUCAUCAUAUCUCCCAGCAACUACUGAUUCGAUUGCUCAUGCUUUAGAGGCCAUCUGAAGCCAUUUCUAUUCUUUAUCGCAUUCUUGAAACCCAUCUUCUUCUUCUGAAGCUCUACGGAUAAAGGAAGAGGCUAUCACAAAUCUGACGGAUCUUCUUAGCCAAGAAAAUCAAGCAGAUUUCCCUGAGAAGCGAACUUUCCUUCGACAGCGAGUGGAGGCCAGGCUUGCAUCUCUUUUGAUGGAAAGCAAGGAGUAUUCAGAAGCACUAAGUGUCCUAUCAGGCUUGAUCAAGGAAGUGAGAAGGCUAGUUGACAAGCUUCUUCUUGUGGACAUAUAUUUGAUGCGAGUAAGCUCAAUUUCUCUUUGAGAAAGACAUCCAAAUUAUUGUCUUUGAGACGUGAGAGACUGAGAGAGGAAGAACUUGGAACCGUAAAUGUAAACCGAAAAUGAAUGAAAGCGACAAAUUUAUAGAAUAAAUUUUUAAAACCAACGGCGGUCCUUACAAAAAAACCGCCGUUUAAAUUGUAAAAUCAACGUCGGUAUGAUCGACGUAUAUUACAGAAAUCCACGUCGGUACAUUAAUAAAAACGACGUGUUAAAUAAUCUACCAUGACGCGAGUUAUUACUUAUGUACUUUAAUUUUUGAGUUUACUACGAUGGUACCUACAACACUACUGUCGUAUUUAUUUACCACGUCCGAAGUUAAAUGUACCGUCGUAUUUUGUAAUUUAUACGUCGUAGUUAUAUAUAACCGCCAUAUUAUUUUUUUGAAAUGGUUUUAUAUGUAAGCAACUUUUCGUCUACCUGACAUACACAUGCGCUGUUUCCAAACCCGAUUAAAAAUUUCAAUCUCCCAGAGAAAACUUUUAGACUUUUUUCCUUGUCAGAGCACUGUCAGAGUAUCUCAUCGUCUUCCUCUCGUCUUCUUCGUCGUCUCUGAACUUAAACAUAAUCUUCCUCUUGCUUUCAUUAUACGCAAAAGGUAAGCUUUCAUUUUCACUAUUUUGGUUGCUGUUUUGCAUGCUCAUACGUUUUUUGUUUGAAAAAUCUUUUUACCUUUUUUCUGGCCAAAAUCAUUUUACUUCUUUCCAAGUUCGAUAAAAUAUACAGACAAAGAGGGAAAGUUUCCAACUUUGAAGACAACUACCUCAACUAAAUAAGACGACGGUAGCUUCUUAUUUACGUGGUUAAAUAUGUAGACCACGACGGUUCGUCAGUCGUUCUAGCGUCGUCUGAAAAUUGACAAAGUUGUUUUUAAAAUUAUAGUCUUUUUUUUAUUUGCUUGUUUAAUUGCAGGUUUGAUUUCUCUGAACAAUGGUUUUUGUUUUUCCCUAAUUUGAUAAAAUAUAAAGAAAAAGAAAGUAGGGUUGGUAUCUAAUAUAGACGACAGUAUCUUAUUGUUUUACGUCGUGUGAAUGUUAAUACCACGACGUCAUAUUAAAAUACCGUCGUCUAUAUAAGAUUCCAAAACUUUCUUUCUUGGCCUUGUAUUUUAUCAAAUUAGAAAACAAAAACCAUGGUUCAGAAAAAUCAAAUCUGCAAUCAAACAUUCACAGAGAAAGAAAGAAGGGUUUUGGAUCCUUAUAUAGACGACGGUAUAUUACUACUGACGUCGUGUAAACAUCAAUACCACGACGUUAUAUAAAUAUUUCGUCGUUUAUAGUUAAUUAUCACGUCGUUUAUAGUUAAUUAUUUCGUUGUUGUUUAAUUACCUUGGUUUUAAACAUUUAUUACGUCUGAGAUUAUUUCAUUGCGUCGUUUAAAAUCAUAUCAUACGUCGUAUUUUAUUAAUAACCGUCGUUUGUGUUCUUAAUCUUUUCCUGAAAUAUUUUCACUUGCAGUUUUGUCUGUAAAAAUGGUUUCUCACCAAGACCAAAGUAAGGAUUCUGGCUCCAAGAAAAAUGGAGGUAAGGAGCUUGGAAUGGUACCUCCUCAAGUGAAGCCUUCGAAGAAGAUGAAGUUUGCUCCAUCAUCUGCUGAGACAGAACCAACCAGCACGACAACAAUCUCUGAUGAUUCAAAGUCUGGUCGAGGUAUGAGCACAAUGCCUCGUGUUGUGAAGAGAAAACUUCAGAAACUGAGGCCAAUUGUUGAGUACAAUAAAAGGGGGAAAGGAAUUGGCCAAGCACAUAGUGAGAUGCAGUCCUACAUUGGUGUGUUGGCACGCUCCAGAGUUCCACUUGUGGACAUGAAAUGGGCUCAAAUCCCCAAGGAUAUAAAGGAGCAGAUUUGGGAAGCAGUUGACAUUGCUUUUGUGGUAGGUCAAGGGGGCAAGAGCUCUGUGUUAGCUUCUGCUGUCAAGAAAUAGAAGGAUUUCAAGUCUACACUAACGAGGCAUUAUAUCCUUCCAUACACCAAUGACAGGGAGAGAUUAAGCCAACCCCCUGAAACAUAUAAAUUCAUAGAGAAAGCACAAUGGGAUGCCUUUGUAGCUUCAAGGUUAUCCAAAGAUUUUGAGUCUGUGCAUUCUCAACAUGCACAGAUUAGGGAGAAACUUGAGUACAAUCAUCGAUUGUCUCGAAAAGGAUAUGCUGGUUUGGAGGAUCAAUUGGAGGAAACCAUGCCUGGGGUAGAAAUUGGUCGAUCUACCUUAUGGAAGAGAGCUAGACAGGACAAACAUGGUAACAUCCCGGAUCCAAAGGUGGCAGAGAAAGCAAAAUUAAUUGUAAGCCUACUCACUCUGUUUUAAAUUUUUAUUCAACUGUGAAUAAUUCUUAUUACGUCUUAUGUUAUAUUUUGCGUCGUGUGAAUGAUAUUACCACGUCGAAAUUUUUUAAACAACGUCGUUAAAGGUCUAAAUAGGAAUCACUACUCUGUUUUCUGUAAUUAUAGCAUAAGAUGUCGGUGGUUCAUUUUCGCGUCGUUUGUAUUGAAUUACUACGUCGAAAUGUUUUAAACAAGGUCGUUAAAGGUGUGAAUAUUGAAUCAUCCCUCUGUUAUCUGUAAAUAAAGCAUAAGACGUCGGAGGUUUAUUCAUUUCGUCGUUUUAAAAACUAACCACGUCGGUAUAACUACCGUCGUGAUAAAUUAUAAUAACGUCGAUUUAUAUGUUAUUGCGUCGUGUGAAAUUAUAUAAUACGUCGUUUGUAUAUAAAUAACCGUCGUGUGUUUUUGUUCUUACUUUUUUAUAUAUCUUUGUUUUAGGAUGAAUUGCAAAAACAAGUCUCGGAAGGCAAAGUCACUGUUUCUGGCAGCAAUGAUGUGCUGACCAUGGCUUUGGGCCCCGAGCAUCCAGGCAGAGUGAGAGGAGUAGGUGCUGGGAUCUCACCAAGGCAAUAUUUCAAUUUACCCAAACCACAGAGAGUGAGCUUUGACGACCGUUUGAAUGACAGUUUAAGAGUUCUCCUUCAAGAAGAGACUAAAAAGAUGGAAGCUAAGGCAAGGGAAGAGGCUUUAAGGAUGGAGGCUAGAACGAAACAAUUGGUAGAGGCUGAGAGGGAGCAUUUCCUGAGUCAGCUUUCCCAAUUAAUUCCCAAUUUUGAUCCAAGCAUGCUUAAACCCAGAAUUAGCCAAAGUCCCAAAAAUCCAAUGUCUGACAAAACAAGCUGCUCUGGAGGUGAUGUGAGAUCCCAGCAUUUUGAGGAUGAUACUGCCAAAAAUGGGAAACAUCAGGAAGAAAAGGUAACAUAUCUGAACUUUGAAUUCUCUGUUUUUUUAAAAACCAUUAGACGUCGUUAUUAUUAAUAAAACCGUCGUUUGAAAUACAUACCACGACGAUUUUAAAAAUAAGUCGUCGUUUGUAUUUCAAUACCACGUCGUAUUUAGUUUACUUGUUUUACACGCCAUUAAACGUCGUUAUUUUUAAAACUUUGUGGUUUUUAGACGACGGAGUUAGUCAUUCCCGCCGUAAUAGAUGAAGAGAAGAGAGAAGAAAAACAAGAUGAAAAGGAGAAAGAAGAUGACGACCAGGUAUGUUCACAUAACUUUGCCUUUUUUAUUUGUUUUUCAAAAUUCCAGACGUCGAUAUUUUUCUUUAAACCGUCGUUUGUUUACAACUUAGACGGCGGAAUUUUUUUCUAAGACGUAAUAAAUUAUUCACCACGACGGUUUCUUCACCGUCGUUUAAAUUCUUUUCAGACGACGUUGUAUUCCUUAAACCGUCGUUUUUAUUGAAUUACCACGUCAUUUUUUUUAUUUCUUUAAACAGGUUAUUCAAGGUGUUGAUUAUUCAAAUAUGGAGGCGCCAUCUUCUUUAAAAUCCCUUUGUCGUUAUGUGGAAACGACACUCGUGCCUCAGGAUAAGACCCUGCACUUUACAAUUGAUAAGGAGGUGUUUGGUCUAGAGCGCGAUACCUUCCUCCUGCCUGAAGAUAUUACACAAUUUGCAGGCAUGGAAGAAAUAGGAGCCACUGUCAUUGCUGUAUAUAUGAGGUUUGUCAUUCUAAAAUAAUACGUCGUUGGUUUAUUUAUUGCGUCGUCUUAACCAACUAACCGCGUCGUUAGUAUGUACCGUCGUGAUAAAUAUAUUAUAACGUCGUUGUCUAUUUCAGUACGUCGUGUGAAAUUUUAUAAUACGUCGUUUUGUUAUACAUAACCGUCGUGUGUUUUAUGUAUAUAUGAGGUUUGUCAUUCUAAAAUAAUACGUCGUUGGUUUAUUUAUUGCGUCGUCUUAACUAACUAACCACGUCGGUAGUAUGUACCGUCGUGAUAAAUAUAUUAUAACGUCGUUGUCUAUUCCAGUACGUCGUGUGAAAUUUUAUAAUACGUCGUUUUGUUAUACAUAACCGUCGUGUGUUUUUUUGUGCUGACUUGUUUAUAUUAUUUUAUAUAUCUAGGUACUUACACGAUGUUUUGAAACGAGCAAAUAUGUGCUCCAUGGUUGGCUUUAUCGACCCUGCUACAGUUAGUGCCAGCUCUGGCACAAUAGCUGACAGAUCACGCCUACUAGCAGCUCGACUUCAGAGGACUGACGGUGAACAGAUUUUCCUGAUGCCUUACAAUCCAGGGUUAGUCUCCUUAACAGGAUUUUGAUUUUAUGAUUUUCAAUAAAUGACAGCGUAUAAACUAACCACGUCGGUGUUUUAUUUUAUUGAGUCGUUGCAAAACUACUAACCACGUCGGUAGUUAUUUAUCGUCGUGAUAAAUUUAUAAUGUCGUCGAUUGCUUCUUUAUUUCGUCGUGUGAAAUAUUAUAAUACGUCGUUUUUGUAAAUAACCGUCGUUUUAUAUUAAUUUUGUGCAGCCGUCAUUGGAUCUUGCUGAUUGUAAGAGCAAAGAGAGAAACCGUCUAUUUUCUGGAUUCUCUGCCAGGAAAUCGUGUGGUCGAUGAAGAGGCCAAAAACAUUGUGAACAGUGCUAUAAAAAUUUAUAACUCUCACAUAGCUAGACCAGGCCGUAAGGCAGUCAUUUGGAAAACUCUGUCAGGCACACCAAAGCAACCCAGCAGUGUCGAAUGCGGGUAUUAUGUGAUGCACUUCAUGAGGGACAUCAUCAUGGAUCCUUCCUUGGGGUUUGAGAAGAAGGUAAGAAGAAAUUACCUUCAUACAUUUUACGUCGUUUUAUGUAUUAUCAACGACGGUCAUGUAAAAUUACCGUCGUUGAAUAGAUAGUACGUCGGUUAUGAAAAAUAUCGUCGUCUGUGAUUUAAUUUCUUUUUAUUUAUAAACCCUAAUAGUCAUUGUUUAUGUAGUAUGCCAAGGGAAAACAGGAAGCGCCAUACCCCCAAGAAGCAAUUGAUGAAGUCUGGAAUGAAUGUGCAGAGUUUGUUUGCCUUCACCUGGAAUAGGGGAAUUAUUGAACGCUUGAUAUUUAUGUAUAAUGUACAAAUUUUGUCUAUAAUAUAUAAUGUAAAAAUUUGUUGAGGUUUUCUUAAAUUAAAAAAAAAAACAAACAUACAAAUUGCGUAAACGACGUGUAAUACUUUUCCAACGACGUAAUAAAGUCAAAAGCCGUCGUUUUUUGUUGUUUCGUUUUAAACAAAUCCGACGUAAAAGGAUAUUUAGACGACGUUCUUUGAACAAUUGAGUCGUUUAUGGUUUACAACGUCUUCAAUUUCUUAAGGGUUCAGGGUAGUACUUUGUAACGACAGCGGUUAAGUCGUGGAAUAUAUAUUUUAUGUCGGAUAGUUAAAUAUCCGCCAUGGUUUCUCAUUUAAACGACGUCAUUUUAACAACUUAGUCGUCUAUUACAAUUUACAACGUCUACAAUUUAUUAACACCGACGUGGUUUGUUGUUGUGAUAAGAAUAUUUUAUUAUUUUUAUAUCAAAAUAUUCAAAAUAAAUUUAAAAUAAAUCAGAAAAAUGCAAAGUCAACUCCUAUGAAGUCAUUGAUAUAUUUUCUUCCCCUAAACCUUGAAAAAAUUCAUUUUGAAUAACAAAAAUUUAAAAUGGCCAUCCAAAACAAAAUUAUUUUGAUGAGUCAUAAAAUCACUUCUAGUUUUAUGGUUUAGGGUUUAGAGUCUAGGGUUUAGAGAUUAGGGUUGUUAUUUAUUGGGGUUUAUUUUUAAAGUAUAAUUUUUGGGUAGUCUAGGGUAUAUAUUAGGCUGUAAAACCAUAAACCCUUUUAUAAACUUAAUUUUUAAAAUUAUAUAAUUUAGUUUUAAGGGUUUAGGGUAUUAAUUGUUAACGACGGUGGUUGAGUCGUGGAAUACAUAUGUUACGUCGUGCAGUAAAAUAUCCGACAUGGUUUCCACUUUAAACGACGUCAUUUUAAUAUGUAAGUCGUCUAUUAUAAUUUACAACGUUUUCAGUUUCUUAACUUCGACGUGGUUUUUCAGUCGUCUUUAUAUCAAAAUAUUCAAAAUAAAUUUAAAAUUAAUUCGAAAAAUGAAGCGUCAAAAGAAACGGCGUUACGUUCAGUGUUUCCGUCGUGGAAUAUUACAUUUACGUCGGUUCUUGUAGAACUUUCGCCAUGGUUUUUCUUUCGACGUUUUAAAGAACGCGCGCUCUAAAAAUUUUCGCGCGCCCUAAAUUUUUUUAUAUUUGGCUCUUAUUCUUAUACUUCUAACCCUGAACCCUAAAAUUUUCAGAUUUCGCGCAACAUAACAUUCGCUCUCUCACUUCUGCUCUAAUUAAAAGUUGCACUCUCCAGGCUCCGUCGAAUCUGUAAGCUCGUCCAACCUGUAAGUACAAACCCUAUCUUCCCCUUGUAAAUUCAUUGAAUGAUAUUAGGUUGUUUUGUUAAAUGGUUUUAGGUAUAUGCUUUGCGAUCUGUUAAUAAUGUGCUUAUAGGUAUGGGUUCAUGGAUUUUCUGUUUAAUGGGUUCAUGGAUUUUCUGUUUAAUGGGUUCAUGGAUUACAUUAUCUGUUAUGUUGAAUUGGGAAUGGAUUUAAUUUUGUCGGAUCUUUUAAUCACCCUAUGUUAUGUUGAAUUGGGAAUGGAUUUAUUGUUUUCAUGCUUGGUUUCAUGUAUAUGUUGGUUUCUUGCUUGGUUUCAUAUAUAUGUUGUGUUCUUAAUGGGUUUUGGGUUCUUGAAAAUAAACUGAGACACGACGCCUUUUUAGGCAUACGACGACGAUUACACGACGGUUUAUGAAAAAACUGUCGUUGUAUUACUUAUACACGACGGUUUUUUCAUAAACCGUCGUUUGUAUUACUUAUAUUAGACGACGUCUGUUGAAAAUCCGUCAUCUAUAUAUGCCAAAUACGUCUGUUUUUGUUUAAAACUCGUCGUCUCUGUUGUGUAUUACUUGCUAUUAGAUCUUUGUAUAAUCUGCUAUAGUGAUGGUCAUUGCCUGUAUUUUCACUUUAUUAUAGAUAAUAGGUUAUAGUGUCGGAGAUGGAUAAGUCAUGGAUGCACUCGAAUAGAAGAUCGAAGGCAUAUGAGUUUGGGGUGGAAGCAUUUUUGAACUUUGCUGUAGAAAAUCUUCUAACUACAACACAUAUCCGUUGUCCAUGUGUUAAAUGUGUUAAUUUGAAGUUGUUUGGGGUUGGAAUUAUAAGGGAUCACUUAUACUUUAAUGGAAUUGACCAAAGCUAUAAGAAUUGGACAUUUCACGGAGAACCUUGGGAAGCAACUACUAAUGCUAGUAGAAAUGUUGAAGAAGAUGAUGGCCAUAGUAGGUACAGUUUUGUGUCUGAAGAAAUUGAUAUGGAUGAUAAUGAUUUUGGUGAUUUUGGUUCUGAUCCGUAUGAGUUUGCCAAUGUGAUUGGGGAUGGAGAUCAACCAGUGUACCCUGGUUGUAGAAAGUACACGAAGUUAUCGGCAUUAGUGAAGUUGUAUAAUUUGAAGGCAAAACAUGGGAUGAGUGAUGUCUGUUUUACAGAAUUAUUGAUACUUCAAGGCGAUUUGCUUCCAGAAGGAAAUACAAUACCAACCUCUAUGUAUGAGGCUAAAAAGACUUUGUGUGCAUUGGGGCUGAGUUAUGAGAAAAUGCACGCAUGCCCCAAUGAUUGCAUCUUGUAUAGGAAGGAGUAUGAGGAUUCAACUAAUUGUCUUACUUGUGGUAUCUCAAGGUGGAAGGAAGGCAAAGAUUCAAUCUUGAAAGAGGGUGUGCCAGCGAAGGUGGUGUGGUAUUUUCCUCCAAUUCCAAGGUUUAAAAGGAUAUUUCAAUCACAUGAGACAGCUAAGAGUUUGACUUGGCAUGCUGCUAGAAAAUCAAUUGACGGUCAGAUGUCUCAUCCGGCGGAUUCCCCGUCUUAGAAACUUCUUGAUGAUAAAUGGCCUGAGUUUGGUAAUGAGCCGAGAAACUUGAGAUUGGCUCUUUCAUCUGAUGGAUUCAAUCCCCACAGUUCUCUAAGUAGCAGAUAUAGUUGUUGGCCGGUUAUCUUAGUUACAUAUAAUCUCCCUCCAUGGCUGUGCAUGAAACGAAAGUUCAUGAUGUUAACCUUAUUGAUUUCCGGUCCUAAACAACCCAGAAAUGAUAUAGACGUCUACUUGGAGCCUUUGAUUGAUGAUUUAAAAUCUUUGUGGGAUGGGAUUAGAGGAGUGUAUGAUGCACAUAAUGGAGAAUACUUUACACUCAGAGCUGCAUUAAUGUGGACAAUUAAUGAUUUCCCCGCCUAUGGAAACUUAUCUGGUUGUGUUGUUAAAGGAUAUAAAGCUUGUCCAAUAUGCGGCGAUGAUACACCUAGUCACAGGUUGAAAAAUGGCCACAAAAUUUGUUACAUUGGGCAUAGAAAAUGGUUACCAAUCAAUCAUCCAUAUAGGAGGCAACGUGCAGCUUUUAAUGGGAAACCUGAAUAUGGCAUACCUCCCGAGCCAUUAACCGGAGAAGAAGUGCUGCAUAUGGUUGAAAAUGGUGACAGAGUUUGUUGGAAGAAGAACUCAAUAUUCUUUGAUCUCGAGUAUUGGAAAUACCUUCCUAUGAGGCAUGCCCUAGAUGUUAUGCACAUUGAGAAGAAUGUUUGGGAUAGUAUUAUUGGUACAUUGCUGGAGAUCCCUGGAAAAAAUAAAGAUGGGAUUGCUGCUCGAUUAGAUUUAUUGAACAUGGGGGUCAAAACUGAUUUGCAACCCGAGUAUGGAGAAAGACGUACUCGUUUGCCUCCUGGGCCUUGGAAUUUGUCAAGAGCAGAGAAGAGAGAGGUUUGCAAUUCUUUCUAUGGUAUGAAGGUCCCUGAAGGUUAUUCUUCAAAUAUUAAAAAUCUUGUAUCUUUACAAGAUUCAAGACUUCUUGGCCUUAAAUCACAUGAUUGUCAUACCUUAAUGCAACAAUUGCUCCCUGUGGCAAUUCGUUCUGUUUUGGAGAAGCCUGCCAGGUAUGCAAUAACUCGUUUGUGCUUCUUCUUCAAUGCUAUAUGUGCAAAGACUGUUGAUGUUUCCAAGCUAGAUAAGUUGGAAGAAGAUGUAGUAGUUACUCUGUGUUUGCUUGAGAAGUACUUUCCCCCUUCAUUCUUUGAUAUCGUGGUUCAUCUAGUAGUACAUCUUGUCAGAGAAGUUCGUCUAUAUGAGCCAGUAUAUUUUAGGUGGAUGUAUCCGUUUGAAAGAUAUAUGAAAGUUCUGAAGGGGUAUGUUCAGAAUCGUACUCGUCCCGAAGGUUGCAUUGCUGAGCGGUAUAUAGCUGAAGAAGCGGUAGAGUUUUGUACUCAGCAUUUAUCUGAUGUUAGUACAGUUGGAGUGCCUUCAAGCCAAAAGAUGGGACUUUCAAAGCCAUUAUCAGGUUGCACAGUGAGCGUAGUUGAUCAGGACCUGUUGAAUCAAGCACAUCUAUAUGUCUUGGAGAAUACGGAGGAAGUCCUACCUUAUAUCGAGUACGUAUGAGUUUUAUUCUUUAAGUUUCCAUUUUAAAUUAUUUCUUAUGUUUAUCUUCUAUAUUUGGGACCGUAAUGCUUGAAUUUUUCGUGUCAUGUAGGCAACAUAUGAUCCACAUCAAGACUGCUUAUCCAAAAUUUAGAAAGAGAACAAAGUGGCUGCAGGAUAAGCACAAUAGCACUUUCAUUCAAUGGCUACGCUUCAAGGUAUAUGUUGUUGAAUAACAUAUUUCUCUUUUAAUUUUCUUCUUAUUUCUAUGUUAGAUUAAGAUAUAUGAUUAAUUUGCAGGUUCAAAGUGAACUUGAGGAAGACAAUCAUGGCGUAUCAGAAAAUUUAAGGUGGCUAGCAGCUGGUCCAAACAUGGCAGUGCCAUUAUAUAGGAGCUAUCUUAUUAAAGGUAUUAAAUUCAAUAUCAAGGCACAAGAUGAUGUGCGGACAACUCAAAAUAGUGGAGUUUAUUUACUUGCACAUACCAUGCAAGUUGCUAGUGCCAAGGAUAAAAACCCAAUUCUCUCAAAUAUGGGUUUCUAUGGUGUCAUUCAAGAAAUUUGGGACCUUGACUACCAAAAGUUUACAAUCCCAGUCUUUAGGUGUGAUUGGAUAGAUAGUUCUGGUCUUGUAGUAGACGAACUUGGAUUUACCCUUGUAGAUUUGAGUAAAAUUGGACAUAGGAAUGACCAAUUUGUUUUGGCUUCUCAAGUCAAACAAAUAUUUUUUGUUGACGACCCGAUGCAUCAUGGUUGGUCGGUAGUGUUAUCAAUGCCUAAUAGAGAAUAUAAUGAUGUUAUUGGUGAUGAAGUCUUAGGUGAUGUGAUAAUUGAGUGUGAGCCAUUUACUAGAGGGAUGCCAAAUGUUGACACAUUUGAUGAACUGGUGGGUGAGUUAGGCGGUCAAAAUAUUCGAGAUGGGUGUGAAGAUAUAUGGAUUGAAUGAUGCUUAUGUAAUUGGCAGUGUAUGACAUUAAUUUUGUAAUAUAUUGUAAUGUGAUUUCUUCACUUUCUACGUUCAAAUAAAACACGACGUUAUUGUGAACCAGUUAUUCAGCAUAUUUACCGACGUCUUAAAGCAACGUAACAAUGAAGAACCAUGACGCUAUUGUGAAGCAAUUAUUCAGGAUAUCACGUCGGGGAAGGAUUAAGAACCGCCAUGUAAUUCAAAAUAACACUACUCCAAUCCCAUAAUACCGACGUCUAAAAAACGAGAUAUAUAAUCUGAACGUUAAAAAAUACGACGUCAUCAUACAUUUUCCACGUCGCAAGUUCUUUUAUAAACGAAGAGGAACGAAAUGAAUUCCGACGGUAAUUCAUUAUAACCGCCGUCUAAUAUCAAUUAAACGACGUUAUUUGUAAUACGGCUCUCAUCAUAAUCAACGCCGUCUAUAUGUUCUGUAAUACGGCUCUCAUUUAUUUGGAACCGACGUUGUUUAGAAGUUCAACGUCGUCUAUAUUAAUAAGUGCGUCGUGAGUAAUGAAUACAUAUAAAUACAACGUCGACAAUAUAAAUGCCACCGACAUUGUUUCGCAUUCAACGUCAACUAUAUAAAUACAUACGUCGUAAAUAAUGACACUGACAACUAUUUCCACGUCAUCUUUUUUAGAAAAAUCGAAGUGGAAAAUUUAUUUCACGACGGUUGUUUGUAAAUAAGAGACGUAGUAUAUUUCAAUAACGUCGUCUUCUCAUGUAUUUAAAGACGUCAUAUUUUUUCUUGUCGUGAAAAUUAUAUUUAACGGCGUAAUGUUUUAGUUAUCGUCGUUGUAUGUCUAUCUUGCGGCCUUGUUCUUUUAAUAUGUGUCAUAUUUUUCCUUUUUAACGACGGUGAUUUGUUUGAGUUGGUCGUCUAUUCUCAUCGUCGACUAUUUUUUAGAACUUUAGCAGACUAAACACGUCUGUUUUUAUUUGUUUUCGACGUUGGUUUAUUUAACAACGUCUAAUAUUUAUCGUCGUUGUUUGUUUCUGAAAAUAGGACGUAUAAAUUUUGUAAUACGACUCUCAUAUAUUUGUAACCGACGUUGUUUCCUUGUUCAACGUCUACUCUAUAAAUACAUACGUCGUAAAUAAUGACACUGACAACUAUUUCCACGUCAUCUUUUAUAGAAAAAUCGAAGUGAAAAAUUUAUUUUACGACGGCUGUUUUUAUAUAGGCGACGUAGUAGGUAUCAAUAACGUCGUCUUCUAAUGUAUUUAAAGACGUCAUAUUUUUUAUUGUCGUGAAAAUGAUAUUUAACGGCGUCUUUUUUUAAUUUUCGUCGUUGUCUGUCUAUAUUGCGGCCUUGUUCUGUUAAUAUGUGUCAUAUUUUUCCUUUUUAACGACGGUUUUUUUAGAGACUUGGUCGUCUAUUCUCAUCCUCGACUGCUUUUUUAGAUCUUUUUGCAGUACAAAGACGUCGUUUUGUAUUUGUUGAUGACGUUGUAUAUUGUAACAACGACGGUGAUUUAGCGUCGUGGUUUAUGAGGGAAAAGAUGACGGUGGAUUCCACGACCAUUGAAAAACCGAAUACACGACGGUGAUUUACCGUCGUCUUUUUGCUUUUUUGUAGUAGUGUAGGAGAGAAAUGUGAUUCUCUUCUAACAGAAUUACAGCUGUCAUCCUAUUAGAUUCUUACACCUGUCAUAGCAAAUCUAAGCUAGAGAAUCCACCUGGACUAUGAUCUAAUGGCUCUCCUUACAUCAUUUAAAUAAGCUGACCAAAAACAGAACAAAUAGAGAAUAGCUUCAGCUCUAAGAAAUCUGCUGCAGGAUUAUAUUUCAACACUAGCUUGUACCAAAUCACUUGGGUUUGUUUUCGUGCUCAUGCAACCCUUCCGCAAGAGAUUUCUCAUGAAAAUGAUCACACUCUAUCCUUGUGUAGAAAUAGGAUACCCUACCUAGCUAGCUCCUCUGGUUAACAGACAACAAAAGGGACCACCAUGUUCUUGAAAAAUGAAUUCAUUGCUCCUCUGGUUAAUUAACAGUACUGCAUAUGGUAUGCCCUACAACAAAAACUUGUUAACUUGUGUGAUAAACUAGUAGUCUAUUUCUUUUUCAUCUUUUUAUAAAUGCUGCUUCAAAAGACAAGAAUUUGUGGUGCUAUGAGAAUAUACAUGGACCCUCGGAUGCUCUAUGAUUUGGUUGGUUGGGAGCACCAAACCACCCUUGCAUGUGGCUUUGUCCUUUCAUCUAUGAUCUUCAGGCCCAACAAGCAAGGGAAGUCUUUCAUUUGUUUGAAGAAUUGAUACUUAUUGAGAAUGCAGUAGGUAAUGAGUACAUAUCUAAAAAGCAUAUGAUAUCAAGAGAGUGCUAAUCUGUAGCAAUUGUAAAAUGUAGGAUACAUACUUUUUACUUAAAGUUAAACAUAUGAAAAGAUGUUUUACUAAUCGAAUUAUUUGAUAUAGCAAAUGUAAAUUGAAAAAGAUGAAAACCAACAUUAAGUUCUCUUUGUAGGCGCUAGUAGAGUAAAACAUGCCAAUUCGUUGUAAGUGCAAGCCACAUCGCUUAUGCUUAUACUCAACAUGAAAUGAAUUGUUGACAUUACAAUUCGUGAAAUCUAUCUGUUGACUCUAGCGACGUCAGUAAUUUCAUCUAAAUUGUAGAAAUUUGUUAUAAAAACAAAGAAGAUUAUUGAACAACCUGAUUACCUAAAACCAAAUUAGAUUUUAGAAAAAUAUAGUAGAUACAUAAAACUUUAUUACCUAACAAAGAAAGAUGUCAAAUCUUUCAAAAACAUUUUCUUACAACCAAGGGAAAAAAUCCAAGAUUGAAUUGAUGAAAAUGACUUCGUUUGGACCACUCAAACCUUCUUUGCUAAUUACUCAGUUAGCUAGUUUGUUAAAGUAGAGAAGUUACCUAGUAUAUCUCCAACAAAAAUAGUCAUAUUGUAAAGCCUGUUAUGUAACUAAGGGAAUUGUGGAGAGAAUAUAGAGAAAACAAGUAGCAAUAGAAAGGCUCUUCAUCUGCUUGUAUUAAAGUUUACUUUGUAUCCAUUACAAUUGAGAAGGUAGCCUUGUUUAUAGGCCAAGCCUUGGCUAACAACCAGAGAAAGAAGGCUCAUGGAAGGUGUAAGCAAAUAACGUUCCAACUUGUGGGCUCCACUUGCAGACUUUUACAACACUCUCUCUUGGAUACCACAAUGUAUGGAAUCUGUCUCGUUAAAAACCUUGCCAAUAAAAUUUAGUGGGACAAAAAAUGGUCCAAAGGGAAAAAGAGCGCAUAAUCAUGUGUAACAUAAAAUUAUGUAUAUAUAACACUGACACGCGUGCGACACUGCCUCGUUAAAACCUUGCCAGGUAAAACUCAGUGGGACAAAAAAGAAAAAACUAGAUGAAGGAAAAAGAGUACAAUGUGUGAAAAUCUUAUUGAUGGCACGCUCCCCCUGAUGCUGACAAAAUAUCUUUAAGUCAUGAUGUUGACAAUCUUUCUGAAUGUCGUAGUUGAACACUGCUUCCAUGAAUCAAUCUUGUAAUACUGGUGGAUGCUACCCCUAAAGAAUUACUCCCCUUGAUGUCUUCUUUGAUGAUCCAACACAAAUGAUAUUGAUAUCACAUUUGUACUUCACAAACUGAUCUUUGGUAAUGCUUGUAGAAAACUUGUUGUUGUAACAUCUCUGGAGGAUCCCUGUGUGUCGUCAUUCAUCUAAUUCUUAUUGAGGUUAGAGUAAUACAGAAAAAUAUCUAGGCUAUUUUCAUAAGACUUUCACUGUACACAAUGGUUUGAAUUUCAUAUGUUUUCCAAUAUAAAAAACAAUAAGCUCAUAUUUAUAAUGAUAAGAGCAUUAAAUAUUUAUAUGGUGUUGUUUACCCUUUUUGUAUUUGAGUAUGUUGAAGCCUAAAUAAAAUUCCCCAUUAAUUUUUUAAACACUUAAUGGUUUCUUGAGUAACUUUCUUGCCACUAUUAGCAGAUAAUACCCUAACAGAUUUGAACAACUUUAUAUACUUGCACCCCAAGUAAUAGACUUUAAACAAACAAUUGUGAUUUUGGAUGGGGAAACCUCCCAAGAGAGUUCUUUUCUAUGCCUCAGACUUGUGACGACUUCACAAUUUAUUAAGACAAAAAUGGUAAGCAAAGCAAAAUACACAAAUUUAUGAAGGGUAUAACAGACUAAUCCAAGCAAAACUACUUGAAGCACAAAGUAACAAAUGAAUCUUUAAAUCUACGUACUUCUCAAAGGGGUUGGACUUUGACUUAUGUUUGAAAACAUAGUCGCAAUGAUGACUUGUGAUUAGACUGGACUGAACUUUUGUUGACUAGAUUGAAUGUUUCUGCACUGGAAUUUCAUGUCAGCACCUUCAACUAAUAGAGAUUAGCUAGAAAUCGAUACCAAGUUUGAAGUUUGGCAGAGCUAUAAACAAGUUAAACCUUGAAUAGGCUAUGGAAGUGAUCAAAACUGCAAACGAGUACCUAUUCUUGUUGAUUCUGAGUGAUUUUAAAGCUAUCUAGACAAUUUUAAGACAUUAAGAUGUAUUUGAAAAGCUUGUUGAGGAUUUUGUAUGAUGAAAUACCUGACUUCUUCUUGUUUUAUCUAAUUUGAUGAACCAAAUUUGUCAGAGGAAUUAAUCUCGUUUGAAUUCUGUUUGAUUUACCUUAUCUGGAUUACAAGGGCAAUCUUGGUUUCUUCUUGGUUUUCUGAACUUCUUUUUGAGCUGGAUUGCUUGUUAAGGAAGAUUGCUUGCUUGCUUUUGGUAGUUGUAAGAUCAUAUGAUCUUUGAUUUCUUUUUAUCAAUCUGGAGUUAUUGUUGAGUUUUUCCUUAAUUUGUUGGUUAUUUGUCCCUUCUCCUGUCCAGACACUUUUGUAUUUAUAGGAGAAAAAUGAUGUUGAAGAAAUCUGGAAUUUUUAGUUUUGGACUAUCCUCCAUUUAAUGCACAAGUGGCAAAAGUUUUGUUAGUUAAUGCAUUGAUCGUUUUUGGCACCUGCUCAUUAAUGUUCUUGAAUGUCUCCUGAUCGUUCCUUUUGGAACAACUAAGCUGAAGUGAGCAAUAAUGCCCAAAUUCCUCCAACGUUGGUGUAACACCCGGAUCCAAUUUUAACUUCUCAUUCAAAUUAUUUAAUUUAUUUAAUUGUGAAAUUACAAUUUUACCCUUAGGGCAGGGUUAUUUUGGUCAGUUUUUAAUCCGAUAGGAUUUUGGGGAAUUGAAUGGCACCAUUACUUAGAGUGCAUCGAUACGAGUUCAUAGACAUUCAGUGGGAUCAAAUAAGAGUUUUAACAAAGAAGUUACGAUCAACGGAAGUGCAAUGGCACCACCGUAAAUAUUUCAAAAUUUGAAAUUGAAACACUAGAUUCUCUCUCUCAAUCUCUCCCUCAUGAAUCUCUCUCUCCUCUGUUGGGAGCACCACAACCCCGUCGUCUUCUAACGAUGAUUCCGGGGUCAUCCUUCCUCUCCUGCUACGAAACUGGUUACAAUUUUUUUUCAUCUCUCUCUCCUCUUUACAUCCAUACCAAUUUCCAACCUCAAUUCCAAGGGAUUAAGCCAAAAAUUCGAACGAAAACCCAACUCAAACUGGCCUGUCAAAAACCAUGACUUCCGGCGUUUGUUCUGGCCAACUUCACCGAUCACCAAGUGGGUUCCAAAACACUCCCGUGCCUCCCCUCUGUAAUUUUCCUCGAAGACCCGACUUGAUUUCAAUCCGAAACCAUCGAAUUGAAACCUAGAAGGUGUUUCAACGAGAAAACCAACUGUUCGAGGGCUUUAGCGGCUGAAUUGAUCUUCGAGCAAAGGUAUAAAGUUACUCCCCUUGAUGUGUUUGAUCUUUUGAUAUGAUUAUUGGCCAGCGGUUUGGAGUUUUUCGAUCGCCAGAAAUUUUUUCAAGACACCCGUAGGCAGUGGUGGCUCGUCAGUGGGGUAUCAAGGUUGGGUUUUGAAGCUAGAAUGUUCCCCAUGUCGUCCCAAGCACGAUAGUAUGCUGAAAUUUGAAUUUGGUUGUUGUUUGACGGUCGAUCAAAUUUACAUAUAUUAGGCGUCUUCCGUGUUCGAUAUGUUCAGACCGUUGGAUCGACUCCAUUUCCAACUAUGCUGGUCUAGAUACCUCUCAGAUCAUGUAGGAACUACGAAUUGAGAAUCGGAGUCCCGGAUACUCCAAUUUAAUGGCUCAAAGUUUGGGUAAAACGGUGACCGCCCGAUCGUAUGAUUGUGAGCGAUCCGACCGCUCGAUCUGGACCAAACUUGUAGGACGUGUUUAGUAAGCUUUGUUGAACCCGUAGGGAACUUUUGGAUAGGAAAUUGGAGGUCAUGGGCCCAACAGGCCCAGCUGACCAAAUUUGGGAAGUUUGACCACUUGGUUGACCGAGCGUCUUUCGAGGUUAUUUCACAUUUCGGAACAUGUAGUUGGACCUUAGAAACUUCCUGUUUGUUGUAUACACACCUUGAAUUCCGGGAAAAAUUAGGAAUUUAUUUUAAAGUUUCCAUCCGAAUUAUUUUAAUUAAUCUAGUCCUCGUAUUUUUCAAUAGGCACUUCGGCUCAGCGUACUCAAUAGGGUUAAGCAGCUCUAGAUUAUCUGUGAGUGGACUUUGUUUUUAAAUAAUAAUCAUUAUUUUCAAAGAGAAAAAGCUAUGCAUAAUGAGUUAUUCGAUUAUUGAGUUUAACAUAUUAUUUAUUUAAAUGUUUGAAUUUGCAUAUUGUGAUUAUCUUGAAUUAAUAUAUGCUAUGUUUGAGAGUUACUAUCUGACAGGACCCGAUCCAAAUUCCGCUUUGGAAUUCGAGCCGGACCCUGUGCGUGUCCGACACCUGGCAAAUGUCGGGCACAAAUGACCUAUUUGCCCUUCUAUACAAAACAUGAUAAAAUAACAAGGUUGACGUCUACCGAAAAACCGGCAGAGUUUUCCUUGUAACUGGCUCAAUACCAACAUAUUUACACCUGCCAAACAAGUAUAUAUAUAUACAUCCAACUGCCAGCAUACAUUUAUAUACAGUCCAACCGUUCAAUUCUCAAUCUAGGGCAAAACAUCAGAGCAACUUCUAAGAAUUUACAAAGAAGUGAAUCUUUUUACAAAACAAAAAUCCUACAUCAAAGAAAAGGCGCGGAAGAUAGAAAACGGCCCGGUGGUGGAUCACUGUGCACGUCUUCUGCCUGGGGGAGCAAAACAUGGAAAAGGGUGAGUGGACCUAAAAAAAAAGUUUAGAAAAUAUGAACAUACUAACUCCACUGUAAAAACAGUUGUACAAACUAAAUUAUUCUCUUUAUUUCUGCAAUCAAUGCACGUAUAUAAUUAUACAUGUAAAUAAUCAUAUUCAUGGUCAACAUUACUUUUAAAAACAGUUUAAAACUACCACCUAGGUGUACCCUUUAUUUCCGUCAAUUCCUUAUAUCCGUCAAUUCCUUGCAUCACCAUAGGUGACACAUACUCGCAGGUCUCAGUGACACGAGGUCAGUCCGAGCCGCAACUCGCAGGAUUCAGGGGACCGUGGUCCACCUUUAUCCGCAUACUCGCUCCACACGAGUUCGAUUACCAAGGAACUUGUGGGGCAACUGUCAAGCAUGCUGACUAAACCGAAGGCAACCAAUAUAAUCCGAAGGCAACAUUUAAUAUCUGGGUACAAGGUGGUUUAACAAAAUAUAAAGUUUCGGAAGCAAAGCUGUUAAAUAAUUAACUUUCUGUAACCUUUCAAAUUCUGCUGCCAUUUAUCUGACAAGUAACUAGAAUUUCUUUUCUUAUAUCCGUUAAAAGGUAUUUCACUCGGCAGCAUGUAAAAUAAAACAGCUUAUAACUGAAACUGAACGGCUUAAAUUCAUUUAUUAAAAUAUAGAGUCCACUCACCGGUAGUCCGAGCUCGCUGGACCUCUUGAAGGUCCCUUCUAUGGGUCAACUGGUGCCCGGGUGCCUGAUUCAAUGACCAUAAUAUACUAUUAAUACAAUAUAGUGUUAAUAUAAAAACUCUUACCCCCAGCUCCUAAAAGUACAUGCGUACAAUUAAAGUUAUCUCUAUACCCAUAAAAGCUUUCCUUCCAGUUUAGCAGUAUCUUGGGACUCAAAAAGCGUUAAAGUCCCAAAAAAUCAACCCGAGACCCCACGGGUCCAUGACCUCACAAUAUAAUCCGGAAGCCGCAAGAAGGUCCAAUAUAUCUAGGACACAUGUCCAGAGGGUAUUGGUCUCGAUCGGACGGUCAGAUUGAUCACGAUCGUGCAAUCGCAUAUUUUCCAAACCCUAGCUCUAGGGUUCGCGAUUUUGGAGUCCCUAGGACUCCGAUUCACAAUCCGUCGAAUCCUACACGAUUCUGAAAUUGUCUAGAGUAACAUAUCUGAAACUGGUUACGAUCCAACGGCUCAACCAUAUUGAACCCGGAAAUCGCACAAUAUGGAAAAUCCGUUCGAGGCUCAAACGGUAUCCAAAUUGAGAUCCGUGAAUUCCUACGCGCUCGUGACAACCUAAGGAUCGCAUCAAGACACAGUACCACUGCACUACCCUCGCCCACACGCCGCCGCACGCGCCGGCAGCGCUGGGUGUCCAAAGCGAUUAUGCAUCGCCGGAAAAUCUCGAAACCACGGCUCCAAACUCCUACCCUAGGUAUAACACCAUAUUUGGAACCACUUUUGUUCUUGGACCUACCCCAAAAACUGACCGAAAGUGGCCGAACAGGGAGGCCGAAAAUCAGCCAAAUUCCAAUUUGAAAACUGAGCUAUCUACGGUCAAAAUCGAUGCAAACCUACCCAACCAUCAGCUAGAGCAUGGAAAAUAGGUAGAAAUCCAUACCUUACUCGACAAAUUUGGAGAAGAAUUGAGGGAGAACGAGCGGUUGCAAAACUGUGAAAAACCAGCUCGAGUUUUACAGUUUCCGGCGGCUGGCAGCGGGCUGGGCGGGGCUUGAAGACGGAACCGAGCUGGUCCUUUUGGCACCGACGGCAAGGGCAGGGGUGGUCGGUGGCGAGAGUUCUGGCGAUUGGAAAGUGACGGGAAGGAGGACAGCGGGAGAGGGAGAGAGAGAGAGAGAGAGAGAGAGAGAGAGAGGAAAACUGAGGGAGAAGAGAGAGAGUGAGGGUUUUAAAAAUCUGAUUUUUCCUAAUUACCAUUUUGCCCCUCGUGAUAUUUUAACCGUAUUUUCUUCGUUAAAACUCCGAUUCGAGUCCACUUCAUGUCUGCGAACUCAUUUCGUCGUGCUCUACACAACGGUGUAUGUGGAAUUGUCAAAUUCCUUUUCGGUCAAAAAGUCAACUUUUCGUUAAGAAAUUAUUCCAAGGGCAAAAUUGUCUUUCCUCAUAAUAAAUUACUAAUUAAAUAUGAAUUUUAGGUUUGGGUUAUUACACUAUACUUGGAUGCGUGUUGGGUACAUGGGAUUGGUAGAAAGAGAUUAUGGAAUGGGAUUUGAGUUGUGGUUUAUAUUAAUUUUGAAGUGCUUUAGGCACUACCCUAUGUACCUUCCUGGUUUUGGAAUACAUGGAUUGGAUACUUGGAAACUUUUGGGAUACUUUGAUAUGUCGGAACCCGACCACCCUUGACAGGGUGUUUCGUAGACCCUUAGCAGGAUUAGUCUGCAAGCGUAGGACUUGUCACAGGCGUACAAGUAUUGAAGAUUCUGUUGUACAUGUUGGUGAGCCAGUCCCCCGGUUGGACAACUCAUUCCCUAGCCACAUGGUCAAUUGAGGAUUCUUCUAUAUGGUCUAGCCAAACAAUCCCCCGGUUAGAUUAUUUCCUCAGUACAAGUUUGGUAGUGGUCAUACUUAUGUAUAUAUAAAAAAUUUAUAUAUAUACACACAUAUACUUUCGUUCUUGUUUAUCAAUGAGGAUUCUUUCUUGCUUGUGGUGCCAACGGGCACGCGUUUUGGGUGAGAGUAGUUUGGGGAAAAUGGGUAAGGUUUUGAGUGGGAUGGGUAUUACUAUACCAUUAUGAGAUAUGGAUUUCACUUUGGUUUUGAUUUAGCUAUAUAUAUAUAUAUCGGUUUUGAAUGCAUAUCCCUUUUAGAAUCGUUUUCCAAAUGGUGGGGUUAGUAUGUUGUUUUUAACUAUGUAAAAACUUUAUUUUUGUCCACUCACAAAUUUUCUGUUUUGCUCCCACAAGGCAGUAGUUGAGCUGAGUCGAGCGACUAAGCCGAGUCUUGUACUUCCGAGCCCCAAGUUUCUGUAGGACAAUGUUUACUUGUUUUUAAUUCUAUUGAACUCGUUUCAUUGUAAACUGAAUUUCUUUUGAUAUGCUUGGUUAUCGCCCAUGCUAGGGUUGGAUGUAAGGUCAGAGGCCUAUUAUGUAAAUUGCAUGAUUUUUCAUUGUGCAUGCUGUUGUUGGGAUUUUAUUACUUUGUUUUUUACAAGUUAAAAAUUUGGGAAAGUUUGUUUUUCAAGAGAGACUCUACCGAAAUUUUAACAAAAUGUCUAAUUCCUCUUUUCGUUAAUUUGGAAAAGAAGCUAUAAUGUUAGUAAGUGGACCCGGCAUCAGUUUCAUGUCCGAAAUACCACAGGAUUCGCCACGGAUUUCAAGGAAAUUCAGGGCGGGUCUUGUCAAUUGGUUCCAUAAAUACAAAUAUCCUGGUAGUAGAAAAUAAAUCCGGCGAUCUUACAAUAAAUAGUCGUGAUUUUUGUUUGUGCAAAUAAUCUCACGGGAGAAUAUUCUCUUCUAGAUUCUUCAACCUUCGAUCUUCCUUCUCCCUCUUCCUCGAUUCCUGUAAAAAAGACUAGAGUAAAUAGACCACACCCGGGGGGUGUUGGCCAAAGGCCCUCCGAUGCCUAAGUUCGUUCGAGUGUUUGUAGGAAAACAAUAGCUAAGCAAAGGGUACGGAGUUGUAUGUAGGGUGUAAACCGGGUGGCCGGAGCCAUGUGUGGUGGCCGGAGCUGUGUAGAGAAAAUAUGGAGAGUGGAGAGGGAGAGAGAGCUUCGGGUAUUUUUCUCGGGUAUAAGGAGUAGGUUUAGAUGUACCUUGAAUGAUGAAUGAGGUCGUCUAUUUAUAGGAGCCUUGGGGCUAAGGUUUCGUAGGGAUCGAGUCGGACCUGAUAAUAUCCGAAUUAAAUAUAUUAUCGCUUAAGAAGAUAAUAUCUAAAUUAAAUGAUAUUAUCUUCUCUUUAUUAGGAUAAUAUCUUAAUUAAUGAUAUUAUCUCUUUAAAUAAAGAUAAUAUCAUAUUAAUUAAGAUAUUUAUCCCAAUUAAUUAAUUAGCUAGAUAAACUGGUUUAAUUAAUUAAUUUAAGAGAUAAUCUUCUUUUCCACGUGGCGUGCCUUGAUUGGAGAUGAAAAUAUAUGCUCCCACAAUUUCCAACUAAAGUAAGUCUGACUUCACUUUCCAGCUUUCAUGGUCAUUAAAGUUAUUUGGAGCCGAGUUACCAACAGUGAGGAGUCAUUCUGACAUACCUUAACAUCUAAGAAAUUAUAAACUUUGGGCUAAACUAAUUCAAAUAAUUUUGACCCUUGGAUUAAAUCACCGUUGAUUAUCAAAAUAAUGUGAAUUUAUUUUAAUUUGAUCCCCCUUUGUUUGAAUAGUAUGGGCCAUUCACCACUUUUGGUAAAUAAAGCCCAAUACCUUUUUGAAAAGUGAACCCAAUGCUUAUUUCGGGAUGGUGCACAUAUUUCAGGCCCAAACAGUACCCCUAAGUCUGAAUAUCGUCUCUAAAAAACGAUUUCAUACUUAAUGAUUGGCCUGCCUUCUAUUGAUGUGCGCCCUUUUGAUCUAUUUGCUCCUGCCCACGUCUGUUCAUUGAUUGGACAUUUUGGAAAAGUGGGUAUUAACGAUUAGUUAAUUGGGAGACUUUGGAAAAGCCCAAAGGAGAGAGAAAAUUUUUAAAAGAAGCAAAAAUGGACAAAAUUGCCCUUAUUUAUUUUUUGAUUUCCUAAGAAAUCCUUUACAUUUGCAUGUCUGUGGUUUGAAAGUUGAGAGGUUAUUCCGUCUUUUUUGAAAAAGCUUUGGCUUUUUCCAAAAGUGAAAGUUUUUUUAUGGGUAAAACCUAAAUUUACUUAGUUAAUUCUUGGCAACUCUUCUUCUCCCACUAUCUGUCUUCUUUAGAGUAUAAAGCUGCAACCUACUUUACUCUUUUAAAACCAUCAUUAACCCCGAGUUCUUCAAUUUGUAGAGUAUUUCCAAUCUUUGAAAUUUCAAAUUUCAAUGAAAAAUUCAAGCAUUUCCCUAAUUCUGCCUGAAUAUUCUCGAUGGCUUCUCCCAAAACCCGUGCUAGUAGUUCUUCCUCCUUCCCUCCACCUUAUAUUUCAGGCGAAGGUGUUGAUACACAUGCCAUUGAGAUUCGAAGCAAACUCCGUUCAUAUUCCAAGAAGAAUUUGAAUGAAAAUAUCCUACAUUUGCACGGGAAUGCUAUCAUUAUGGGUUCUGCCUAGUUUGGGAAAGUUUUUGAGGAAAUGGCCAAACUUUUUAAGGCAGAUGCUGAAGCUCUGUUUUGCUAUUGUAAUCCUUCUCUAAUAUUCCAUUCCUCGGUUAGCAAGAAUCUAAGCAGAUCAUACCAUUCUAAUGAAGUGAGGAAUAGCUCUAUGAAGUGGUCAUAAUAGUUUGGCCGACUCUCUCCAAGGUAUGAAGGCCAUUGGAAGAAAGCUAGCAUAUAUGAUGCUUUGCUUCUGUCUAAGCAUUCAAUUAAUAGAUAUGAGAAUCUCUUUGCUGCUUCUUUAUGUUUUUGGAAUUCUGCUACAAACACUUUUGACUUUCGUGUUAGCCCUAUGCCUCCAACUCUGCUCGAUAUGGCUCAAAUAUUUGGAUUUAGGCCACAUGAAAGGCCUGCUGAUGCAUUUGGAGAUUAUCACAGAAGGAAAAAUGGUGAAAGAGUAGCUAAAACGAAGCCUUGCCAUUCUUGCCAACGGAAUACCACUUUCCAACAAUUAUUGAGGCCAAUGGCCUUUAAUCUCCUGUUAAUUUAAUCGGAGUCUCCUCCAUGCUUCUCUGAUUUCUCUUUUUCAAAAUGUCGAUCAUUAUCCAAUAGAGCUAUCUGUUUGCCCCUGAAAGUGGAUUUUUCAAGCAAAAAUUGUGCCAUUGCCUAAACGUGUGGCAACUCAAUCCUGUUAAAAACACUGGAUUUUGGUAUGUCCUGUAAUUGUGCUUGCAUAAUCCUGCUGAUGAUACUUGAUUCUUGCCCCUACUAUACUGGAUGGAUUUAUUUAGAUGGAUUGGAUAGCCUUGUUAAGGCACUAUCCUUCUUCUAUGGUUUAAUAUCUGCAUUUUUAUGGUUAUCUCUGGCUCAUUCACACCUUAUAUUUACAAUAAACAACAAUUCCAGACAUAACAGUUGCCUUUGAUCUAAUCAAAGUUUCCUUGAUAACCCUCCUAUUUUGACAGGGACCUAUCUCCACAGUUGCCUUUGACUGAGAGCGUUUUUGCAUAUCCAUGAGUUAAAAACGAAGAGCAAAUUUACUGGCCAUACUGGAUUGUGAGAAGUGGCUUUGGAGACACUCUUAGAGAGGUGCAGCCGACAGUGAGAGAGAGAAUGGACUCAAAGAGUAUACUGGUGAUGUAGCUGACAAUGAGUUGGUCUUGUUGGUACCACUGAGCACGGGCAGGAUUGGUUUGGGUAAGAGAGAUGGUGGUGAUUGUGGGUGUUACGGUGGUAGAAGUGGAGGUUUGAGCAGAAGGUUGUUUAUGAGUGCCUUCGAUAAAUUUUCAGAGGUCAUGACCGACUCAAAAGAGUUUGAGUUGGCAGAGCCAAAGGAGGUAGUUGGAGUCAGUAAGCUUGAUAAAAUAAGAACAGUUGGGGUUAGGGAAGGAGAUGGUGGAUUCAGACGAAGCCAUGAGGUGGACCUAAAGGAAACGAUUGGAUCGAAUAAGGGAGAGGGAGGAAACCCUAGGUAAGGCUGAUAUCAUGUAGAGAAUAUAUUUUCUUGUAUUAAACAGAAUACACAAAGUCCCUAUUUAUACUGAUACAGGAAAUCAACUUAGGAUAGGAAAUAAUAUAGACAUGAAUACAAUCCCAUUUACAGCAGGAAAAGCUAAUUGCUAGGAGGAGAUUGUGAAGUUGACUUCCGUGUGUACUAGGAAAGGAAAGCUGCGUUAACAUCUUUCUUUGGCCAAUUUAGAUUUACCAUAUUGACUUGAGUUUUGGGAAAAGGGAUUGUAUCAAUAGUGGGGACCUUCUUUGCUAUUUUCAACUUUCUUGAGGCUAAUGCUUCUUAGACAACAUCCCUUAAAACAACACAGCUAUUGGUAGUGUGAUUCAAAGAAUAUUAUGCCACUUGCAAUACUGUCUUCCCUUCAAUUCUUCUGACUUUGGCAACCUGUGUCUAGGUGGUGUAUCUAUAGCCUUCUGAGAUAACAUUUCAUCAAACAAACCGUCUAACUUUGAUAAAUCAAAAGAAUAAACCUUGUUUGUUGGCUGUUUAUUUGGAAUGAAACCUCCAGUGAAGGGUGGUGGUUUUUGAUCCUUUGGUGCCUUUAGCAAAACUUUACAACUUAUUGUCCCUUUAUUUUAGCCAUUUUUGCCACCACUGCCAUAGUUUCCUCUGGUUCUAGCUCCUUUUCUUAUUCUACCUGCACCAAAUGUAUUGAAGAUGAAGGGGUCUUGUAGUAUGUACAUUUAGAAGCAUUCCUCUUCUGUUGUUAUUCCUUCAAUAAUUCUUCAUAUUUGGUGACCUUAUCCGCCAGUUCUGCUAAGUCUCCAAAUAUUAUUCCAUUGAACCUUUUUCUCAAGGAGAUCCUCAAUGAUGUCUGUCCCAUCUGGAUAAAGUGCCUCUCAUAUAUAGGAAUUCUAAACUUCAUUUUCAGCUUUCUGAACCUAGUAAUAAAGUCAUGAGCUGCCUCAUUCUCACUCAGCUUCAGUACAGUCCUCAGGCUAGAUUCUGUACUAGUAAUCAUGGAAAGCAGUGCUUAGCCUUUUUGCAUAAUACAGUGGAUUAGGAUAAGAAAAAUAGGAUUCCUAUGGAAGAACUUCUUUUGGGGGGGGGGGGGGGGGGGGGGGGGGUUUUCCCUUUGGGUUUCCAAAAAAUUAAAAAAAAUUUUUUUAAGGGCCCCCCUUCUUAGAAAUUUUUGGGAAUUUUUUACUCCGUUAAAAAUUGAGAAACCUUCCAGCAACCUUCUUUUUUUUUUUUNNNNNNNNNNNNNNNNNNNNNNNNNNNNNNNNNNNNNNNNNNNNNNNNNNNNNNNNNNNNNNNNNNNNNNNNNNNNNNNNNNNNNNNNNNNNNNNNNNNNAAAGAAACUUGAAUUUUUCAAUCCAUCUGUUUUUGUUAUCCAAAGCAAAAACAAAAAGUACUUGUUUGCUCUUCCCUUUUCCAUUUACUUGUUGUGUAUUUUCAGACUCCAUUUGAGUGCAGCUAUGAAUUUUAUCAUGUCAAUCAUAAAAUACAGCAUAAAAAAUAUCAAAAAAUGUACAUCAUCAACCAUAGAUUAAACAUGACACAUCUUAUGUUGAAUGGAAAAGGACGCAGUAGGAAUUUACAGAUUUGGCAUCCGAACUCUGAUUGGCGUGUAUGAUACCUUUCUGAAAAGGAAACAAUGCUACGAGUCAAACACACUGCUUUGCUAUGACGUAUGGUGGAUUUUGGGCUUUUGAGGUCGUUUAGGCUUCCAAAACAGCAUUUAAAAGUUGAAAUUUUUGGAUUUUCGUUUUUUUAAUGUUCAUUUAUAUUUGUCUCAGUAUUUUUGUUCGAUUAUAGAAAGGUUGUCAAUUAUUUCAAUUUUCUAUCUAGUCGUAUAUAGAUAUUUCAAAAGAAAAAGUAGUAACAAGCAUAAACCCUAGUAAACAAGCAUAAACCCUAGUAACAAGUAUAAGCCUAAUAACAAGAAAAACACGAUGAAGAAAAAAUCAUGGAAAAAGAAAACCCAACAAGGUAUGGAUCAAAGAAAAAAUAGGGAGCAUACCUUCACAGAUGAAGGAAUGAAGAUGUUCAUCUUCGCAGAUAGAAAAGCUAGGGCAAGAGAAAAACGUAUGAUGAAAUACUUGGGAGGGAGGUUGGAUUAUUUUGGUCUUUGUUAUUUAUAACUCUCCCCUUAAAACCUUCCAAAUAUAUCACCUUUCGAAUACACCUAGAUUUGAUUCAACUUUUUUAUAAUCCUAAUUGAAUACACCCAUAUUUGAAUAGACAUUUUAAAAGUUCAUAUAAGUCCGAAUUGAAUACACCCAGACUUGUAAAACCUCUUUUAAAAUUUUGUAUAAAUCCAAAUUGAAUACACUCGGAUUUUUAAAAUCUUUUUAAACGCUUUAUAAUCCUAAUUGAAAACACUCUAUUGGGAUUGUCAUUGCAGCUGCCAUUGGAUUCUAUCAAGCCUAAAUACAUGAUUAAAUAAACUUACAAAAUUUAGAGAAUCUUUCUAUCUUUGCGUGUCUAUUGAGACCGGUUAAGUGUGAACUACUAGGGACUGAAACAUAUUUGUACUUUUUAUCCUCUAAUUGAUCUUUUCCAUGUUUAAUGUUCUCACUUAGAAUUGAAUUUAGAUGGAUAACCUUUAUUUGGAUAAUAUCCAACCCAUACAAGUGAGACAUUUAGUAUAAAAGUUCCAAUAUUUGAAAUUUCCAAGCAAUCUUGUCCAAUUACUUCUGAUAUAAGCCGUCUUUAACAUUAUAUUGGGCAGAAAAUCAGAAUAUUUGGCCAUCUUCAACUUUGUGAGAUGUUCAAAUUUGGUCUACUUCCAGAUUCUAUUUUUGUAUGAAGCAACAAGCUACAAUUAGAUAAUAACUUACUGAAAAAUGAGACAAUAAAGUGGAUGAGGAAUCAAAAUAUAUCAUUACAUUUUCUCAUGUUUCCUGCAGAAUAAAACAUUUAGAAUUGUACAUGGCUUAAAAGACAAAUCUUCUUGUCAUCCAGUUCAAAAUUGGAGUUAUGAUUUUGGGCUCAAUAGUCUUCGAAUCGAGAGUUCAUGAUAUCGUCAUUCGACUGCUUCACAAAUUUUGUAUCUUCGUGCUCAGCUCACAAGCACUUUGACCAUCAAAGAAGGCUUCCCAGAUUCAUAAGCAACAGAAAAAUGUGCAUAUGAUCAAUCACAGCCUCUACUUCAUCUUGACACGGCGAGUUCUUCUGAUCGAACUGAGGCUGAUUUGGAUAUGAACCAGAUUCACUUCAUUUGCGUUCAUUCAUACACUUAAGCUGCAAGUGAGAUGAAUGAAGGUUUCAUCACUGCAGGGGAUUGUGAUACCACCCAUUGGAUGAUCAUAUCCAAAUUCUUCUUCUGCUUGACUUAGCAAAUCCAAGAACAAAGGCUCAUUCAAGUAUGAUAUUGGAACCACAAAUCGCUUCUUCUGGCUCCCCCCAACAUACACUGCAAAGUAGCCUUUUGGGAUGUCUACGGUGUUUGAAGUAGCAGCCUUGUUUAGACCCUUCUUGGAGUUAACAAUUCCUGGCAAUCGGAAUCCCAUGGUUUUUAUAUUCUCAAGUGGAAAAUUUGAACAAGAAAGAAUUCAGAGGACUUGGGAAACAGAGAAGACUUUGAUGCUUGGCAAGGAGAGAGACUUGAGUUGUUGGUUAUGAACCUGAUCUCUUGUGUAUAUAUAGAUGAAAGAGUAUCGCCUUCUACAUGAAAUGAGUGGUCUCGAGGCGCAGAGAUUUGCCCCAGUGAAGGAUAAUAGCUUGUGAGAAAUCAAAACAUAACAUGGGUUGUCUUCCCACUCACAUAAAUCAUCUCCACAUGCAAUGACAAAACUGUAUCCCUCUGUACAAACAUCAUUCCCCACGUCUUAUUUCAUCGAGUAAUUUGUUGUGGUCUAAAGAUUGCUAAUGUGUUCCUGUCAAGAGACUAUGGACAGAUAUGUCUUAACCCUGUUUUGUACUUCAAAGAAGUCUUUUCUAUCCACAUAUAAAGAGUUUGUAGGUGUCACAAAAAAAAUUGUUGGGCAUCAUGUUCUCCAACAAACGUACAGACGUAAUAACUACCAAGUUCUUGAGAAUGAGAUGGAAAACAGACCAUGUGAUCCCUCAAAUUCUCAUGCCUCUUUCCAAUCCCCACCCAAUUGUCCCCAUUUCAGAUAUUUUCCUCUACACACCCUUUCAUCUAUACGUAGACACACACAUACACACAGAUGAUCCCAUAAACAAUUGAAAUCCUGAGUCUUUACAAACAUGAAAUCUAAUGAGACGUGAUCCUAAAAUGAUUUAGUUUCCUGUUUUAUUUGUAUUUAUUUCAUAGAUUUGCUGUAUAUAUUCCUUAUCUCUCAAGGACUUGAUUCUUGCCUAGAAUAGGAAAUCCUUUGUGUAGACACCAAGCAAAGCAUUGUAUAUAAUUAUCACAUGAUUGUUCAAUGAAAAUCAUCGAGAAUAUUCAAAACCUUUCAUGGUAUCAAGAGCCUGAGACUCACAGUCCUCGAUCCUCAAUUUUCUUGUUCCCUGUCUUUUUUUUUUUUUUGUUGGCACCAUGGCUUCUUCCUCGUCUAUUGAUUUUCCUAGCGUUCAUCAUGUUAUCUCCAUUCGUCUCAAGUGUGAUAAUUAUCUGACGUGGCUUGCUCAAAUUGUUCCUAUCCUUCGCAUCUGCCGCUUGCUCAGCUUUGUUGACGGCACUUCUCUGUGUCCUCCGACCAUUCCUGACCCAAAUGCUAAGGCCGAUGAAUCUACUUUUCUGUCUCUCCUCCCCAACCCAGAGUAUGAUGAUUGGGUCCAGAAAUAUCAGCUUGUUUUCUCUCUCUCAUCAACGGUUCCUUUCACCAUGAAGUUCUCACCACCGUAGCUUCCAAGACCAUCGCUGUGACACUUGGGUAGCCCUUGAAACUCAUUUUGCUUCUCCGAAUCAGAAUCGUCUUCUUCAACUUCACAGUAACUUGCUUUGCACAACCUGUUGUGAAUCUUCCAUCACUGAUUUCCUUGAUCGUAUUAACUCGAUUGACGAUAACUUGGCUCUGGCAGGUGCUUUAGUUGCUGACUCUGAUCUCCUUGUGAUGGUUAUGAACAACGUUUGUCCUCUUUAUGAAAAUACCAUUGCCGCUACUCAAGCUCGUGAGAAACCCAUCAAUAUGCCUGAUCUUGAUGCUCUCCUCUUGUCUGCUGAACGUGGCCUGUAGUUAUCUUAUUCUCUGGUCAUGUAUUCUGGUGCGACAGCUAUGGAAGCUUCCCAUGGUGGUCUCGGUGGCUGUGAUUUUGGCGAUUGUGCUGGGUUUGCUGGUCAUAGUCCCGAUCUUCCCAACUCAUUCUCUCCCUCACGACUAGGUUUUACUUCUGGUCGCGGUUUCCCUGGCGCUUCCUAUGGCGCCUCUAGUCCUGCCUCACAUCAACAACAUUUUGGUAGCAAUAUCGAGCUGAGUGUUCUUGGCCCACCUCCUUCUGGCUCUACUGCUUCCUCUUUUGGGCUUCAUUCUGCCCCUAGGCCUCUUCAAUGUUUCAAUUGUCAUGGUUUUGGCCACAUCGCAGCUGUCUGUCCUUCCAAGACGUUUUCUGUGCCUUCUCCUCUGUCUCGUCUUCAAGACAUAACUGCUCAAUAUCCUUCACAUGGUGGCCAUCAACAGUGGGUUGAUGAUACCGAUGCAAACACUCAUAUUACCAAUGACCUGAGCUUCUUAUCCCUUGCUAAACAGUAUCAUGGUUCUGACAAUGUUGGAGGUGUGCUUGGUGGAACAGGUUCGCCUAUUAAAAAUAUUGGUCACUCUCGUUUCUCUCACCUUAAUUCUUCUUUUCAUCUUAAUGAUAUUGUUCAUUGUCUCGAUGCAUCUCUUCCUCUCUUACCUAUUCAUAAAUUUCCCACUAACAACCAUUGUUUCUUCACUUUUUUUCCUAAUUGUUAUUUUAUCCAGGAUUUGGGGACGAGGAGGACACUUUCUUGGGCAAGAGUAGUAAUGGCCUAUAUCCCUUUUCAUUUACACCGAAUGAGUUUUUUCAAGUUUUGCGUGAUCGUGUUGCUUUACUAGGUGUCUAUGUUGACCGCUCUGUGUGGCACUCUCGCCUUGGUCAUCCUGCUUCGUCUACUUUGCAAUUUUUGUUAUCUCAUAAUAAAUUGCCAUCUUCUGGCUCUGUCUAGUUCUUUUUGUCAGUCAUGUACGUUGGGUAAAAGUGUUAAAUUACCCUUUAGUCCUUUUUAUGUCCUUUCUUCUCCACUGAAACUUAUUCACUCUGAUGUAUGGAGUUCUUCAAAUAAAUCUAUUUCUUAUUUUAAUUAUUAUGUUUUAUAUGUUGAUGAUUUUUGUCGUUAUUCUUGAAUUUUUCCAAUGAAAUUGAAAUCAUAAGUUUUCUCUCACUUCAUUAAAUUUAAGGCUUUGGUUGAAAAUAUGUUUUUCACUACGAUUAAGGCAUUUCAAUCAGAUGGGGGUGGGGAAUACACUAGUCAUCAAUUUAAGAAUUUUUUAUCUCAUCAUGGCAUUCAUCAUCGUCUUUCUUGUCCACAUCAUCCUGAGUAAAAUGGUUUAGCCGAACGUAAGCAUCGUCACAUUGUUGACACCGGGCUCACUCUUUUAGCCAAUGCCUUUAUGCCUCCUUCCUAUUGGGCUGAGGCCAAGCACACCACUGUUUAUUUAAUUUACCGUCUUUCUUCUAAGUUGCUUCAGUAUAAAUCACCCUAUGAAUUAUUGUUUCACAAAGAACAUAAUUAUUCGUUUUUAAAACCUUUUGGGUGUGCAUGUUUUCCUUAUUUACGGCCAUAUAAUAAUAAUAAAUUACAAUUUCGGUCUUCCAAAUGUGUGUUACUUGGUUAUUCUUUGAACCCUCAAGGUUAUCGAUGCUUGGAUCUUGUUUCUAAUCAUGUUUUUUUAUCGCGUCAUGUGUUAUUUGAUGAAGUUUCUUUUCUGUUUAACAAGGCACAUGCUGCUACUACUCCAGACCAUUCUCCGUCAUCAGACCUGCCUGUCAUCCUCUCUGGCCCAAGUUUAUCUUCAUGCAGCCCAUGCCUUCCAGUGUCGUAUUCUCUGCCUAGUCUCCCUUCUUUGGUGCCAAAAUUAGGAAGCGGAGAGUGAGAACUCACACACACGGGUACCAUGGGAGCUUGAACCCAAGACCUCUUGAGAGCACACCAAAAGCCUAGGAAAAUCCACCUAACACCCCAUUAGUCGACAGUAAAUAGUUCAAUUGCAUAAAAAGAAAACAAGAAGACUUAAUGGAUAUGAAAAAUAGUUUUUCCAACAUAUUUCUUCCCUCGUAUAAGUACAUUAAAAAUUGAACAAAUGAGAUUCCAAAUUGGUUGUCGUCAUCUUUUAGAUCCUUUUUCUAUCUCUUCAACCGUUGGGAGGGUUUUUUUAUUUAAAUUAUUUUUUUGUCAAAAAUGAUUGCUAAUUAAUUACAGUUUUACUUUUUCUUUUUUGCUUUUGUAAUGAAUAAAGAGUACAAAUGAAACAUCGUCAAAAUUGCUUGACAAAGUGGGCUGUCGUUUAAAAAAAAUGUAGAUUACAAGUUUAAUGGACAAGCAAUUUGUGAUCUAUAAAGAUGUUGCUUCCUAUUGCUUUCACCAUUAUUUCCACCAAAGUAAAAUUUAUAGCUGAAAGUUAGAUCAGUUUCGUACACAUAGUAGAUCCAAAAUGUUACUACCAAAAAGGCUUCAGUUUUAACUUGCUACACUUUGCCUACCACUGGAAAUAUCCAAUUCGGAGUGCAUGAGGGUAAAAUUGAGUGUCAUUAUUGGUAGUGAAAUACUUUGUGAUUAGGAAAUAUAUCUUGACAAUUUGAUUAUAACAAAUGAAUAGAAAAAAAAUUAGAAAUACCUGCAUAUAUAGUUAUGGAACAGUUAGAGAUUGAAAUUUCAACCGGCCAGCAAGAAAGGAAAAGGGAGAGAAUCCCAAAAACAAUAGAAAUGUGUGGCAUGGGAGGAGCCCCUAUUAUGUCACCUCCUUAGUUUUCAAUUAAGAAAACGUAGUGAAAAUAUGAGAAUCCUUCCCAGCCACACAUCUCCAUUGGCCUCUGGGAGGCCUAUCUCCCAUUUCAAGUCAGCCAAUUCUAAGAGUGUAUUAUGCUCUCAAGAUUUAGAGCCCAUUAUUUAUAGGGAAGCCAAGGGUACAUAAGUUCAAAAAAUAACCUAUAGUGCCCAUGGUUUCCAUAUGGUGAGGAAUCUAUGCGCCAUCGUAGUUGUUUCACCACAUGUUUUGACAAUUUUCGUGAGGAAGCGAAAAGGAAAAUUGGGUUGGUAUUCUUGCAUGCUUCCCACACGUCGUAAAAUAAAUUCUUGAUAUACCUAUUAAACCAUUUCUUUUAUCAGUUCACGUGAUGAACACGAUGAGAGAGAUAAAGAGAAACCGGCCGGUUACAUCUGACACCUAUGAACAGAAAAGAAUCCAAAACCGUGAUAGGUUGGUGAAGGGAAGUGAUGUUUUUGGUUUUCCAAAAUUGGAUUUUGGAUUUUGGGGAUAUUAGUACCAGUUUUUGAGCCACUAAAUAAUUCGAUUGCAUAAUCAAACUUAAAACAAAAGUUACAGGUAUGUUAGAUAUGAAAUAUAAUUCAAUUGCCUUCUACUUGAUUAUGAUCUUCCUCGCUGGACUAUGAAUGCUAUUGGGCUUCUAAUUUGUUGCUCCAAAAACCCAUUUACCGCAACGGGCCAUUCAUCGGGCCUCCAUAAAUUCAGGUCCAAUCAACAUUUAUAUGGAGAUGAAUGCUAGAUUGGAAAAUCCAUGAAAUCUGCAGUAUGUGGUGGUGUAGAGGCUAUAUGCUGUGGUGGGGAUGAAUGGGGAGACAUAUGCAUAUGAAGGAUCACAUGGUUCUGUCUUCCACAUCAUCAAGAAUUUGGCAAUGAUUGAGACUUCAUAUCUGUUGGAUUGUGUUUUAGUUUUAAAUCUGAAGUCCUUGCUAGGACAGGAAGCUAGACAAGUUGCUGACUCUAAUAUAUCUUUAUAACGGUAUGUAAAUAUUUUUGUAGUUUGUCAAAAAUAAAAAAAUCUUGUCAUGCACCUAUCAAUAAUACAUUGAGGUUUUUUUUCCCUCAGAUAAUUUGUUUUUCUAAGGGUUUUCAAAAAUCUAGUUUAUGCAAGCUGGAAUUAUGCAAAUAGACUUUGGCAAGAGAAAAUUAAUGUCAUAGCAUAUUGUCAUGAAACAAAUAUUUGUGUCAGGAGUUGAUUUGCAAGAAUGUGUUUCAUCAAAAUUUGAUAACUUAGGAUCAAUCAAGCAUUAAAAAUGCCACUGAAAUGGGCAUGAUAUUUCCCCAAUCUGUAUGAGGAACCAUGUAAAAAGUUAUAUGGUCAGCAUUUUAGUCAAAUUCUUGUGCAAAUCUGCUACCACUUGUGGGAUUAACUAUAUAACAAGGGCUACAAGAAGAUAAUACUAUAAUGCAAACCAUAAGACAAGAAAGGAUGAGGAUUUCAAAUAGAUUGUAUAUUGCUCCUGGAGAACAACAAAGAAGUUUACAUAGGUUCAAAAGACAGAAUUUGACUGCCUUUGGGUGGGGGAUGAUAUUUGGACCAAUGGUUCUAGGGAGUUCAUAAUAUCAUCACUUGUCUGCUUCAUAAAAGCUCAGCCUAGAAGCAGCUUCAGCAUUUGAGAAGGUUUGCUUUCACCAUAAGAUGUGAGUUGAUUCCAUGGAUGAGCAGUGGUAGCCUCUUCUUCAUCCCAACUCAGCGAGUUCUGAAAUGUGGAUGCUUUGGAUAUGAUCAUAUCCAAAUUCUUUCAUCUUGGCUCAGUGAGCUCUGAAAUGAGGAUGGUUUGGAUAGAUUGGAUGACCGAUUCGUGUACACUCACACACUUAAGCGGGAAGUGAGAUCAAGGAAGGUGUUUUCACUGCAGGGGAUUGUGAUACCUCCCAUGGGAUGAUCAUAUCCGAAUUCUUCUUCAGCUUGACUCAGCAAAUCCAGGAAUAAAGGCUCAUUCAAAUAUGAUAUCGGAAUCACAAACCGCUUCUUCUGGCUCUCCCCAACAUAGACUGCAAAGUUGCCUUUUGGGAUAUCUAAAGUCUUUGAAUCUGCUGUCUGGCUUGAACUAGAUAGAGAUCGAAUGAGACUUCUCUUUGCGUUAACAAUUGCAGGCAACCGGAAACCCAUGAUCUUAUAUAUUCUCAAAGGACAAAAGAAGAGAGGGAAUUCAAAGGACUUGGAUUUGGAAAGCAGAGAAAGCUUUGGUGCUUGAGAAGGUGAAGACUUGAGUUGCUCAUGAUGAACUUGGUCAUGUGUAUAUAUAGAUCAAGGGUAUCCAGAAAAUCAACAGCUACAUGAAAUUAUUGGUCUGAGAUGGGCUCCAAUGAGGGACACUUGAUUGUGAGAAAUCACAUGGGCUUGUCGUCCUUCUCACCCAACACAUCCUUGAAAGAUUUCUCACGGAACUCUUCCCUACCUCCUCUAGGUAACAGACAACAAAAGGACCACCAGAGGUGAUUCAAUCCAAAAGAAUUUUGUCUGUUAGGUAAGUAGCAUUUAUGCUUCAGACAUGCACUUCUCUUUGUUCACACUAAUUCAGCUGACCACAUAAUCGGACUAUUAUACUACAAAGUUUCUUGAAUAGGUCUGCUAAUGAAUUGCCCUCUCACUUCAUCAAAAGACCAACAACACUGCAUAUGUUGUGGUCCUACCCAACACUGAUACAAUUGUGUUGUGUGGUGCUAAAUAGCUUGCUUGGGAGCAGCAAGGCACCCUACAUGUGGCUUUGUAGUUUCGUCUCUGAUCUUCAGUCUCAGCAAACAAAGGAGUUAUUUAUUUCAUUUUGUUAGGCCAAUCUGGACUUAACCAGAAAACACUAUUGCAACUCGGUCUAAACUCAAUUUUUUUAAAAACCAUUUUCCAUUACAACUCUUGGUUUAACAAAACCAUUGCCAGUCUUGUUUUAGGUAAGUUCGGCGAAAAGCCUACUAGAGAAAUCUAGAAAAUUCUAGAGAGAAGGAGAAGCUAGGUUGAUAAUCUCUUCUUGCCUUUGCUUAUGUCAACAACUGAAGAAGCCAUGUAAACUUGGCUUGCACUCUCUAGCAUAGGGAAAGUCGUGCAUAUAUAUUGUGCCAUUUUUUUAAUGAAAGAAACUUAGUUGUUCGGCUCAGUGUCUCUCUAUAUUAACUCAUGAUGACUCUCCUCCUUAUUAUUCUUUCAGUCCAUUGAGAGAUGUUAAGCAUACUGUGCUUAAUAUAUUAUUAAAUUAUCAGAUACAGUCAUUUUGCCCCCAUGGAUAAAGGAAGUACAAAGUAAACCAUUAUACUUUCAUUUUCUGAAAAAUAUGCUGUCAGUGAUGAUUUUAUUUUAUGACAGAGCUACAAGUACAAUGAAAAAUAAGACAAGAAAGUGGAUCAGGAUUUAAAUUUGCAUUCCAAUAUAUUUUCCUGGAGAGUAACAAAGGUUACACAUGAGAAGAUCAUAGCAUCCAACCCAAAUGUGGAGAGCCCCAAGAUCUUUUAUACUACAAUGCACGUCUUUAAGUUCCGUAUGUACUCUCAAGAACAAUAGUUCAAAAUUUCGAUCAUGAUUUUGGACUAAAGUUUUUCAACGUCCAUAGUGUCUUCGUUUGUCGGAUUCAUGAACUUUUUAACUUUAUGCUCAGAUCACAAGCAGCUUCAGGCUUACAGAUUGCUUCCUCUCAGCACAAGAUGUAAGUCGACAGUGGACGAUCAAGAAUAGCCUCUUUCUCAUCAUUACUCAGUGAGUUCUGGAAUGAGGAUGCUUAUACAUGAAUGAAUUUGGAUCAUAGUUUCUUUUCUUUGGUGUGCACUCAUACACUUAAGCGGGAAGUGAGAUGAAGGAAGAUGUCUUCACUGCAGGGGAUUGUGAUACCACCCAUGGGAUGAUCAUAUCCAAAUUCUUCUUCAGCUUGACUCAGCAAAUCCCGGAACAAAGGCUUAUUCAAAUAUGAUAUUGGAAUCAAAAACCGUUUCUUUUGGCUCUCCCCAACAUAGACUGCAAAAUAGCCUUUUGGGAUAUCUAAGGUCUUUGAAUCAUCUGUCUGACUUGAACUAGAUAGAGAUCGAAUGAGACUUCUCUUGGCGUUAACAAUUCCAGGCAACCGGAAACCCAUGAUUUAGUACAUUCUCAAGAGGACAAGACGAGGAAAAAGAUUGGCAAGGACUUGGAAAAAACAGAGAGAGCUUUGAUGCGUGGGAAGGAUAGGACUUGAGUAGCUCAUGAUGAACCGAUCAUAGUAUAGAUAUACAUGAAAGGUAUGCAAAAAAAUCAUCAGGUACAUGAAAUGAUUUGUACUGAAGAGGAACUGAGAGGAGAAGCAAUGAGGGCCACUAGCUUGUACCAAAUCACAUGGGUUUGUUUUCGUGCUCAUGCAACCCUUCCGCAAGAGAUUUCUCAUGAAAAUGAUCACACUCUAUCCUUGUGUAGAAAAAGGAUACCCUACCUAGCUAGCUCCUCUGCUUAACAGACAACAAAAGGGACCACCAUGUUCUUGAAAAAUGAAUUCAUUGCUCCUCUGGUUAAUUAACAGUACUGCAUAUGGUAUGCCCUACAACAAAAACUUGUUAACUUGUGUGAUAAACUAGUAGUCCCUUUCUUUUUCAUCUUUUUAUAAAUGCUGCUUCAAAAGACAAGAAUUUGUGGUGCUAUGAGAAUAUACAUGGACCCUCGGAUGCUCUAUGAUUUGGUUGGUUGGGAGCACCAAACCACCCUUGCAUGUGGCUUUGUCCUUUCAUCUAUGAUCUUCAGGCCCAACAAGCAAGGGAAGUCUUUCAUUUGUUUGAAGAAUUGAUACUUAUUGAGAAUGCAGUAGGUAAUGAGUACAUAUCUAAAAAGCAUAUGAUAUCAAGAGAGUGCUAAUCUGUAGCAAUUGUAAAUGUAGGAUACAUACUUUUUACUUAAAGUUAAACAUAUGAAAAGAUGUUUUACUAAUCGAAUUAUUUGAUAUAGCAAAUGUAAAUUGAAAAAGAUGAAAACCAACAUUAAGUUCUCUUUGUAGGCGCUAGUAGAGUAAAACAUGCCAAUUCGUUGUAAGUGCAAGCCACAUCGCUUAUGCUUAUACUCAACAUGAAAUGAAUUGUUGACAUUACAAUUCGUGAAAUCUAUCUGUUGACUCUAGCGACGUCAGUAAUUUCAUCUAAAUUGUAGAAAUUUGUUAUAAAAACAAAGAAGAUUAUUGAACAACCUGAUUACCUAAAACCAAAUUAGAUUUUAGAAAAAUAUAGUAGAUACAUAAAACUUUAUUACCUAACAAAGAAAGAUGUCAAAUCUUUCAAAAACAUUUUCUUACAACCAAGGGAAAAAAUCCAAGAUUGAAUUGAUGAAAAUGACUUCGUUUGGACCACUCAAACCUUCUUUGCUAAUUACUCAGUUAGCUAGUUUGUUAAAGUAGAGAAGUUACCUAGUAUAUCUCCAACAAAAAUAGUCAUAUUGUAAAGCCUGUUAUGUAACUAAGGGAAUUGUGGAGAGAAUAUAGAGAAAACAAGUAGCAAUAGAAAGGCUCUUCAUCUGCUUGUAUUAAAGUUUACUUUGUAUCCAUUACAAUUGAGAAGGUAGCCUUGUUUAUAGGCCAAGCCUUGGCUAACAACCAGAGAAAGAAGGCUCAUGGAAGGUGUAAGCAAAUAACGUUCCAACUUGUGGGCUCCACUUGCAGACUUUUACAACACUCUCUCUUGGAUACCACAAUGUAUGGAAUCUGUCUCGUUAAAAACCUUGCCAAUAAAAUUUAGUGGGACAAAAAAUGGUCCAAAGGGAAAAAGAGCGCAUAAUCAUGUGUAACAUAAAAUUAUGUAUAUAUAACACUGACACGCGUGCGACACUGCCUCGUUAAAACCUUGCCAGGUAAAACUCAGUGGGACAAAAAAGAAAAAACUAGAUGAAGGAAAAAGAGUACAAUGUGUGAAAAUCUUAUUGAUGGCACGCUCCCCCUGAUGCUGACAAAAUAUCUUUAAGUCAUGAUGUUGACAAUCUUUCUGAAUGUCGUAGUUGAACACUGCUUCCAUGAAUCAAUCUUGUAAUACUGGUGGAUGCUACCCCUAAAGAAUUACUCCCCUUGAUGUCUUCUUUGAUGAUCCAACACAAAUGAUAUUGAUAUCACAUUUGUACUUCACAAACUGAUCUUUGGUAAUGCUUGUAGAAAACUUGUUGUUGUAACAUCUCUGGAGGAUCCCUGUGUGUCGUCAUUCAUCUAAUUCUUAUUGAGGUUAGAGUAAUACAGAAAAAUAUCUAGGCUAUUUUCAUAAGACUUUCACUGUACACAAUGGUUUGAAUUUCAUAUGUUUUCCAAUAUAAAAAACAAUAAGCUCAUAUUUAUAAUGAUAAGAGCAUUAAAUAUUUAUAUGGUGUUGUUUACCCUUUUUGUAUUUGAGUAUGUUGAAGCCUAAAUAAAAUUCCCCAUUAAUUUUUUAAACACUUAAUGGUUUCUUGAGUAACUUUCUUGCCACUAUUAGCAGAUAAUACCCUAACAGAUUUGAACAACUUUAUAUACUUGCACCCCAAGUAAUAGACUUUAAACAAACAAUUGUGAUUUUGGAUGGGGAAACCUCCCAAGAGAGUUCUUUUCUAUGCCUCAGACUUGUGACGACUUCACAAUUUAUUAAGACAAAAAUGGUAAGCAAAGCAAAAUACACAAAUUUAUGAAGGGUAUAACAGACUAAUCCAAGCAAAACUACUUGAAGCACAAAGUAACAAAUGAAUCUUUAAAUCUACGUACUUCUCAAAGGGGUUGGACUUUGACUUAUGUUUGAAAACAUAGUCGCAAUGAUGACUUGUGAUUAGACUGGACUGAACUUUUGUUGACUAGAUUGAAUGUUUCUGCACUGGAAUUUCAUGUCAGCACCUUCAACUAAUAGAGAUUAGCUAGAAAUCGAUACCAAGUUUGAAGUUUGGCAGAGCUAUAAACAAGUUAAACCUUGAAUAGGCUAUGGAAGUGAUCAAAACUGCAAACGAGUACCUAUUCUUGUUGAUUCUGAGUGAUUUUAAAGCUAUCUAGACAAUUUUAAGACAUUAAGAUGUAUUUGAAAAGCUUGUUGAGGAUUUUGUAUGAUGAAAUACCUGACUUCUUCUUGUUUUAUCUAAUUUGAUGAACCAAAUUUGUCAGAGGAAUUAAUCUCGUUUGAAUUCUGUUUGAUUUACCUUAUCUGGAUUACAAGGGCAAUCUUGGUUUCUUCUUGGUUUUCUGAACUUCUUUUUGAGCUGGAUUGCUUGUUAAGGAAGAUUGCUUGCUUGCUUUUGGUAGUUGUAAGAUCAUAUGAUCUUUGAUUUCUUUUUAUCAAUCUGGAGUUAUUGUUGAGUUUUUCCUUAAUUUGUUGGUUAUUUGUCCCUUCUCCUGUCCAGACACUUUUGUAUUUAUAGGAGAAAAAUGAUGUUGAAGAAAUCUGGAAUUUUUAGUUUUGGACUAUCCUCCAUUUAAUGCACAAGUGGCAAAAGUUUUGUUAGUUAAUGCAUUGAUCGUUUUUGGCACCUGCUCAUUAAUGUUCUUGAAUGUCUCCUGAUCGUUCCUUUUGGAACAACUAAGCUGAAGUGAGCAAUAAUGCCCAAAUUCCUCCAACGUUGGUGUAACACCCGGAUCCAAUUUUAACUUCUCAUUCAAAUUAUUUAAUUUAUUUAAUUGUGAAAUUACAAUUUUACCCUUAGGGCAGGGUUAUUUUGGUCAGUUUUUAAUCCGAUAGGAUUUUGGGGAAUUGAAUGGCACCAUUACUUAGAGUGCAUCGAUACGAGUUCAUAGACAUUCAGUGGGAUCAAAUAAGAGUUUUAACAAAGAAGUUACGAUCAACGGAAGUGCAAUGGCACCACCGUAAAUAUUUCAAAAUUUGAAAUUGAAACACUAGAUUCUCUCUCUCAAUCUCUCCCUCAUGAAUCUCUCUCUCCUCUGUUGGGAGCACCACAACCCCGUCGUCUUCUAACGAUGAUUCCGGCGUCAUCCUUCCUCUCCUGCUACGAAACUGGUUACAAUUUUUUUUCAUCUCUCUCUCCUCUUUACAUCCAUACCAAUUUCCAACCUCAAUUCCAAGGGAUUAAGCCAAAAAUUCGAACGAAAACCCAACUCAAACUGGCCUGUCAAAAACCAUGACUUUCGGCGUUUGUUCCGGCCAACUUCACCGAUCACCAGGUGGGUUCCAAAACACUCCCGUGCCUCCCCUCUGUAAUUUUCCUCGAAGACCCGACUUGAUUUCAACCCGAAACCAUCGAAUUGAAACCUAGAAGGUGUUUCAACGAGAAAACCAACUGUUCGAGGGCUUUAGCGGCUGAAUUGAUCUUCAAGCAAAGGUAUAAAGUUACUCCCCUUGAUGUGUUUGAUCUUUUGAUAUGAUUAUUGGCCAGCGGUUUGGAGUUUUUCGAUCGCCGGAAAUUUUUUCAAGACACCCGUAGGCAGUGGUGGCUCGUCAGUGGGGUAUCAAGGUUGGGUUUUGAAGCUAGAAUGUUCCCCAUGUCGUCCCAAGCACGAUAGUAUGCUCAAAUUUGAAUUUGGUUGUUGUUUGACGGUCGAUCAAAUUUACACAUAUUAGGCGUCUUCCGUGUUCGAUAUGUUCAGACCGUUGGAUCAACUCCAUUUCCAACUAUGCUGGUCUAGAUACCUCUCAGAUCAUGUAGGAACUACGAAUUGAGAAUCGGAGUCCCGGAUACUCCAAUUUAAUGGCUCAAAGUUUGGGUAAAACGGUGACCGCCCGAUCGUAUGAUUGUGAGCGAUCCGACCGCUCGAUCUGGACCAAACUUGUAGGACGUGUUUAGUAAGCUUUGUUGAACCCGUAGGGAACUUUUGGAUAGGAAAUUGGAGGUCAUGGGCCCAACAGGCCCAGCUGACCAAAUUUGGGAAGUUUGACCACUUGGUUGACCGAGCGUCUUUCGAGGUUAUUUCACAUUUCAGAACAUGUAGUUGGACCUUAGAAACUUCCUGUUUGUUGUAUACACACCUUGAAUUCCGGGAAAAAUUAGGAAUUUAUUUUAAAGUUUCCAUCCAAAUUAUUUUAAUUAAUCUAGUCCUCGUAUUUUUCAAUAGGCACUUCGGCUCAGCGUACUCAAUAGGGUUAAGCAGCUCUAGAUUAUCUGUGAGUGGACUUUGUUUUUAAAUAAUAAUCAUUAUUUUCAAAGAGAAAAAGCUAUGCAUAAUGAGUUAUUCGAUUAUUGAGUUUAACAUAUUAUUUAUUUAAAUGUUUGAAUUUGCAUAUUGUGAUUAUCUUGAAUUAAUAUAUGCUAUGUUUGAGAGUUACUAUCUGACAGGACCCGAUCCAAAUUCCGCUUUGGAAUCCAAGCCGGACCCUGUGCGUGUCCGACACCUGGCGAAUGUCAGGCACAAAUGACCUAUUUGCCCUUCUAUACAAAACAUGAUAAAAUAACAAGGUUGACGUCUACCGAAAAACCGGCAGAGUUUCCCUUGUAACUGGCUCAAUACCAACAUAUUUACACCUGCCAAACAAGUAUAUAUAUACAUCCAACUGCCAGCAUACAUUUAUAUACAGUCCAACCGUUCAAUUCUCAAUCUAGGGCAAAACAUCAGAGCAACUACUAAGAAUUUACAAAGAAGUGAAUCUUUUUACAAAACAAAAAUCCUACAUCAAAGAAAAGGCGCGGAAGAUAGAAAACGGCCCGGUGGUGGAUCACUGUGCACGUCUUCUGCCUGGGGGAGCAAAACAUGGAAAAGGGUGAGUGGACCUAAAAACAAAGUUUAGAAAAUAGCAUAUGAACAUACUAACCCCACUGUAAAAACAGUUGUACAAACUAAAUUAUUCUCUUUAUUUCUGCAAUCAAUGCACGUAUAUAAUUAUACAUGUAAAUAAUCAUAUUCAUGGUCAACAUUACUUUUAAAAACAGUUUAAAACUACCACCUAGGUGUACCCUUUAUUUCCGUCAAUUCCUUAUAUCCGUCAAUUCCUUGCAUCACCAUAGGUGACACAUACUCGCAGGUCUCAGUGACACGAGGUCAGUCCGAGCCGCAACUCGCAUGAUUCAGGGGACCGUGGUCCACCUUUAUCCGCAUACUCGCUCCAUACGAGUUCGAUUACCAAGGAACUUGUGGGGCAACUGUCAAGCAUGCUGACUAAACCGAAGGCAACCAAUAUAAUCCGAAGGCAACAUUUAAUAUCUGGGUACAAGGUGGUUUAACAAAAUAUAAAGUUUCUGAAGCAAAGCUGUUGAAUAAUAAACUUUCUAUAACCUUUCAAAUUCUGCUGCCAUUUAUCUGACAAGUAACUAUAAUUUCUUUUCUUAUAUCCGUUAAAAGGUAUUCCACUCGGCAGCAUGUAAAAUAAAACAGCUUAUAAUUGAAACUGAACUGCUUAAAUUCAUUUAUUAAAACAUAGAGUCCAUUCACCGGUAGUCCGAGCUCGCUGGACCUCUUAAAGGUCCCUCCUAUGGGUCAACUGGUGCCCGGGUGCCUGAUUCAAUGACCAUAAUAUACUAUUAAUACAAUAUAGUGUUAAUAUAAAAACUCUGACCCCCAGCUCCUAAAAGUACAUGCGUACAAUUAAAGUUAUCUCUAUGCCCAUAAAAGCUUUCCUUCCAGUUUAGCAGUAUCUUGGGACUCAAAAAGCGUUAAAGUCCCAAAAAAUCAACCCGGGACCCCACGGGUCCAUGACCUCACAAUAUAAUUCGGAAGCCGCAAGAAGGUCCAAUAUAUCUAGGACACAUGUCCAGAGGGUAUUGGUCUCGAUCGGACGGUCAGAUUGAUCACGAUCGUGCAAUCGCAUAUUUUCCAAACCCAAGCUCUAGGGUUCGCGAUUCUCGGAGUCCCUAGGACUCCGAUUCACAAUCCGUCGAAUCCUACACGAUUCUAAAAUUGUCUAGAGUAACAUAUCUGAAACUGGUUACGAUCCAACGGCUCAACCGUAUUGAACCCGGAAAUCGCACAAUAUGGAAAAUCCGUUCGAGGCUCAAACGGUAUCAAAAUUGAGAUCCGUGAAUUCCUACGCGCUCGUGACAACCUAAGGAUCGCAUCAAGUCUCAGUACCACUGCACUACCCUCGCCCACACGCUGCCGCACGCGCCGGCAGCGCUGGGUGUCCAAAGCGAUUAUGCAUCGCCGGAAAAUCUCGAAACCACGGCUCCGAACUCCUACCAUAGGUAUAACACCAUAUUUGGAACCACUUUUGUUCUUGGACCUACCCCAAAAACUGACCGAAAGUGGCCGAACACGGAGGUCGAAAAUCAGCCAAAUUCCAAUUUGAAAACCGAGCUAUCUACGGUCAAAAUCGAUGCAAACCUACCCAACCAUCAGCUAGAGCAUGGAAAAUAGGUAGAAAUCCAUACCUUACUCGACAAAUUUGGAGAAGAAUUGAGGGAGAACGAGCGGUUGCAAAACUGUGAAAAACCAGCUCGAGUUUUACAGUUUCCGGCGGCUGAACGACGGUGGCUGGCAGCGGGCUGGGCGGGGCUUGAAGACGGAACCGAGCUGGUCCUUUUGGCACCGACGGCAGGGGCAGGGGUGGUCAGUGGCGAGAGUUCUGGCGAUUGGAAAGUGACGGGAAGGAGGACAGCGGGAGAGGGAGAGAGAGAGAGAGAGAGAGGAAAACUUUUCGUUAAAACUCCGAUUCGAGUCCACUUCAUGUCUGCGAACUCAUUUCGUCGUGCUCUACACAACGGUGUAUGUGGAAUUGUCAAAUUCCUUUUCGGUCAAAAAGUCAACUUUUCGUUAAGAAAUUAUUCCAAGGGCAAAAUUGUCUUUCCUCAUAAUAAAUUACUAAUUAAAUAUGAAUUUUAGGUUUGGGUUAUUACACUAUACUUGGAUGCGUGUUGGGUACAUGGGAUUGGUAGAAAGAGAUUAUGGAAUGGGAUUUGAGUUGUGGUUUAUAUUAAUUUUGAAGUGCUUUAGGCACUACCCUAUGUACCUUCCUGGUUUUGGAAUACAUGGAUUGGAUACUUGGAAACUUUUGGGAUACUUUGAUAUGUCGAAACCCAACCACCCUUGACAGGGUGUUUUGUAGACCCUUAGCAGGAUUAGUCUGCAAGCGUAGGACUUGUCACAGGCGUACAAGUAUUGAAGAUUCUGUUGUACAUGUUGGUGAGCCAGUCCCCCGGUUGGACAACUCAUUCCCUAGCCACAUGGUCAAUUGAGGAUUCUUCUAUAUGGUCUAGCCAAACAAUCCCCCGGUUAGAUUAUUUCCUCAGUACAAGUUUGGUAGUGGUCAUACUUAUGUAUAUAUAAAAAAUUUAUAUAUAUACACACAUAUACUUUCGUUCUUGUUUAUCAAUGAGGAUUCUUUCUUGCUUGUGGUGCCAACGGGCACGCGUUUUGGGUGAGAGUAGUUUGGGGAAAAUGGGUAAGGUUUUGAGUGGGAUGGGUAUUACUAUACCAUUAUGAGAUAUGGAUUUCACUUUGGUUUUGACUUAGCUAUAUAUAUAUAUAUAUAUAUCGAUUUUGAAUGCAUAUCCUUUUUAGAAUCGUUUUCCAAAUGGUGGGGGUUAGUAUGUUGUUUUUAACUAUGUAAAAACUUUAUUUUUGUCCACUCACAAAUUUUCUGUUUUGCUCCCACAAGGCAGUAGUUGAGCUGAGUCGAGCGACUAAGCCGAGUCUUGUACUUCCGAGCCCCAAGUUUCUGUAGGACAAUGUUUACUUGUUUUUAAUUCUAUUGAACUCGUUUCAUUGUAAACUGAAUUUCUUUUGAUAUGCUUGGUUAUCGCCCAUGCUAGGGUUGGAUGUAAGGUCAGAGGCCUAUUAUGUAAAUUGCAUGAUUUUUCAUUGUGCAUGCUGUUGUUGGGAUUUUAUUACUUUGUUUUUUACAAGUUAAAAAUUUGGGAAAGUUUGUUUUUCAAGAGAGACUCUACCGAAAUUUUGACAAAAUGUCUAGUUCCUCUUUUCCUUAAUUUGGAAAAGAAGCUAUAAUGUUAGUAAGUGGGCCCGGCAUCAGUUUGAUGUCCGAAAUACCACAGGAUUCGCCACGGAUUCCAAGAAAAUUCAGGGCGGGUCUUGUCAAUUGGUUCCAUAAAUACAAAUAUCCUGGUAGUAGAAAAUAAAUCCGGCGAUCUUACAAUAAAUAGUCGUGAUUUCUGUUUGUGCAAAUAAUCUCACGGGAGAAUAUUCUCUUCUAGAUUCUUCAACCUUCGAUCUUCCUUCUCCCUCUUCCUCGAUUCCUGUAAAAAAGACUAGAGUAAAUAGACCACACCCCCCGUGUUGGCCAAAGGCCCUCCAAUGCCUAAGUUCGUUCGAGUGUUUGUAGGAAAACAAUAGCUAAACAAAGGGUACGGAGUUGUAUGUAGGGUGUAAACCGGGUGACCGGAGCCAUGUGUGGUGGCCGGAGCCGUGUGGAGAAAAUAUGGAGAGUGGCGAGGGAGAGAGAGCUUCGGGUAUUUUUCUCGGGUAUAAGGAGUAGGUUUAGAUGUACCUUGAAUGAUGAAUGAGGUCGUCUAUUUAUAGGAGCCUUGGGGCUAGGGUUUCGUAGGGAUCGAGUCGGACCUGAUAAUAUCCGAAUUAAAUAUAUUAUCGCUUAAGAAGAUAAUAUCUAAAUUAAAUGAUAUUAUCUUCUCUUUAUUAGGAUAAUAUCUUAAUUAAUGAUAUUAUCUCUUUAAAUAAAGAUAAUAUCAUAUUAAUUAAGAUAUUUAUCCCAAUUAAUUAAUUAGCUAGAUAAACUGGUUUAAUUAAUUAAUUUAAGAGAUAAACUUCUUUUCCACGUGGCGUGCCUUGAUUGGAGACGAAAAUAUAUGCUCCCACAAUUUCCAACUAAAGUAAGUCUGACUUCACUUUCCAGCUUUCAUGGUCAUUAAAGUUAUUUGGAGCCGAGUUACCAACAGUGAGGAGUCAUUCUGACAUACCUUAACAUCUAAGAAAUUGUAAACUUUGGGCUAUACUAAUUCAAAUAAUUUUGACCCUUGGAUUAAAUCACCGUUGAUUAUCAAAAUAAUGUGAAUUUAUUUUAAUUUGAUCCCCCUUUGUUUGAAUAGUAUGGGCCAUUCACCACUUUUGGUAAAUAAAGCCCAAUACCUUUUUGAAAAGUGAACCCAAUGCUUAUUUCGGGAUGGUGCACAUAUUUCAGGCCCAAACAGUACCCCUAAGUCUGAAUAUCGUCUCUAAAAAACGAUUUCAUACUUAAUGAUUGGCCUGCCUUCUAUUGAUGUGCGCCCUUUUGAUCUAUUUGCUCCUGCCCACGUCUGUUCAUUGAUUGGACAUUUUGGAAAAGUGGGUAUUAACGAUUAGUUAAUUCUUGGCAACUCUUCUUCUCCCACUAUCUGUCUUCUUUAGAGUAUAAAGCUGCAACCUACUUUACUCUUUUAAAACCAUCAUUAACCCCGAGUUCUUCAAUUUGUAGAGUAUUUCCAAUCUUUGAAAUUUAAAAUUUCAAUGAAAAAUUCAAGCAUUUCCCUAAUUCUGCCUGAAUAUUCUCGAUGGCUUCUCCCAAAACCCGUGCUAGUAGUUCUUCCUCCUUCCCUCCACCUUAUAUUUCAGGCGAAGGUGUUGAUACACAUGCCAUUGAGAUUCGAAGCAAACUCCAUUCAUAUUCCAAGAAGAAUUUGAAUGAAAAUAUCCUACAUUUGAACGGGAAUGCUAUCAUUCUGGGUUCUGCCUAGUUUGGGAAAGUUUUUGAGGAAAUGGCCAAACUUUUUAAGGCAGAUGCUGAAGCUCUGUUUUGCUAUUGUAAUCCUUCUCUAAUAUUCCAUUCCUCGGUUAGCAAGAAUCUAAGCAGAUCAUACCAUUCUAAUGAAGUGAGGAAUAGCUCUAUGAAGUGGUCAUAAUAGUUUGGCCGACUCUCUCCAAGGUAUGAAGGCCAUUGGAAGAAAGCUAGCAUAUAUGAUGCUUUGCUUCUGUCUAAGCAUUCAAUUAAUAGAGAUGAGAAUCUCUUUGCUGCUUCUUUAUGUUUUUGGAAUUCUGCUACAAACACUUUUGACUUUCGUGUUAGCCCUAUGCCUCCAACUCUGCUCGAUAUGGCUCAAAUAUUUGGAUUUAGGCCACAUGAAAGGCCUGCUGAUGCAUUUGGAGAUUAUCACGGAAGGAAAAAUGGUGAAAGAGUAGCUAAAACGAAGCCUUGCCAUUCUUGCCAACGGAAUACCACUUUCCAACAAUUAUUGAGGCCAAUGGCCUUUAAUCUCCUGUUAAUUUAAUCGGAGUCUCCUCCAUGCUUCUCUGAUUUCUCUUUUUCAAAAUGUCGAUCAUUAUCCAAUAGAGCUAUCUGUUUGCCCCUGAAAGUGGAUUUUUCAAGCAAAAAUUGUGCCAUUGCCUAAACGUGUGGCAACUCAAUCCUGUUAAAAACACUGGAUUUUGGUAUGUCCUGUAAUUGUGCUUGCAUAAUCCUGCUGAUGAUAUUUGAUUCUUGCCCCUACUAUACUGGAUGGAUUUAUUUAGAUGGAUUGGAUAGCCUUGUUAAGGCACUAUCCUUCUUCUAUGGUUUAAUAUCUGCAUUUUUAUGGCUAUCUCUGGCUCAUUCACACCUUAUAUUUACAAUAAACAACAAUUCCAGACAUAACAGUUGCCUUUGAUCUAAUCAAAGUUUCCUUGAUAACCCUCCUAUUUUGACAGGGACCUAUCUCCACAGUUGCCUUUGACUGAGAGCCUUUUUGCAUAUCCAUGAGUUAAAAACGAAGAGCAAAUUUACUGGCCAUACUGGAUUGUGAGAAGUGGCUUUGGAGACACUCUUAAAGAGGUGCAGCCGACAGUGAGAGAGAGAAUGGACUCAAAGAGUAUACUGGUGAUGUAGCUGACAAUGAGUUGGUCUUGUUGGUACCACUGAGCACGGGCAGGAUUGGUUUGGGUAAGAGAGAUGGUGGUGAUUGUGGGUGUUACGGUGGUAGAAGUGGAGGUUUGAGCAGAAGGUUGUUUAUGAGUGCCUUCGAUAAAUUUUCAGAGGUCAUGACCGACUCAAAAGAGUUUGAGUUGGCAGAGCCAAAAGAGGUAGUUGGAGUCAGUAAGCUUGAUAAAAUAAGAACAGUUGGGGUUAGGGAAGGAGAUGGUGGAUUCAGACGAAGCCAUAAGGUGGACCUAAAGGAAACGAUUGGAUCGAAUAAGGGAGAGGGAGGAAACCCUAGGUAAGGCUGAUAUCAUGUAGAGAAUAUAUUUUCUUGUAUUAAACAGAAUACACAAAGUCCCUAUUUAUACUGAUACAGGAAAUCAACUUAGGAUAGGAAAUAAUAUAGACAUGAAUACAAUCCCAUUUACAGCAGGAAAAGCUAAUUGCUAGGAGGAGAUUGUGAAGUUGACUUCCGUGUGUACUAGGAAAGGGAAGCUGCGUUAACAUCUUUCUUUGGCCAAUUUAGAUUUACCAUAUUGACUUGAGUUUUGGGAAAAAGGAUUGUAUCAAUAGUGGGGACCUUCUUUGCUAUUUUCAACUUUCUUGAGGCUAAUGCUUCUUAGACAACAUCCCUUAAAACAACACAGCUAUUGGUAGUGUGAUUCAAAGAAUUAUGCCACUUGCAAUACUGUCUUCCCUUCAAUUCUUCUGACUUUGGCAACCUGUGUCUAGGUGGUGUAUCUAUAGCCUUCUGAGAUAACAUUUCAUCAAACAAACCGUCUAACUUUGAUAAAUCAAAAGAAUAAACCUUGUUUGUUGGCUGUUUGUUUGGAAUGAAACCUCCAGUGAAGGGUGGUGGUUUUUGAUCCUUUGGUGCCUUUAGCAAAACUUUACAACUUAUUGUCCCUUUAUUUUAGCCAUUUUUUCCACCACUGCCAUAGUUUCCUCUGGUUCUAGCUCCUUUUCUUAUUCUACCUGCACCAAAUGUAUUGAAGAUGAAGGGGUCUUGUAGUAUGUACAUUUAGAAGCAUUCCUCUUCUGUUGUUAUUCCUUCAAUAAUUCUUCAUAUUUGGUGACCUUAUCCGCCAGUUCUGCUAAGUCUCCAAAUAUUAUUCCAUUGAACCUUUUUCUCAAGGAGAUCCUCAAUGAUGUUUGUCCCAUCUGGAUAAAGUGCCUCUCAUAUAUAGGAAUUCUAAACUUCAUUUUCAGCUUUCUGAACCUAGUAAUAAAGUCAUGAGCUGCCUCAUUCUCACUCAGCUUCAGUACAGUCCUCAGGCUAGAUUCUGUACUAGUAAUCAUGGAAAGCAGUGCUUAGCCUUUUUGCAUAAUACAGUGGAUUAGGACAAGAAAAAUAGGAUUCCUAUGGAAGAACUUCUUUUUUUGGGGGGGGGGGGUUGUAUUCCAUUAGGAUUCUAGAGAGUUUAAAAAGAUUUUGUUUAAGUGCCUGCUUUCAUAGAACUUUAUGGAACUUUAUAAUUCGUAUAGAACUUGAUAGACUUUCAGAAGACUUCUGUAUAUUUUUUUAAUAAACUUUCUUAAGUUUUCAUAGAACUUGAUAGGCUUUUAUUCUAGACUUAUGUAGACAGUAUAUUUCAGUUUAUCCCCAUCCUUGUCAUUUAAAGAAAGAAACUUGAAUUUUUUCAAUCAAAUUUGUUUUUGUUAUCCAAAGCAAAAACAAAAAGUACUUGUUUGCUCUUCCCUUUUCUAUUUACUUGUUGUGUAUUUUCAGACUCCAUUUGAGUGCAGCUAUGAAUUUUAUCAUGUCAAUCAUAAAAUACAGCAUAAAAAAUAUCAAAAAAUGUACAUCAUCAACCAUAGAUUAAACAUGACACAUCUUAUGUUGAAUGGAAAAGGACGCAGUAGGAAUUUACAGAUUUGGGGUCCGAACUCUGAUUGGCGUGUAUGAUACCUUUCUGAAAAGGAAACAAUGCUACGAGUCAAACACACUGCUUUGCUAUGACGUAUGGUGGAUUUUGGGCUUUUGAGGUCGUUUAGGCUUCCAAAACAGCAUUUAAAAGUUGAAAUUUUUGGAUUUUCGUUUUUUUAAUGUUCAUUUAUAUUUAUCUCAGUAUUUUUGUUCGAUUAUAGAAAGGUUGUCAAUUAUUUCAAUUUUCUAUCUAGUCGUAUAUAGAUAUUUCAAAAGAAAAAGUAGUAACAAGCAUAAACCGUAGUAAACAAGCAUAAACCCUAGUAACAAGUAUAAACCUAAUAACAAGAAAAACACGAUGAAGAAAAAAUCAUGGAAAAAGAAAACCCAACAAGGUAUGGAUCAAAGAAAAAAUAGGGAGCAUACCUUCACAGAUGAAGGAAGGAAGAUGUUCAUCUUCGCAGAUAGAAAAGCCAAGAGAAAAACGUAUGAUGAAAUACUUGGGAGGGAGGUUGGAUUAUUUUGGUCUUUGUUAUUUAUAACUCUCCCCUUAAAACCUAUGAAAAUUUAUCACUUAAUGAAAUCCUUCCAAAUAUAUCACCUUUUUUAUAAUCCUAAUUGAAUACACCCAUAUUUGAAUAGACAUUUUAAAAGUUCAUAUAAGUCCGAAUUGAAUACACCCAGACUUGUAAAACCUCUUUUAAAAUUUUGUAUAAAUCCAAAUUGAAUACACUCGGAUUUUUAAAAUCUUUUUAAACGCUUUAUAAUCCUAAUUGAAAACACUCUAUUGGGAUUGUCAUUGCAGCUGCCAUUGGAUUCUAUCAAGCCUAAAUACAUGAUUAAAUAAACUUACAAAAUUUAGAGAAUCUUUCUAUCUUUGCGUGUCUAUUGAGACCGGUUAAGUGUGAACUACUAGGGACUGAAACAUAUUUGUACUUUUUAUCCUCUAAUUGAUCUUUUCCAUGUUUAAUGUUCUCACUUAGAAUUGAAUUUAGAUGGAUAACCUUUAUUUGGAUAAUAUCCAACCCAUACAAGUGAGACAUUUAGUAUAAAAGUUCCAAUAUUUGAAAUUUCCAAGCAAUCUUGUCCAAUUACUUCUGAUAUAAGCCGUCUUUAACAUUAUAUUGGGCAGAAAAUCAGAAUAUUUGGCCAUCUUCAACUUUGUGAGAUGUUCAAAUUUGGUCUACUUCCAGAUUCUAUUUUUGUAUGAAGCAACAAGCUACAAUUAGAUAAUAACUUACUGAAAAAUGAGACAAUAAAGUGGAUGAGGAAUCAAAAUAUAUCAUUACAUUUUCUCAUGUUUCCUGGAGAAUAAAACAUUUAGAAUUGUACAUGGCUUAAAAGACAAAUCUUCUUGUCAUCCAGUUCAAAAUUGGAGUUAUGAUUUUGGGCUCAAUAGUCUUCGAAUCGAGAGUUCAUGAUAUCGUCAUUCGACUGCUUCACAAAUUUUGUAUCUUCGUGCUCAGCUCACAAGCACUUUGACCAUCAAAGAAGGCUUCCCAGAUUCAUAAGCAACAGAAAAAUGUGCAUAUGAUCAAUCACAGCCUCUACUUCAUCUUGACACGGCGAGUUCUUCUGAUCGAACUGAGUGCUGAUUUGGAUAUGAACCAGAUUCACUUCAUUUGCGUUCAUUCAUACACUUAAGCUGGAAGUGAGAUGAAUGAAGGUUUCAUCACUGCAGGGGAUUGUGAUACCACCCAUUGGAUGAUCAUAUCCAAAUUCUUCUUCUGCUUGACUUAGCAAAUCCAAGAACAAAGGCUCAUUCAAGUAUGAUAUUGGAACCACAAAUCGCUUCUUCUGGCUCCCCCCAACAUACACUGCAAAGUAGCCUUUUGGGAUGUCUACGGUGUUUGAAGUAGCAGCCUUGUUUAGACCCUUCUUGGAGUUAACAAUUCCUGGCAAUCGGAAUCCCAUGGUUUUUAUAUUCUCAAGUGGAAAAUUUGAACAAGAAAGAAUUCAGAGGACUUGGGAAACAGAGAAGACUUUGAUGCUUGGCAAGGAGAGAGACUUGAGUUGUUGGUUAUGAACCUGAUCUCUUGUGUAUAUAUAGAUGAAAGAGUAUCGCCUUCUACAUGAAAUGAGUGGUCUCGAGGCGCAGAGAUUUGCCCCAGUGAAGGAUAAUAGCUUGUGAGAAAUCAAAACAUAACAUGGGUUGUCUUCCCACUCGCAUAAAUCAUCUCCACAUGCAAUGACAAAACUGUAUCCCUCUGUACAAACAUCAUUCCCCACGUCUUAUUUCAUCGAGUAAUUUGUUGUGGUCUAAAGAUUGCUAAUGUGUUCCUGUCAAGAGACUAUGGACAGAUAUGUCUUAACCCUGUUUUGUACUUCAAAGAAGUCUUUUCUAUCCGCAUAUAAAGAGUUUGUAGGUGUCACAAAAAAAAUUGUUGGGCAUCAUGUUCUCCAACAAACAUACAGACUUAAUAACUACCAAGUUCUUGAGAAUGAGAUGGAAAACAGACCAUGUGAUCCCUCAAAUUCUCAUGCCUCUUUCCAAUCCCCACCCAAUUGUCCCCAUUUCAGAUAUUUUCCUCUACACACCCUUUCAUCUAUACGUAGACACACACAUACACACAGAUGAUCCCAUAAACAAUUGAAAUCCUGAGUCUUUACAAACAUGAAAUCUAAUGAGACGUGAUCCUAAAAUGAUUUAGUUUCCUGUUUUAUUUGUAUUUAUUUCAUAGAUUUGCUGUAUAUAUUCCUUAUCUCUCAAGGACUUGAUUCUUGCCUAGAAUAGGAAAUCCUUUGUGUAGACACCAAGCAAAGCAUUGUAUAUAAUUAUCACAUGAUUGUUCAAUGAAAAUCAUCGAGAAUAUUCAAAACCUUUCAUGGUAUCAAGAGCCUGAGACUCACAGUCCUCGAUCCUCAAUUUUCUUGUUCCCUGUCUUUUUUUUUUUUUUGUUGGCACCAUGGCUUCUUCCUCGUCUAUUGAUUUUCCUAGCGUUCAUCAUGUUAUCUCCAUUCGUCUCAAGUGUGAUAAUUAUCUGACGUGGCUUGCUCAAAUUGUUCCUAUCCUUCGCAUCUACCGCUUGCUCAGCUUUGUUGACGGCACUUCUCUGUGUCCUCCGACCAUUCCUGACCCAAAUGCUAAGGCCGAUGAAUCUACUUUUCUGUCUCUCCUCCCCAACCCAGAGUAUGAUGAUUGGGUCCAGAAAUAUCAGCUUGUUUUCUCUCUCUCAUCAACGGUUCCUUUCACCAUGAAGUUCUCACCACCGUAGCUUCCAAGACCAUCGCUGUGACACUUGGGUAGCCCUUGAAACUCAUUUUGCUUCUCCGAAUCAGAAUCGUCUUCUUCAACUUCACAGUAACUUGCUUUGCACAACCUGUUGUGAAUCUUCCAUCACUGAUUUCCUUGAUCGUAUUAACUCGAUUGACGAUAACUUGGCUCUGGCAGGUGCUUUAGUUGCUGACUCUGAUCUCCUUGUGAUGGUUAUGAACAACGUUUGUCCUCUUUAUGAAAAUACCAUUGCCGCUACUCAAGCUCGUGAGAAACCCAUCAAUAUGCCUGAUCUUGAUGCUCUCCUCUUGUCUGCUGAACGUGGCCUGUAGUUAUCUUAUUCUCUGGUCAUGUAUUCUGGUGCGACAGCUAUGGAAGCUUCCCAUGGUGGUCUCGGUGGCUGUGAUUUUGGCGAUUGUGCUGGGUUUGCUGGUCAUAGUCCCGAUCUUCCCAACUCAUUCUCUCCCUCACGACUAGGUUUUACUUCUGGUCGCGGUUUCCCUGGCGCUUCCUAUGGCGCCUCUAGUCCUGCCUCACAUCAACAACAUUUUGGUAGCAAUAUCGAGCUGAGUGUUCUUGGCCCACCUCCUUCUGGCUCUACUGCUUCCUCUUUUGGGCUUCAUUCUGCCCCUAGGCCUCUUCAAUGUUUCAAUUGUCAUGGUUUUGGCCACAUCGCAGCUGUCUGUCCUUCCAAGACGUUUUCUGUGCCUUCUCCUCUGUCUCGUCUUCAAGACAUAACUGCUCAAUAUCCUUCACAUGGUGGCCAUCAACAGUGGGUUGAUGAUACCGAUGCAAACACUCAUAUUACCAAUGACCUGAGCUUCUUAUCCCUUGCUAAACAGUAUCAUGGUUCUGACAAUGUUGGAGGUGUGCUUGGUGGAACAGGUUCGCCUAUUAAAAAUAUUGGUCACUCUCGUUUCUCUCACCUUAAUUCUUCUUUUCAUCUUAAUGAUAUUGUUCAUUGUCUCGAUGCAUCUCUUCCUCUCUUACCUAUUCAUAAAUUUCCCACUAACAACCAUUGUUUCUUCACUUUUUUUCCUAAUUGUUAUUUUAUCCAGGAUUUGGGGACGAGGAGGACACUUUCUUGGGCAAGAGUAGUAAUGGCCUAUAUCCCUUUUCAUUUACACCGAAUGAGUUUUUUCAAGUUUUGCGUGAUCGUGUUGCUUUACUAGGUGUCUAUGUUGACCGCUCUGUGUGGCACUCUCGCCUUGGUCAUCCUGCUUCGUCUACUUUGCAAUUUUUGUUAUCUCAUAAUAAAUUGCCAUCUUCUGGCUCUGUCUAGUUCUUUUUGUCAGUCAUGUACGUUGGGUAAAAGUGUUAAAUUACCCUUUAGUCCUUUUUAUGUCCUUUCUUCUCCACUGAAACUUAUUCACUCUGAUGUAUGGAGUUCUUCAAAUAAAUCUAUUUCUUAUUUUAAUUAUUAUGUUUUAUAUGUUGAUGAUUUUUGUCGUUAUUCUUGAAUUUUUCCAAUGAAAUUGAAAUCAUAAGUUUUCUCUCACUUCAUUAAAUUUAAGGCUUUGGUUGAAAAUAUGUUUUUCACUACGAUUAAGGCAUUUCAAUCAGAUGGGGGUGGGGAAUACACUAGUCAUCAAUUUAAGAAUUUUUUAUCUCAUCAUGGCAUUCAUCAUCGUCUUUCUUGUCCACAUCAUCCUGAGUAAAAUGGUUUAGCCGAACGUAAGCAUCGUCACAUUGUUGACACCGGGCUCACUCUUUUAGCCAAUGCCUUUAUGCCUCCUUCCUAUUGGGCUGAGGCCAAGCACACCACUGUUUAUUUAAUUUACCGUCUUUCUUCUAAGUUGCUUCAGUAUAAAUCACCCUAUGAAUUAUUGUUUCACAAAGAACAUAAUUAUUCGUUUUUAAAACCUUUUGGGUGUGCAUGUUUUCCUUAUUUACGGCCAUAUAAUAAUAAUAAAUUACAAUUUCGGUCUUCCAAAUGUGUGUUACUUGGUUAUUCUUUGAACCCUCAAGGUUAUCGAUGCUUGGAUCUUGUUUCUAAUCAUGUUUUUUUAUCGCGUCAUGUGUUAUUUGAUGAAGUUUCUUUUCUGUUUAACAAGGCACAUGCUGCUACUACUCCAGACCAUUCUCCGUCAUCAGACCUGCCUGUCAUCCUCUCUGGCCCAAGUUUAUCUUCAUGCAGCCCAUGCCUUCCAGUGUCGUAUUCUCUGCCUAGUCUCCCUUCUUUGGUGCCAAAAUUAGGAAGCGGAGAGUGAGAACUCACACACACGGGUACCAUGGGAGCUUGAACCCAAGACCUCUUGAGAGCACACCAAAAGCCUAGGAAAAUCCACCUAACACCCCAUUAGUCGACAGUAAAUAGUUCAAUUGCAUAAAAAGAAAACAAGAAGACUUAAUGGAUAUGAAAAAUAGUUUUUCCAACAUAUUUCUUCCCUCGUAUAAGUACAUUAAAAAUUGAACAAAUGAGAUUCCAAAUUGGUUGUCGUCAUCUUUUAGAUCCUUUUUCUAUCUCUUCAACCGUUGGGAGGGUUUUUUUAUUUAAAUUAUUUUUUUGUCAAAAAUGAUUGCUAAUUAAUUACAGUUUUACUUUUUCUUUUUUGCUUUUGUAAUGAAUAAAGAGUACAAAUGAAACAUCGUCAAAAUUGCUUGACAAAGUGGGCUGUCGUUUAAAAAAAAUGUAGAUUACAAGUUUAAUGGACAAGCAAUUUGUGAUCUAUAAAGAUGUUGCUUCCUAUUGCUUUCACCAUUAUUUCCACCAAAGUAAAAUUUAUAGCUGAAAGUUAGAUCAGUUUCGUACACAUAGUAGAUCCAAAAUGUUACUACCAAAAAGGCUUCAGUUUUAACUUGCUACACUUUGCCUACCACUGGAAAUAUCCAAUUCGGAGUGCAUGAGGGUAAAAUUGAGUGUCAUUAUUGGUAGUGAAAUACUUUGUGAUUAGGAAAUAUAUCUUGACAAUUUGAUUAUAACAAAUGAAUAGAAAAAAAAUUAGAAAUACCUGCAUAUAUAGUUAUGGAACAGUUAGAGAUUGAAAUUUCAACCGGCCAGCAAGAAAGGAAAAGGGAGAGAAUCCCAAAAACAAUAGAAAUGUGUGGCAUGGGAGGAGCCCCUAUUAUGUCACCUCCUUAGUUUUCAAUUAAGAAAACGUAGUGAAAAUAUGAGAAUCCUUCCCAGCCACACAUCUCCAUUGGCCUCUGGGAGGCCUAUCUCCCAUUUCAAGUCAGCCAAUUCUAAGAGUGUAUUAUGCUCUCAAGAUUUAGAGCCCAUUAUUUAUAGGGAAGCCAAGGGUACAUAAGUUCAAAAAAUAACCUAUAGUGCCCAUGGUUUCCAUAUGGUGAGGAAUCUAUGCGCCAUCGUAGUUGUUUCACCACAUGUUUUGACAAUUUUCGUGAGGAAGCGAAAAGGAAAAUUGGGUUGGUAUUCUUGCAUGCUUCCCACACGUCGUAAAAUAAAUUCUUGAUAUACCUAUUAAACCAUUUCUUUUAUCAGUUCACGUGAUGAACACGAUGAGAGAGAUAAAGAGAAACCGGCCGGUUACAUCUGACACCUAUGAACAGAAAAGAAUCCAAAACCGUGAUAGGUUGGUGAAGGGAAGUGAUGUUUUUGGUUUUCCAAAAUUGGAUUUUGGAUUUUGGGGAUAUUAGUACCAGUUUUUGAGCCACUAAAUAAUUCGAUUGCAUAAUCAAACUUAAAACAAAAGUUACAGGUAUGUUAGAUAUGAAAUAUAAUUCAAUUGCCUUCUACUUGAUUAUGAUCUUCCUCGCUGGACUAUGAAUGCUAUUGGGCUUCUAAUUUGUUGCUCCAAAAACCCAUUUACCGCAACGGGCCAUUCAUCGGGCCUCCAUAAAUUCAGGUCCAAUCAACAUUUAUAUGGAGAUGAAUGCUAGAUUGGAAAAUCCAUGAAAUCUGCAGUAUGUGGUGGUGUAGAGGCUAUAUGCUGUGGUGGGGAUGAAUGGGGAGACAUAUGCAUAUGAAGGAUCACAUGGUUCUGUCUUCCACAUCAUCAAGAAUUUGGCAAUGAUUGAGACUUCAUAUCUGUUGGAUUGUGUUUUAGUUUUAAAUCUGAAGUCCUUGCUAGGACAGGAAGCUAGACAAGUUGCUGACUCUAAUAUAUCUUUAUAACGGUAUGUAAAUAUUUUUGUAGUUUGUCAAAAAUAAAAAAAUCUUGUCAUGCACCUAUCAAUAAUACAUUGAGGUUUUUUUUCCCUCAGAUAAUUUGUUUUUCUAAGGGUUUUCAAAAAUCUAGUUUAUGCAAGCUGGAAUUAUGCAAAUAGACUUUGGCAAGAGAAAAUUAAUGUCAUAGCAUAUUGUCAUGAAACAAAUAUUUGUGUCAGGAGUUGAUUUGCAAGAAUGUGUUUCAUCAAAAUUUGAUAACUUAGGAUCAAUCAAGCAUUAAAAAUGCCACUGAAAUGGGCAUGAUAUUUCCCCAAUCUGUAUGAGGAACCAUGUAAAAAGUUAUAUGGUCAGCAUUUUAGUCAAAUUCUUGUGCAAAUCUGCUACCACUUGUGGGAUUAACUAUAUAACAAGGGCUACAAGAAGAUAAUACUAUAAUGCAAACCAUAAGACAAGAAAGGAUGAGGAUUUCAAAUAGAUUGUAUAUUGCUCCUGGAGAACAACAAAGAAGUUUACAUAGGUUCAAAAGACAGAAUUUGACUGCCUUUGGGUGGGGGAUGAUAUUUGGACCAAUGGUUCUAGGGAGUUCAUAAUAUCAUCACUUGUCUGCUUCAUAAAAGCUCAGCCUAGAAGCAGCUUCAGCAUUUGAGAAGGUUUGCUUUCACCAUAAGAUGUGAGUUGAUUCCAUGGAUGAGCAGUGGUAGCCUCUUCUUCAUCCCAACUCAGCGAGUUCUGAAAUGUGGAUGCUUUGGAUAUGAUCAUAUCCAAAUUCUUUCAUCUUGGCUCAGUGAGCUCUGAAAUGAGGAUGGUUUGGAUAGAUUGGAUGACCGAUUCGUGUACACUCACACACUUAAGCGGGAAGUGAGAUCAAGGAAGGUGUUUUCACUGCAGGGGAUUGUGAUACCUCCCAUGGGAUGAUCAUAUCCGAAUUCUUCUUCAGCUUGACUCAGCAAAUCCAGGAAUAAAGGCUCAUUCAAAUAUGAUAUCGGAAUCACAAACCGCUUCUUCUGGCUCUCCCCAACAUAGACUGCAAAGUAGCCUUUUGGGAAAUCUAAAGUCUUUGAAUCUGCUGUCUGGCUUGAACUAGAUAGAGAUCGAAUGAGACUUCUCUUUGCGUUAACAAUUGCAGGCAACCGGAAACCCAUGAUCUUAUAUAUUCUCAAAGGACAAAAGAAGAGAGGGAAUUCAAAGGACUUGGAUUUGGAAAGCAGAGAAAGCUUUGGUGCUUGAGAAGGUGAAGACUUGAGUUGCUCAUGAUGAACUUGGUCAUGUGUAUAUAUAGAUCAAGGGUAUCCAGAAAAUCAACAGCUACAUGAAAUUAUUGGUCUGAGAUGGGCUCCAAUGAGGGACACUUGAUUGUGAGAAAUCACAUGGGCUUGUCGUCCUUCUCACGCAACACAUCCUCGAAAGAUUUCUCACGGAACUCUUCCCUACCUCCUCUAGGUAACAGACAACAAAAGGACCACUAGAGGUGAUUCAAUCCAAAAGACUUAUGUCUGUUAGGUAAGUAGCAUUUAUGCUUGAGACAUGCACUUCUCUUUGUUCACACUAAAUCAACUGACCACAUAAUUGGACUAUUAAACUACAAAGUUUCUUGAAUAGGUCUGCUAAUGAAUUGCCCUCUCACUUCAUCAAAAGACCAACAACACUGCAUAUGUUGUGGUCCUACCCAACACUAAUACAAUUGUGUUGUGUGGUGCUAAAUAGCUUGCUUGGGAGCAGCAAGGCACCCUACAUGUGGCUUUGUAGUUACGACUCUGAUCUUCAGUCUCAGCAAACAAAGGAGGUAUUUAUUUCAUUUUGUUAGGCCAAUCUGGACUUAACCAGAAAACACUAUUGAUUUAAAUAGUUGACAUUACUUGAUCAAGAAAACUGAAGUUAAUAAAUUGAACUUAAGCUACUCGGUCUAAACUCAAUUUUUAAAAAACCAUUUUCCAUUACAACUCUUGGUUUAACAAAACCAUUGCCAGUCUUGUUUUAGGCAAGUUCGGCGAAAAGCCUACUAGAGAAAUCUAGAAAAUUCUAGAGAGAAGGAGAAGCUAGGUUGAUAAUCUCUUCUUGCCUUUGCUUAUGGCAACAACUGAAGAAGCCAUGUAAACUUGGCUUGCACUCUCUAGCAUAGGGAAAGUCGUGCAUAUAUAUUGUGCCAUUUUUUUAUGAAAGAAACUUAGUUGUUCGGCUCAGUGUCUCUCUAUAUUAACUCAUGAUGACUCUCCUCCUUAUUAUUCUUUCGGGUUAAUCAUUUUAUUAGUCCUUUAAUUUAGACCCGAUUUGCAUUUAAGUACCUCAAUUUUCAAAAUAGUUCUCAUGGUCCUUCAACUUCACUUUAGUUAGGACAAAUGGUCUUACUGUUAAUAUUGUUAACUUUUCUAUUAAAUGCAAGGGAUGGUAUUUUUGUAUCAAAAUUGAUUAAAAUAUGAAUAAAAAAUUAAAAAAUUAAAAAAUCAAAAUUAUACUCUCUUUCUCUCCCCCUCUAUCCCGAUUUCUACUCCCCCAAAACUUUUUUUUUUUUUUUGUUGGUUUUUUAUUUGAUUUUCUUUUAUGGUUAUUUUAAAGAUAUGAUUUUUUAUUCAUUUUUUUGGUUUUAAAAUAAAAUUACCAUUUUGUCCCAGCAUUUAACAGAAAAAGUUAACAAAAUUGAUGGUAGGACCAUUUAUCCUAAUGAAAGUGAAGUUAAAGGACCACGGGAACCAUUUUAGAAAUUGAGGUACUCAAAUGCAAAUUGGGUCUAAGUUCAGGAACUAAUAAAACGAUUAACCCUUAUUCUUUCAAUCCAUUGAGAGAUGUUACGCAUACUGUGCUUAAUAUAUUAUUAAAUUAUCAGAUACAGUCAUACAGGGUAAAGAUUCCCUGUAUGAAAGGAGGCUACUAAUUUUGGCCCCAUGGAUAAAGGAAGUACUUUGGCCCCAUUGAUAAAGGAAGUACUGAGUAAACCAUUAUACUUUCAUUUUUUGAAAAAUAUGCUGUCAUUGAUGAUUUUAUUUUAUGACAGAGCUACAAGUACAAUGAAAAAUAAGACAAGAAAGUGGAUCAGGAUUUAAAUUUGCAUUCCAAUAUAUUUUCCUGGAGAGUAACAAAGGUUACACAUGAGAAGAUCAUAGCAUCCAACCCAAAUGUGGAGAGGCCCAAGAUCUUUUAUACUACAAUGCACGUCUUUAAGUUCCGUAUGUACUCUCAAGGACAAUAGUUCAAAAUUUCGAUCAUGAUUUUGGACUAAAGUUUUUCAACGUCCAUAGUAUCUUCGUUUGUCGGAUUCAUGAACUUUUUAACUUUAUGCUCAGAUCACAAGCAGCUUCAGGCUUACAGAUUGCUUCCUCUCAGCACAAGAUGUAAGUCGACUCAGUGGACGAUCAAGAAUAGCCCCGUCCUCAUCAUUACUUAGUGAUCACUCAUACACUUAAGCGGGAAGUGAGAUGAAGGAAGGUGUCUUCACUGCAGGGGAUUGUGAUACCACCCAUGGGAUGAUCAUAUCCAAAUUCUUCUUCAGCUUGACUCAGCAAAUCCAGGAACAAAGGCUCAUUCAAAUAAGAUAUUGGAAUCAAAAACCGCUUCUUUUGGCUCUCCCCAACAUAGACUGCAAAAUAGCCUUUUGGGAUAUCUAAGGUCUUUGAAUCAGCCGUCUGACUUGAACUAGAUAGAGAUCGAAUGAGACUUCUCUUGGCGCUAACAAUUCCAGGCAACCGGAAACCCAUGAUUUAGUAUUCUCAAGAGGACAAAACAAGAAGAAAAAGAUUGGCAAGGACUUGGAAAAAACACAGAGAGCUUUGGUGCGUGGGAAGGAUAAGACAUGAGUUGCUCAUGAUGAACCCAAGCAUAGUAUAUAUAUAGAUGAAAGGUAUGCAGAAAAUCAUCAGGUACAUGAAAUGAUUGGUACUGAAGGGGCACUGGGAGGAGAAGCAAUGAGGGACACUAGCUUGUACCAAAUCACAUGGGUUUGUUUUCGUGCUCAUGUAACCCUUCCGCAAGAGAUAUCUCAUGAAAAUGAUCAAACUCUAUCGUUGUGUAGAAACAGGAUUCCCUACCUAGCUAGCUCCUCUGGUUAACAGACAACAAAAGGGACCACCAUGUUCUUGAAAAAUGAAUUCAUUGAGUUGGACGCUCCUCUGGUUAAUAGUACCGCAUAUGGUAUGCCCUACAACAAAAACUUGUUAGCUUGUGAUAAAUUAGUAGUCUCUUUCUUUUUCAUCUUUUUAUAAAUGCUGCUUCAAAAGACAAGAAUUUGUGGUGCUAUGAGAAUUUACAUGGACCCUGGGAUGCUCUAUAGUUUGGUUGGUUGGGAGCACCAAACCACCACCCUAGCAUGUGGCUUUGUCCUUUCAUCUAUGAUCUUCAGACUCAACAAGCAAGAGAAGUCUUUCAUUUGGUUGAGGAAUUGGUACUUUUUUAGCACGCAGUAGGUAAUGAGUACAUAUCUAAAAAGCAUGUUGUAUCAAGAUUAAUGUGGUCUCGAGAGUGCUAAUUUGUUGCUGUCAAGAAACUAUAAACAUAUUUAUCUGAAUCCCAUCCACAAAUCAACAAGUAUCUUUUCGUAUCCACAAAUCUCUAAAACUUCAAGUGGGCAUCCAUGUUUGUAGGUUGUCAUAGAAAUGGUUGGGGGCAUAAUGUUCGCCAACAAAUAUACAGAUUCAAACAAUAUAUAGCUACCAAGUUGUUGAGAUUGAGAUGGAACUUGGAAGACAGAAGCAUGUGAUCUUUCAAAUGCUUAUGUCACUUGCCAACCCCAACCUAUUUGCUUCCACACAGUUGUCUCCACAUUCAGUAUUUUCCUAUAGACCUUUUCAUCUAUAUAUAUCAGAUCAUAAAAUAAUCAAGAAAACCACAGACUUUCCAAAAUCUGUUCUCCAAGUCAUUUUUUAACUUCAACGUAUUCUCAAGUGAUAACUUAGACUUUUAAACAUGGCUAUCAGAUUGCCUAGUAUUAUGCAAGCAAAGCAGAUCCUCUGCCGGGGGAGUUUGUUUGCUAACCGCGCAGCUUCAACAUCUUUAGUAGGUGUUCCAAAAGGCUUCUUCGCAGUGUAUGUUGGAGAGAAUGAAAAAAAGAGAUACAUGGUUCCAAUUUCAUUAUUGAGUCAGCCUUCAUUUCAAGAGUCGUUAAGUAAGGCAGAGGAAGAAUUUGGAUUUGACCAUCCAAUGGGUGGACUCACAAUUCCUUGCAGAGAAGAAAUCUUCGUUGAUCUCACUUCUCGGUUGUAUGGCUUGUGAUUCAUGGUUCACAUAUAAAUUAUCUGAACAAAUUGUAAAGACUUAUACAUUCUCUUGCAUCUAUGCUUUUUAGCAUAAGAAGAAAGGGAUCCAAAUUUUUUGACUAGUUGAGAAAGUUGCAAAUGGAAAUAGUUGGCUGUACAUGAUGAUCGAUUCUAGAAUUAGCAACAUCGAAUGAAAAAUUUCUCUCUUUCAAUUCUGAAAUGAUUUACAGUCCAUUACCUUGGUAACUUUCUUUUCUGCCACUUUUUUUACCAUCCAUUUUAUUUUUUUGAUUGUUUAUGACACCAUAUGAAGAAAACUUAAGCAAUAUGAAGGGGUAAAAUAGAACAGAGAGAGUAACGUUUGUUUGUAUUAACCCCCUUCAAAGUUAAAAUUACACAAAAUGGCAGACUUAUGUGUACUCUUCAAAAGGGUUUGUCCAGCAAAUUGAUGUAUUAAGCUAACAAAAGCCUGGUAAACUAGGGGGCCAGCAUAUUAUAAAUUAUUUCCAUUUUGUCUUGCCUAAACAAACUAGGCCUGCAUAUCAAGUAACUGGAUUUCUAUGAAAACUAAGCCAAUGGAGAGAAUACAUGGAAGCAAAAUGGUUGUCUUCCGUUUUGCUGCAUGAGAUUUCGGUGACGGGAGAUGGGCCAGUGCAUCGACUCAUUAAAGUGAAUUGUGAUGGCGCUUGGUCGGCAACCAUGUCUCAGGGUGGCUAUGGAUGGGUGGCUAGAUCAUCUGUGGGCUUGUUUAUUGCUGCAGGUGGUGUGGGCGGCUUUCCAUGCAUCUCUAGUCCUGUGACAGAGGCAGAGAGGCAGUGCAAGGAGCAAUGUUUUAAGUUGUGUUGAAAUGGGUACAUUCGGGUGGAUGUGGAGUCUAACUCAAAGGUGUUAAUUGACAUGCUCCAAACUGGUGAGAUCACAGAUGCUUCAGUGGAGGGUGUCAUCCAUGAUAUCAAUUGCCUCAGCUCUCAACUGACUAAUAUCGUGUUCAAGUUCGCGCUGAGGGUGCAACAAUGCUGCACAUGCAGUUGCAGCUUAUGUUACUCGACGCAACGGUUCCUAUCACUGGAAUAGGGAUGCCGGACUGGUUGUUUAAUAUUUUAGCUUCUGAUACUAAUGUUCCCAUUAGACUUUAAUCAAUCUAUCUAUUAUUGAUGAAAAAAAACAAAACAAAAAAACAUUAUUUUAAGAGAUUUUUAUUUGUUCUGCAACCAGUCUCAUCUGUGUAAGAAGUAGGAAUUGCUCUUCCAACUUGUCCUACCAUCAAUAUGUGCUUGGCAAGAUAUAUUGAUUUUCCUCUAUCUGGAGUUCGAAAUCAAAAUUUUCCACUGCUAUCUCAAAGGCCACAGAGGCAUGGAAAGGCAUCAUCACUACGUAUAUUUAAGAAGUUAAUGAAAGACUCAUGAAAGAAAUUUUUGUGUCGCAACUUUUGAGUUACAAGAAUGUACUCCAUAAAUGAAAAAAAUGUGAACCGAAGACACAUAUAAACAGGCUUAAAAGUCAUAAAUAUGACUGUAUCUGCAGAUAUCUUAUAGGGAAAUACCCAGAAGAAAUUGUUCUGAGCCACUACUUAUAAAACAAACGAAUUAUAUACUUCAAUUCUUGUGCAAAUCUGCUGCCAUUUGGUGAUUCAAUAUAUAACAGAGCUACAAGAAGAUAACAAAGUAAUUAAAGUAUAAGACAAGGAUGGAUAAGGAUUUAAAAUAUAUUAUAUGUCACCAUAUAUUCCUGGAGAGCAACCAAGAAGAUUACAUAGGGUUAAAAGACAGAGAAUUUGACUGCCUUUAAGUUCAAAACCUGAUAUCAUCAUUUGUAUGCUUCAAAAUUUCUAUGUUUCUGCUCAUAUCCAAGCAGCUUUAGGAUUGCAGAAGGUUUGAGUCGAUUUAAUGAAUGAUCAACUGUGGCCUCUUCUUCAUCCUAACUCAGUGAUGAGUUCUGAAAUGAGGAUGCUUUUGAUAUGAUCAUAUCCAAAUUUUCUUCUUCAUCUUGACUCAGUGAGUUCUUCAAUGAGGAUGGUUUCGAUGGUUUCGAUCCAUUUGCUUACAUUCACACACUUAAGCAGGAAGUGAGAUGAAGGAAAGUGUCUUCACUGCAGGGGAUUGUGAUACCACCCAUGGGAUGAUCAUAUCCAAAUUCUUCUUCAGCUUGACUCAGCAAAUCUAGAAACAAAGUUUCAUUCAAAUAUGAUACUGGAAUCACAAACCGCUUCUUCUGGCUCUUUCCAACAUAGACUGCAAAAUAGCCUUUUGGGAUAUCCAAGGUCUUUGAUUCAGCUGUCCGGCUUGAACUAGAUAGAGAUCGAAUGAGACUUCUCUUGGCGUUAACAAUUCCAGGCAACCGGAAACCCAUGACUUUUAUAUUCUCAAGAGGAUGAAGAAUAAGAAACAGAAUUUAAAGGACUAGGAAAACAGAUAAAGCCUUGAUUCUUAGAAAGGUAAAGACUUGAAUUGCCGAUGAUGAGCCUGAUCAUGUGUGUAUAUAUAUAGUCGAAAGGUUAUGCAGAAAUUAUAUCCUUGUUUAGAAACAGCAUUCCCUACCUUGCUAGAUAAGAGGGAACAGCCAAAUGUGAAUUAACAAUCCAAUAAAAUUAUGCAUGCUUGAUAAGGAACCAACUUGUUCAUAAUUAGAUUUUUUUUUUUUUUAAAUGCUGUACAAACAAGAAUGUGUGGUGCUAUGAAAACUUUAACAUGGGGCCUGAAUAAGAAGAGAUGCUAUUUAGUAUAUAGCUUGAUUGGCAGCACCAAGCCAUCCUACCAUGUGCCUUUGUCAUUUCAGCUAUGACCUUGAGUCUCAAAACUCUCAACAAGAAAACGAAGUGUAGAAAAUAUAUUUCCUUGUAUUUAACAGAUUACACAAAGUCCCUAUUUAGACUAGUACAGGAUAUCUACUUAAGGUAGGAAAUAAUAGAGACAUGAAUACAAUCCGAUUUACAGCAGGAAAUCCAAUUUACAGCAGGAAAGGCUAAUUGCUAGGAGGAGAUUGUGAAGUUGACUUCCGUGUAGGCAAGGAAAGGAAAGUUGCAUUAACAUGAAGCAUCUCAUUUUGUUUGGUCUAUCUGAAUUGUAGCCAGAAAACCCCUCAGAUCAUUUAUUUGACCAUCAGUUUUGAUUUAUUAGUUGAACUCUUGGUUGAGUAAAACCAUUGACAUUUUUGUUUUAGGCACGUCCGGCUAAAACCCUAAAAUCACCUACUAGAGAAAUCUAGCAAUUCUAGAGCCAAGGGAGAAGCUGUGUUGACAAUUUCUUCUCCUCUUUCCUUAUGGCAACUGAAGAUAUCUGUUAACAAGCAAGUAGUACCUGUAAUUAAUCUACAAAUUUAUUUUGCCAUUUGGUCACAUGUUUCCCCACCCCUAACAUUGUAGUAAUCAAAUGUUAUUCCGACAUUUACUUGUAAUUAAUCAAACUUACCAGAUAACAUACAAAAUAACUGACAAGAAGUUAGUUCUGCAGGAUAUUUAAAGAGCAUUGCAAAAGAAAAAUAAUUUAGGUGAAAAAAUGAGCAUGAACCAGGUGAGAUCUUAUUUUUGAAAAGUUGAUACAUAUUGAACGUGCAGUAGGUAUUGCGUACAUUUCUAAAAUUCUAAGAACCGUAUUUUAACAAGAUUUGUAGACAUAAAUGUCUAAAGAGUGCUAAUUUUUUUUUUCUCAAGAAAUUAUAGCCACAAAUGUCCGUAGCCUGACCUAAAACUGUAUUCAAAGGAACAAGCAGCUUCUCUAUCCACACAUCUCUAAAAUUCCAAGUUUGGGGUUCUAUGCGUGUAGGUUGUCAUAAAAAUGGUUGGGGCAUAAGGUUCUCCAACAAAUAUACAGACUUAACAGCUAACAACUUCAGAUUGGGAUGGAAGACAAAGCCAUGUGAUCCUUCAAAUUCUUAUGUCACUUGCCAACCCAACCAUAUUUUCUUCCAUCCAUUUCUUUCCACAUUCCAAAUAUUUUCCUAUCCACCACUUCAAAUUUCAUCUAUAUAUAGAGACACUUCCAUACUAUCCCAUAAACAAAUCAACUCUUCAUCAUCAUCUUUACUAAAUCUUUUCUUCGAGUUAAUUUUCAACUUCAAGCUCUUUCAACAGUGUUAAUACAGACUCUUAAACAUGGCUAUCCAAUUUCCUAGUAUUAUGCAUGCUAAGCAGAUUCUCCGACGAGGACGUUUUCUUGCAAACGGAGCAGCUUCAACAUCUUCAGUGGGUGUUCCAAAAGGUUUCUUGGCUGUGUAUGUUGGAGAAAGCGAAAAAAAGAGAUACAUGGUUCCAAUUUCAUUCUUGAGUCAGCCUUCAUUUCAAGAGUUGCUAAGAAAGGCAGAGGAAGAAUUUGGAUUUGACCAUCCAAUGGGUGGACUCACAAUCCCUUGCAGAGAAGAAAUCUUCAUUAAUCUCACUUCUCAGUUGAAUGGCAUGUGAUUUGUGAUUAAAAUAUAAAUUAUCAGAGACAAUUUUGUAAAGACUUAUAUGACCAGUUGAGGAAGUUGUAAAUAGAAAUUGUAGACAAUCUUUACAUUUGUUAUCGAUUACAGAAAGAGCAACAUUAAAGAUAUUGUUUCUCUUUGGAUUCGGAUAUGAUUUCAGUCCAUUACCUUGCUUUCUUUCUUUUCCUGUCACUUUUUUUUUUUUUUGGGAUAUUCCUUUUAUUUUUUAUCACUUCGUACAUCGUUUAGAUUGUCCUUGAUACAAUAUUAAUUUAUUAACAAAAUUUAAGCAGUAUGGACUGUUUGUAUCGACUUUGUACAUGUAACUUCAGACAUUUACAUGUCUCUUAAGAUGGUUUUUGUAGAGAAUAUAUUUCCUUGUAUUUAACAUAUUACACAAAGCCCCUAUUUAUACUGGUACAGGAUAUCUAGUUAAGGUAGGAAAUAAUAUAGGCAUGAAUACAAUCCGAUUUACAGCAGGAAAGGCUAAUUGCUAGGAGGAGAUUGUGAAGUUGACUUCCGUGUAGGCUAGGAAAGGAAGGCUGCGUUAACACCCCCCGCAAACUGGGCGUCAUAGGAUGCACAAGUUUGGAAGACAUAUGCUGAUGGCGUGGUUUGUGAAGAGCUUUGGUGAACAGGUCCGCAGGUUGGUCGACAGAAGGAACAAAGCAGACUUGAUGACUUCCAAGAGCCACCUUUUCACGAACAACAGUUUUUGCCAUUUGUUGAUAAUCACAAUAGAAAUUCAGUCACUUCAAAGCUGAAAGUACACAAAAGGGCUAGAAAGUUCAUACUGAAUGAACAAAUGAUAACAUAAUGCUUAAAGAUAGCCGUAUGUUAUUGCCAUGAGGAGUUUCGAGAAUUCCACAGCUAUCUCAAACAAAUGAGAGUCAUCAGAUGGGAUAAGCAGGGAUCUGCUGAGAGCUCAAGGAGCCACAAAGCCACCAAAAGGCAACAUUCCUAUCUAUAUAUCGAGAACUUAAUGGUAGAACUAUUAAACAAUUUUUUGAGUUACAGCAUUGUUGUUGAAGUUUUGGAUUACAGAGCGAGCUAGAAGGUACAGAGAAGGAUGAUGAUAGAAAGAGCAAACAGAGAAAAUAUGUAAAUGUUCUCUGGUACGAUCUACUGCUCAAAAUGCAGAGAUCACACCUUUUGUAUUCAUUCUCAUUCUUUCAUUACAUCAGCCAAUCACCUCCAUUCUGUUAGAAGAGCCAAUGUGAAUGUGACACAUGGCAAUACAAAGGCUAAGAGCCGUUGGAAACUAACUGACUGCAAUACACCUUACACUUGGCAUAUGAGCUCAAGCCACUCAACUAACACAAUGCUUAAUGAAACUAGAAGGAAAAACAGACUAAGUAAAUUACUAACUAACUAGAAAUUAGCUAGUCAAUUUACAUUUCAACAAUUGUAAUAUAUAAAAAUUAUGAAAUCAUUCGAUUCCUUGGCAACAAGCAUCAAAUGGAACCGACAUGGACAUGAUAUUUUCCAUGUGCUUUGGUGAACCUAAGUCACAAAUAUCAAUAGGGUAGAAAAUCUCAUAUAUGAAUGUAUCUGCAGAUAUCUUAUAGGGAAAGACCCCAAUCAUAAUUUUGAGAGACUGGAUUCACUGGAAUAUGAAAAUGCAGUUUAAUUCAAGAUCCGAAUCUGUAUGAGACACCAUGUAUAAAUAAGUAUGAGUAACCAAUUAUACUUCAGUUCUUGUGCAAAGCUGCUGCCAUUCAGUUCUUGUGAAAACUAUAAGAGAAGAAUGGAUGAGCAUUUAUCAUAUGUUAUAUAUUCUUGUAUAUUCCUGUAGAGUAACAAAGAAGUUUACAUAGAAUUACAAGACAACAAAUUUGACUUCCUUUGAGUUCAAAAUUGGAGUCAUGAUUUUUGGAACAAUGGUUUUGUGGACCUCAUCAUAUCAUCAUUUUUCUGCAGCAACAAUUUCUAUGAUUCUGCUCAGAUCACAAGCAACUUCAGCAUUACAGAAGGGUGAGCUGAUUCUAUGAAUGAUCCAUGGUAACCUCUUUUUCCAUCCAAACUCAGUGGUUUCUGAAAUAAUGAUGCUUUGGAUAUGAUCACAUCAAAAUCCUUCAUCAGCUUGACACAGUGAGGUCUGAAAUGAGGAUCUUUUCGAUGAUUUUGAAAUCCAUUCACGCUCAGUCAUACACGUAAGCGGGAAGUAAGAUCGAGGAAGGUGUUUUCACUGCAGGGGAUUGUGAUACCACCCAUGGGAUGAUCAUAUCCAAAUUCUUCUUCAGCUUGACUCAACAAAUCCAGGAAUAAAGGUUCAUUCAAAUAUGAUACCGGAAUCACAAACCGCUUCUUCUGGCUCUCUCCAACAUACACUGCAAAAUAGCCUUUUGGGAUAUCUGUCUUUGAUUCAGCUGUCCGUUUU
rnacentral:lncRNA from 1 species